rnacentral:lncRNA from 1 species
UAUUGCAACACCCUACAGCGGGAAUCCCUCAUGCUUGCGCGACACGGAGGGCACAAUAGGACAGCACCAAAAUAAAACAUACAACUCGUACCAAUCUAGAUCAUCAAUCAACCCAAAGACAAAGGAUAUCUACUCAAAACAUCAUAAGAUGGCAACACAUCAUUGGAUCAUAAUAUGUGGCAUAAAGCACCAUGUUCAAGUAGGGAUUACAGCGGGGUGCGGGAGAGUGGACCGCGUAAAAGAGAUGAGGAUGGUGAUGAUGAUGGUGAUGUUGAUGAACACGAUCACCGCGGUGAUGAUUCCCCUCCCGAUGGCACUCCGGGGCCACCGAGAGAGAGGAGGAGAGGUUCUCCCCCUUGUGCUUCCUCCUCCAUGGCCUGCCCCCUAGAUGGGGAGAGGUUCUACCUCUGGUCCUUGGCCUUCAUGGCGAUGAUGGCCCCUCCGAGAUCCUCCUCCAUGGCUUCCGGUGAUGAUGGCCCCCUCCGGCAGGGUGCCAGAGAGGGCCUAGAUUGAUUUCUCGUGGUUACAGAGGCUUGCGGCGGCGGAACUUCUAGGUUAUUUUCUGGGGGUUUCUGUAUUUAUAGGAAUUUUUGGCGUUGGUUUCACGUCAGGGAGGUCUCCGAGUCGUCCACGAGGCAGGGGCCCACGCCCAGGGGGGUGGGCGCACCCCCACCCAUGUGGACAGCCCGGGACUCUUCUGGCCCAACUCUUUUGCUCCAGGGGCUUCUUUUGGUACAUAAAGAAUCAACAAAAAUUGGCAUGUCAAUUGGACUCCAUUUGGUAUUCCUUUUCUGUAAAACUCAAAAGCAAGGAAAAAACAGAAACUGGCACUGGGCUCUAGGUUAAUAGGUUAGUCCCAAAAAUCAUAUAAAAUAGCAUAUAAAUGCAUAUAAAACAUCUAAGAUGGAUAAUAUAAUAGCAUGAAUACUUCAUAAAUUAUAGAUACGUUGGAGACGUAUCAAUGAAGAGGGCAUAGAGGAUCAACAAUGAUUCCUUCUCGUGGUUGGAAUGCGAGAGGGAAUGGAGGGAAGCGAAGGCGGUAGCAGAGGCGGAAUCGGAUCCGAUACUCAGAUCCAGAAGAGAGAGGUAUGUUCAAACUUGGCGGAUCCAGGCAGACUGAGAGAUGAAGAAUUUUGCAAGAAGGAUUCACUUUGAAGGUACCGCGGAGGAGAGAGCGCAGAUGCUGCCUUUCCCACUCUCACCGUCGGUGGACUUCAUUCAUUGGGCGAGGGGAGAGGGGAUAUUCAGCGAUCUGAGGAGGAAAGGGAGGUGGAUUUGUCUCGUGGGACUGUGUCCAGCAAGCGUUCCACCGCUGCCGGAACCAGUGGAUCCUCUGCAAUACUUGUCGCCAGCAAUUUGAAUUCCUCUGCAGUUUCAGUCUGUGACAGAAGAGAGGAGGAUGAGCUUGAUGAACAGACGGUUAGAAUUUGACCCCCGUGGAUGUAGGAAAAAUGAUGAAGCUGGAUAUGCUGAUUGCUUAGUUGGAUCUCGACCUGGAGGCAGAUUCUGGGCGUUGGAGCAAAUUGAAGAAGAUGGUGAAAAAUGUUCAGCGGAGAGUGAAGCUGGACAGAGUCCAUAUAUAGCGACUUUAGCUGAUGCUUUUGCUUGUGCUAAGAGGGAAUCGAAGAAGAAAAUCAAAGGCAAGCAGAAGAGGGACAAAUUAUGCAAAUUGGGUGUUGUUGACCGCAUUUCAGAGAAGAUUGUGGCUCCUGUAUUUAGUUAUGUAAAUGUUCCUCCUUGUCGUAAAUCCAGGCAUGUGCUUCCUGUUGAGUGUGAUUCAGUUACUAAGGAUUGCUGGUACCAAAUUGUUGGUGGUAAGCCAGUUGAUGUGGGUGUGGGUUUUGAGCCGAAUUGUAUGCAGAUGGGACAUGACGGGAGAGGUCAUUAUCUACCAGCACGCAGCUUGGUUGAUGCGCCGCUCUCCACACGGUCGCCAACACGCCCGGAGGGUGAAUUUGGAGAUGAUUUAGAGUUCAGGUUUUUUUCCUGUUUUGAUUCAAACUAUGCAUCGGAAUGGGCCGGUUGGUGGUGGGCUGGGUCAGAAAUAUGGGUGCAUAUUGGAGCCCAAAAAGGGGAGUGGGGUGCUACAACUUGGUCAAAGAUAGGUCGUUAACCCUAAUCACUUUUUGCACUCUAGGAUUUCCCAUUUGUGGUGCCCGUCCUCGGCCACCGCCACUCGUGAUAGGUAGAUCCGGGAGGAAAGAUGGAUGGGCAUUUUGGUUCUGGGCGUGUAAAUGGAGGGAGGGAUGGUGGAGGUGGUGGAAGCUGGAGACCAAAUCAAGGUUAUGGGAGAGAAUUCCAAUUUGACAAAUACGAUCAAGGUCCUUAGGUCCGACCCCGACCGUCGUUUCAAAAUUUCCAAGGUAACCAGCACUAGAACUUCCCGCGUAGAGAGCCAGGAUACGGGGAUUGGGGACAAGAUGGUGGCAAUCGAGGUAUGUAUCAGUACCCUCGUCGGCCGCCACUGCAAAACACUAAUCUACCCCUACUACUAGCAAAAAAACAACAGAAGAUGAGUACAACCACUAUCAGUGGUGGAGGAGGGGGUAGCGAUGUUCAGACUUCCAAGCCUAAUUCCGCUGGGGCAGUGGUGGCAGGGAAUCAAAGCUCGAGGGUGAUUUCUGAUAGCAAUGUUUCUUCUAUGGACAAGGUUAUCUGUCAUAAGUGUGGUGAGAAAGGUCAUAACUCUAAAGGAUGUGAGGCAAAAGUAAAGUGUGUGAUCUAUACUAAGGAUUCUCAUGUACUUGAAUUUUGUGCUUGGCUUCAUCAGAAAAAACUUGUGGCUACUCUGGUUGGUUUUGGUGGGGAGGGGCUUGGAUUGUUUGUGGCAGAGCAUGCAAAGGAGAUUUCCAGUGCUAAUAAAAAUGAAGUUGUGGCUUUGGUGAGACUGAGGGAGGGAUGUGAUUUAGAAGUGGAUGCUGACAUGUUAAUUAAAAGCUUGGCCGAAACUUAUCCAUGGAGGUGGGACUUGAAAGCUAGAAAAGUUUCUGAAGGAGUUUUUUUGGCAAACUUUCCUUGAGCUACUAGAAUUGAUGAAGUUGCUAUAUAUGGCUGGGUCCCUUUAAAGGGAGGAAAUAUCUUGGUGAAUGUGAAAAUCUGGAAUGAUGAUGCAAUGGCUGUAGGAAAACUCGCUGCGGUUUGGGUCAGAGCAAAAGGUGUACCAAAGACUAUGAAGAAUUUCCAUGGGCUAUGUGAAAUUGGCUCAAUGAUUGGUUACAUUCAGGCUGUGGAUAUGCAGUUAGUAAGUAAAACAAGCUUGGUUGGAUUGAAAGUUGUUGUGGUGGAUUACAGAAAAAUUCCUAGAUGGACCAAGUUAACAAGUCCCAAUCUCAUGGUUUACAUAAUCUUCUUUGAAAUGGAAGAAGUAGUAGAUGAAGGAUGGGCUAAGGAAGAUGAUGAAUUAUCUCAAGGCUAUGAAGACUGGAUGGAUUUUCAGCAAGAGGAGGAGGAUAGCAGAGAUCCCAAAAAAGCAAAACACAAUGAAGAUGAGGCAGACAAUAGACCAAUUCGUGCAAGUACACAGACCAAGAUUGUUGUGGAUGAGAAAGAUGUUGUUAUAAAGGAACAGGAGGAAUAUGAUAUUCGGUUGUACUAUAAACACAAAGAUAAGGAUGUUGAAGACAAAAAGGAAGAAGAAACUGGCUUUGUUUUUGUGAAUAGAGGAGGUGGAAAAGAAAAUGAGGAGGAAGAGCAAAACACUGCUGAUGAUAAAAAUUUAGAUGAUGAAGUUGAGAUGUCUCAGUCUGUCAGUUUGGGGACUAAACUAGGGAUUAGGGUACAUGAAGAUAUGACUAUACACAAUACCAAUGAUAAGAAUUCUGACCAAGGUACACAGAGGUAUAGUGGAAGGAUAGCUUCAAAGAACAAAGAUGAUAUCGCAAUGUUAGAUAGAGCUAUAUGACUCUGGCUAGGGCCAAAAACCUAGCUUUAUCUAAAGGUAUGUCAUCUAAUGUUGUUGAUGAAUAUUCUGAAAAUGUAGAACUAAUUGAUGUUGCUAAUUUGAUAGGAAUUGACUUAGGGGUUUCUUCGGGUUUGGUGGAGUACAGUUUAAAACUAAUUUCCUCUCAUGAAAAAGCUAGAAGAGAGAUAUUUUUAGCUAAUACCAAGGAGGAAUCUAGUGAACAGGAGAAUGAGAAUGUCUUGGAACUUGAGGAGGUUAAUUCUAUACUUCAGGACUUAUUACAAUUAAGUAGGGAAGGGGAUGAGGAACAUAUGGAUGAUCAUUCGGAAAGUCUAUUUGGUGGUAUGAGGACAGGUCUUAAAGCAAACAGUGCUCAUUUUGAGGAUGUUGCUGUUAAGACACCACUAAAAACAGUGUUGAGUAGGAGGAAAACAGUGCUCAUUGGCUCAAUCUCUCUCCCAUAAGCAGCGUUGAAUCUGUCAACAGAGUAGUACUCAUGCACAAAUUGUUCAAGGUCUACUCUCUUUUGUGAGGUCACGAAGGCCAAGACAUGCGGACAUGGCUUACCAGUAUGCUACCAUUCAAGACAAGUGUUGGAAAUAUGAACUAGAUGCAAUAAUAAUGUAUUAUUAUAUUUCCAUUUUCAUAAUUAAGAGUUUAUAUUUCAUGUUAUAACCAUUGUGAUCCUAGAAUAAGUGAUUCAGUGAAAAACUCAUAUGCACAUGUGGAAUGGUAAACGGUAAAUAAUAGGUUCCUAGUCUUGCCUCUAAGACUGACUCAAGUGUUGUUCGUGAUCAUGUUUCCUGGAUCUUAGGAUAUCGUUAAGUGUAACGAUAGUCCUAAAACAACAUUGAAGGUAUGAUGUUAGAAGAAUGAUCAUAUUGAAUCGAUCCAAUAUUGUUUGUUAUACUUUGAGAUAAUAUCGUCUGAAAUCAAUUGUUAUAACACGGAGUGUUAGUAUGUGUUUUUAGUUCCUCAGACGAUGAAUCUUGGGGUUUCUCAAACAUCAUCUGUAACACGGUGAUCAUAACGACAACUUACAGGUUCAUCUAAAAGUUUGACAAGGGACUAGAUAGCUCGAGAGAGGGAUUUGCUCCUCCGACAAUGGAGAGAUAUUCUUAGGGCCCUCUUGGUGUGACGGAAUCCAUCAUCGUCUGGCCAGACACAGGUGAUUACGUCAUAGGGAUGCCGGAACACUUCAAUGGGAGAAGAACAAAACCGGUGACAAGAUCAAUGGUAUAAUGAGCAUGUGCAUGAAUCAGUAGGAUACCAAUGCAUCCCGACUUUUGUAAAGUAUCCCGAUGCAAAGGGAACAUCACAGGAUAACCGAAGGUUCACUCGAAUUUCAUUCGUGUAAUCAUAGGGAUCGAUAUGGACAUCCACGGUUCCACUAUCGGUCAUUGAACGAAGAAGUUUCGUUCAUGUCUAGGAUUUACCAAACCUACAGGGUCACAAGCUUAAGGUAAUCACGACCUGCUGAGUGUUAGUAGGAUGAGAGCAUCGAUGAUUUAUUUAUGGAAUUGUUUCAUUAAGAACAUUUACAUUUAUGACCCUAAUUUGCGCCGACUCUCAGAUUUACCCCUAACUUUUUGAUGUGCUCAAAUUUGCCCUAAAAAGAAUUUAGGUCACGAGAAUGCCCUUCCAGCUGGUCAAAGUUGUUUGACCAAAACUUUGAAAAAUCAUAAAAAAUUCAUAUGAGCUCAAUAUGUUCGUUAAAAUAUCACCUAUACACGCAUGUCAUUUAUGUUCAUCAACUACACGUGCAUUUAUUUGCAUUCACCCUAAAUAGUUUUUAAUGUUAUGAACCCUAAAAUGCUUUAAAGUGUGCUUUUGUCAUGCACGUAAAUGACACGUGCAUAUAGGUGAUGUUUUUAUGAACAUUUUGAUAUCUUAUUUUGCAUUCUUCUAAGUUCAUAUGAAUUUGUUAUGAAUUUUGAAAGUUUCGGUCAAACAACUUUGACCAGAUGGAAGGGCAUUUUCGUGACCUAAAAUGCUUUUUAGGUGCAAAUUUGAGCACAUAAAAAUGUUAGGGGUAAAUCUAAGAGUGGGCGCAAAUUAGGGUCAUAAAUGUAAAUGUACCUGAAUGAAAUAAUUCCACAAAUAAAUUCUCGAUACUCUCAUCCUGCUAACACUCAGCAGAUCGUGAUUACCUUAAGCUUGUGACCCUGUAGGUUCGGUAAUCAUAGACAUGAACGAAACUUCUUCGUUCAAUGACCAUAGUGGAACCAUGGAUGUCCAUAUCGAUCCCUAUGAUUACAUGAAUGACAUUCGAGUGAACCUUCGGUGGGUUCAAGUUAGGGUCACAUCAAAAAGUUAGGGGUAAAUUUGAGUAGUGGGUUCAAGUUAGGGGCUCAAAUGUGAAUGUCCCGUUCAUUAAUGUUCAAAAUAGUUUUGAGAGGAAUCGGAAGCGUUUAGGGGUCACCGGAAGGGUUUCAGAGUUUAUCGGGAAAUACCGGGUAUUAUCGAUAAAUAAUAUAUAGGUGGAAAAUGUUUUGGUUGAUGUUAAAUUAUAUAUAGAAGGCCCUGGUAAUUGUUAGAGGGCUUUUAUAGUUAAUUUAAUAUCAACAUGCCUUAAAAUGUCUAGUGGUGAAAGGCAACUUGGGCCACCAAGGCCCAACUGGAGGUGGGGUCCGCCCUUUCCUGUAGGACGUGAUGAUUAUCAAAUUGCAAAAUUGAGUGAAUCAAUGAAUUGACCAACAUGUCGAGCAAUAAGAAGCGAAACAUAUGAAUUCCAUGGUCGACGAGCCCGGCGGGCACCUUCUCCCCACUUGUGCAAUCGCAUCGCAAAACUUCAUGAUGAAGUUGGAGAUGGUGUACCACCGGUGGGCCAGUGACUUCACAUUGUGUUCAUGGAUCAAGUAAAAGGCAUAGGGCAUGAAGUGCUUUUGCUCAUGAAACGGAAUAUGCAUGGUUUGCCAAAAGGUCGAGCUCCAUUGUCUCAUGCCUAGAAAGUCCGCAGAUAUGACCUUUCAAGCAUCACACAAUAAUCAUUCUCCAUCAUUGAGUACCCCGUCAUUGUGCUUACUCUAGAAAACACCAAGAAGGAAAAAAGAAAGCUCAAUGACAUUUGAUCGAACACCUGCCGGGCGUGCUGUCCGCCAUGGACCGUGUCGACAGGUGGCCAGGGGAGGGGGCGGUAUCUGGCUGUGGACAAUUCCUGAGUGGAUGGUGGUAUAGUCCAAGGUGGAUAGGUGCAUGGGUUGGGCUGCGGACAUCCGGCAAUGCCUGGGCGGCGGCUGGAGAGAUACACCGACGGCGUCGGACGAGGACGGGUUGGGUGCAGAGCAAGGGCAGAGCAGAGACGAAGUGGGAGAAAAAUGAUCCAGCAGGAGGGGAUUUGAGUGGGCCGAGAGUGUUGGACGCAUACUUGGUGAAGGUCUGGGUGCCCACAAACCUCCUGGUUUGUGUCCGGUUUACAGGAAUGCAUACAAACGUACGCAUAUAUGGAUAAAUACAGAUAUCCGAACAACUCAGUUCAUCACAUCGUAUACUGGCGUUUCAAGGGUUUGGGAAUGCCUGCCCUCAAGGGUCAGGAGGAGGGAGGAGGGGAGGGGAGACCGGCAACACGAUCUAGGGUUCCCUCCCCGUCGCCAUGCGGGGGCGACGCGUCAGGGAGGAGUGUUGGUGUUUUUCCCCUCUACUGGUGCUAUAUAUAGUGUAUCCCUGCCGUUCUUGUAUACAUGACAUCAGUGAAUCAGGAUGUAUAAGAAGGUAGUCACGCAAGGGAUAAUAUUUUGAGCGUAAAGCGUAGAGAACUUUCCCGGGCGGCAUCAGAUGCUAAUCACAUGCGAGUUAUAGCCCUUUUUGUCUUUUAUGAAUGUGCCUUUUUAAAACGGAGCGAAAUUAAUCUAUAUAUAUACUAAUAUAAAAAGACCCAAAGAAACAUAUCCAAUUAAUCUCGGCCAUCAAAUCAUGUCAAUCCAAUAACCUAGACUGCUUCAAUGUUCGAGCGUUCAGCACGUUUAACGUGCAGUUAAUUUCAUGCCAAAAAUAGUGUUAAUCACAUAAUAACAUGCAAAAUAAUAUUCUAUUUAAUAUCCGCAUGCACUUAAUAUACUUCCAAAUUAACGUGCAUUGCACGUACACAUUGACUAGUCAUUAAGAAAAAGCAGAAACGACCAAAGCAUCAUUUGGUUUUACAGCUAAAAAUAUUUGUGUUGUGCAUGGAGAUGGAGACAGUGAUGGCGUACAAAUGAACAUAUAAUGUAAGCGUACAUGUGAAUUCUCUUCCAUGCGGCGUAUAAUGUAAGCUUACAUGUGAAUUCUCUUCCAUGCGGGCAUAUGGAAUUAUACCACAUGGUACGAAAGAUUUAGUCGGCCAUGUACUUCGUUCGAUUGUUGUUUUAUAUAUAAAGCGGGAUGAAAGUCAGUUUCGAGAGCUGCGGCUUGCAGGGCUGGAUGCAAAUGCCUAGCUUGUAAGGCCAGACUAAGAAUAAAGCUGCAUGUAUGCACAUAUAUUCUGCCUGGAAACGUAUGGACUUAAUUUAUUUAUUUUUGAGGAUUGAAAUGCAUGAACUUUACAUGAAGCAGCCAAAGUUUCUACAAACUAGCUAGGUGCAAUCAGCACAAAGUCCUCCACUUAGCCAAGUUUCUACUGACUGGGUGCAAUCAGCACAAAAUCCUCACCUCACCUUUGUAAUCCUGCUCAGUAAAUUACAGGUGCUUGAUUAAUCAUGGCUCCGUGUUGAGCUCGUGACACGCGUUUGAUUCACUUCGGUUUCUAAUGUCAGCUGAACUAACAAGCCGAGGUUGACUUGGAUGACAGUUACUCUCUUCGUUUUUAUUUACUCCGCAUAUUAGAGUUGACUGAAGUCAAACUUUCUAAAGUUUGACAAAGUUUAUAAAAAAAAUAUUUACCAUAACAAAUCUAUAUGAUGUGGAAGUACAUUUGAUAAUGAAUCUAAUGGUAUUGAUUUGUUAUUGUAUAUGUUAAUAUUUUUGUUUGUCAAAGUUUAUAAAAUUUGACUUUGACUAAAGCUAAUAUGCGAAGUAAAUAAAAACAGAGGAAGUACUAUUUUGUUUCCCUGCAGGCAUGCAUGGUAAUCCGCAUCUCACCCUGCAUAAAGAUCAUUGGAAUCAGAUCUAAUACCUUUCUUUGGCCGGUCACACACUCUAGCUAGGGUUCUUCGACGCAGGUUGCUUGCGUAGUUUUUUUUAGAAACAACAUUGACGUACACAUACAGUCACACCACCACACACACUCACACUCAAACAAAUGCCUACUGAAGGCCCGAUCGAAGUUGCGGGCUUUGAAAUUGAUGGAAUCACCACAUGUGUCUCGUUAUUUGAUAUUUACUUAUGAGUUAUGAAUAAAUAAUAUGAAAAACAAAUCUUAAGGGUUUUUCAAACCACAUUUAACAGGAGACGUUCCAUUCGGUUCAAACAUUUAAAAAUAUUUUUUUUCUUUGUUUAUUUUUGUGGUGCAACUAGACUUUGGUCAACUUAGUUAAUCAUACGGCAGUCCAAUAUCCGGGGUGGGCCCCGCCUGUCAUCGUGCAAGGCUACCAACGUCUCCGUCCCCCUCUUUCCAUCGCAGCCCACCUCCGCUAUAAAUACCACUCACUCAAAAUAAAAUAAUGAGCUCGACCGCCGACGGAAGCAGCUCGCGGUCGGCUCUCAGUCUACUCUCCGUCGCGUCGUCGACAGGCGCCGCGGCAGCAGCGGCCAGCGUCCGUCGGGAGACAGAGAUUUCCUCUUGGCGGGGGCCGAAUCCAAUCCGUAAGUCGAAAUCUCUCUCUGUGCUUGCUCUCGGAUCCCCACCCGCCCCCUACAGUCCCACAGUACUUCCCUGCUGCCAAUGCCCGCCUCGCCGCCGUUCCCGCCGUUUUCUUGGGGUCUCGGUGAGGAAUCCGAGGGUACUGGUUCUGGAUUGACCCCCCGGUAAUGGAGGCCCUGCUGGCUGUUGCCGCUGGGUUACUCCUGUGUGCCCGUCCUCAAGGUGUUCGAUGGAUUGUGGGCAGGGUGUUCCGUCCGGCUGGUCGAUCUCGUUCCAGUCCUUCCAGGUUCCAGCCCGUUUACAGUCAGUUGCUGAAAAUGUGCACGGAACGCAUGAAAAUGUAGGCUGUGCACAGGUUGUUUGCUUGCUUGCAAUUCCAAGCAUUGUUUCCUCUUUGCAGGAAGCAUAGUGCCACAAGUGGUCUGCUUGUUUGCUUGUGCUCAGGAAAAGAAAAAGUUGUAUCUUCUGUUUGUUUGCUUGCUGUCCGCUUCAGUGUUUGUUCCAUCUUAAGCAUGGUACAAGUAUAGUCGCUUUGUUUCGUGGGCAUAAUCCAAAGUUUGUGCGGAUGCAGCUUUUGUUCUCUCUUGCAUAGCGAAAGUGUGUGGAAACUGGAAUCUGUUGAGAGUAGUAUGGCCACGCCAAACGUUUUGGCUUUCACUUAAGGACCACACAUUGCUUCUUGACUUUCUUGGAUGCUUGCCGGCCCAGCCUUGGAACUGUACCUUCCUAGCUAGUAAUGGUGUAGAUAGAUGGUUAAUAUAAAUGAGGCACAGACCAAACCUUUGUGUUGCUUCCUAGAAAUGAGUGUAUUUCCUUAAUUUUUUUUUUGUCAAAACGUCUGUCGUUGUUCUCCCAAGUUGCUUUCUUGCGGUAUUCAAUCCAUUUUUUAUUACUGCAAUUGCUUCAUUCGAAUUGAGGUUUCAGUCCGUUUACCGUCAGUUGCUGAAAAUGUGCACGAAACGGAUGAAAAUGCCGGGACAUGCGCUCUUUGUUUACCGUUUAUACCGUCAUUUGUUUGGUUGCAGGAUGCACCCGGUCUUAAGCAUAGUAUAUAUAAAGUUGUAUGCUCUGUUUUGUUUGUUUGCUUGCUGUCUGAGGAUUGAGACAAGGGCAUAAUCCAAAGUUUGGCACCUGCUCCUGCACAUUUAUGUGUUGGAAACUGGAAUCUGUUCAGAGUAGUAUGGCCACGCCACAUGUUUUGGCUUUAACUCAAGGACCACAUUGCUUCUUGACUUUCUUGGAUGCUUGUUGGCCCAACUUUGCAACUCUACCUUCCUAAUAGUAGUAUAAAUCAGGCACAUACAAUUUUUUUUGUGUUGCUUGAGAUUUGGUGUAUUUACUUAAUGUGUUUAGUUGAAUCAUCUGUCAUUGUUCUCCCAAGUUGCUUUUCCUCGCGAUAUUCAAUCCGUCGGGUUUUUAAUUACUGUAACUGCUUCAUUCAAAAUUGAUAUUUGCUUCUUUGUUGUUGUUUUCCUUUCAACGCUUGGGCUGAGGCUUCAAAUAAUGGUGCUCUUUAACAUGGACUUUGUUACUUUAGAGAAUGCAAGAAUUAUGCAAUUGUAUCAUGAUAACAUCUGCUCUAUGUUUUUUCUACAGGGAGUUUCCAACACAUAAGUAGUUUGCUAACAUGAAGACAAGCAUCCAGUAGACUUUGCACCAUUUGAGUCACAAUGGAGAUAUCUUUUCUCAUGUUGUUGGUUCUCUCUCUGCUUCUGUUUCCUAAUGGCAUCUGCAAGGGUUUAGCUGCGAGGCCUCCUGUUGUGAAUAUUGGGUCUAUUCUUCAAUUUAACUCCACCACUGGAGGUGUUGCCGCGGUUGCCAUCCAUGCAGCCUUGGAAGAUAUCAACUCUGAUCCAACAGUUCUAAAUGGAACUACACUAAAGGUUCAAAUCAAGGAUACAAAUUGCUUUGAUGGUUUCCUUGGCAUGGUUCAAGGUACGCUAGCUUUAAUGUCACGCAUUCAUUUGGCAUUGUUGAAAUAGUUUUUGCUUCUCUUGUGGAAUUGUGACAAUGAUACCGUAUUCCUUGUAUCAGCUUUGCAGUUCAUGGAGACUGAUGUUGUUGCACUCAUUGGCCCUCAGUGCUCUACAAUUUCUCAUAUCAUUUCAUAUGUAGCAAAUGAGCUUCGAGUCCCUUUGAUGUCCUUUGCUUCUGAUGCAACUCUUUCAUCGAUACAAUUCCCGUUCUUUGUCAGGACUGGUCCCAAUGACCUCUAUCAAAUGGCGGCUGUGGCAGAAGUUGUUGACUACAACCACUGGAAGAUUGUGACUGCCAUAUACAUUGACAAUGUUUAUGGUCGAAAUGGCAUUGCUGCUUUGGAUGAUGCACUUGCUUUAAAGCGCUGCAAAAUCUCCUACAAAGUUGGGUUUCCUUCCAAUGCUAAAAGAAGUGAGCUCAUAAAUUUGUUGGUUAGUGUCAGUUAUAUGGAGUCUCGUGUUAUCAUUCUCCAUACUGGAGCUGAACCUGGACUCAAGCUUUUCUCUAUGGCAAAACAACUGAACAUGAUGGGCAACGGCUAUGUGUGGAUUGCAACUGACUGGCUGUCUGCAUAUCUUGAUGCUAAUUCAUCAGUUCCUGCUGAGACUAUAUCUGGCCUGCAAGGUGUUCUUACUUUACGGCCACAUAUCCCCAACUCAAAGAUGAAGAGUAAUUUGGUCUCCAAAUGGAACAAGCAAAGUAAAAAGUCCAACUAUAGUGAUCUUCGUGUAAAUACUUACGGUUUUUAUGUUUAUGAUAGUGUCUGGGCAGUAGCUCGGGCUCUGGAUGCCUUCUUUGAUGAUGGUGGUCGGAUUUCCUUUUCAAAUGACUCGAUGUUGCAUGAUGAAACUGGAGGAACUCUUCACCUUGAAGCAAUGAGCAUUUCUGACAUGGGAAAUAAAUUAUUGGAGAAGAUUAGAAAGGUAAACUUCACUGGGGUGUCUGGGCAAGUGCAAUUCGAUGCUGGAGGCAACCUAAUUCAUCCUGCAUAUGACAUCAUAAACAUCAUCGGAAAUGGCAUGCGGACCAUUGGUUUUUGGUCAAAUUAUUCUGGCUUGUUGUCGACUGUCUCUCCAGAGGCUCUAUAUUCAAAGCCUCCUAAUAUUUCUCUCGCUGAUCAGCAUCUCUAUGAUGUUAUUUGGCCUGGGGAGACUGCACAGAGGCCUCGAGGAUGGGUUUUUCCUUCUAAUGCCAAGCAGUUGAAAAUUGGUGUUCCCAACAGAUUUAGUUUCAAAGAGUUUGUCACGAAAGACAAUUCUACUGGGUCAAUGAAGGGUUAUUGCAUCGAUGUCUUUACUCAGGCAUUGGCUUUGCUUCCUUAUCCUGUUAGUUACAAGUUUGUACCUUUUGGGAAUGGUACUGAAAAUCCUAAUUAUGACAAACUCGUACAGAUGAUUGAAUCAAAUGUAAGUAUGGAAUGCCUUUUUUCUUCCUCUAACCAUUUCAUCAUCUUUAUCGAAAAAACCAUUUCAUCAUACCAUGCUGACCAGGGGGGGUCUUAUCCUGCAGGAAUUCGAUGCCGCUAUAGGGGAUAUCGCAAUUACAAUGAGGCGGACAGUAACUUUAGAUUUCACCCAGCCAUUCAUUGAAACAGGCUUAGUUAUCUUGGCUCCGGUUAAACAGCAUAUAACAUCGUCCUGGGCAUUCUUGCAGCCAUUUACUUUGCAGAUGUGGUGUGUUACAGGGUCGUACUUCCUUAUUGUGGGUGUGGUUGUUUGGGUUCUUGAACAUCGGAUCAAUGAUGAUUUCCGUGGUUCAGUACGUCAACAAAUAAUAACUAUUUUCUGGUAAGGAGCUGACUUGCACCUUUUGUAUCGUCUUCUUGUAGUAUAUCAUUCCUGUUUUCUUAGAAAUGUUGAUGUUUCGACAAGUCUUGUGCAAUAUGUUUGCAUACAGCAAGCACCUCAGAACAGUUGCCAGUUAACAUACCCAAAUGAAGCAUCUAGUGAUUACCAAGGAACUACUCCCUCUGUUCACUUUUAUAAGGCCUUGAAGACAUUUCAGACAAGGUGCAAAGUAGCUCAUUUUCAGUUGUCUGAAACGACUUAUAAAAGUGAGCGGAGGGAGUAUUAUCUUAAUGGUCUUGUGAAACGUAUAUAUGCACAGUAUGUAUUCGCUUAAUGAUAUUUAUGAUGCAUUGCUCAAUUUUUUUUUCUGUUUUCACAUACUUCUCCACAUGUAUUACAAAUGUUCUUAUCAUGGCGUGAUUCCUUGCUCUCAGAUGUGAUUAUAAUUUCUAUUUUUAUUGCCUGCAGGUUCAGCUUUUCGACGUUGUUCUUUGCACACAGUGAGUAAACCAACCUUCUCUAUUAUGUGUUUUUUUGGCCAUAGGUAACAUUUUGUUCUGAGGCAUGGCUCGUGAUUUCAUCUGUAUCUGCCCGCAGGAGAAAAUACUAUGAGCAGCUCAGGGCGUGGUGUCCUGAUCAUAUGGCUGUUUGUUGUUUUGAUAAUUGUAUCCAGCUACACCGCGAGUCUUACUUCCAUCCUGACCGUGCAACAACUUGAUACUUCUAUAAAAGGAAUCGAUGACCUGAAAAGUAGCAAUGAUCCUAUUGGUUUCCAAGUUGGUUCUUUUGCACAAGACUACAUGGUCAAGGAGCUCAACAUCUCACGUUCAAGGCUGAGAGCUCUCAGUUCACCACAAGAAUACGCUGAAGCCCUCAAGCUAGGCCCCAAGGAAGGAGGUGUUAUGGCCAUUGUUGACGAGCGCCCCUAUGUUGAACUGUUUUUGUCAACCUACUGCAAGAUUGCGGUAGCUGGCACAGAUUUCACCAGCAGAGGAUGGGGCUUUGUAAGUACAUUUGAACCAUAUUCUUUAAUGUAGAUUUGAAUAUGAGAACAAAAUAUUUUGAAGUUAAUAUCCUGGAAUAGCAGUUUUAACUUUGAAUAGUUGUGUCAACUAUCUAGUUUAUUAUGCAACUUCAUUUGCACCUGUCUGCGGCUGCAAGUCUAAAAUCUACACCUACUUUGUUUCACAAAUCAAAAUGUAGCGCCUUACAAGUUCAUUCUACCAGGCAUUUCCAAGGGACUCCCCUUUGCAAGUAGACCUCUCCACCGCAAUCCUGUCAUUGUCAGAGAAUGGGGAACUGCAGCGAAUCCAUGACAAGUGGCUCAAGACAGGGGAGUGCGCAACUGACAACAGCGAGUUCGUUGACUCGGACCAGCUCCGCCUUGAGAGCUUCCUUGGUCUGUUCCUAAUCUGUGGCGUUGCAUGCAUCCUCGCGUUGCUAAUCUACUUUGGUAUCAUGCUACGCAAAUACCUGAGGCAUGACCAGAGGAAGAGCCUGAGAAGAUUCAUCUCAUUCGUCCAUGGCAAGGAUCCGCCGAAGAACAACGAGAGGCGGUCCAUGAGCCUGCUUGGAAGCUCGACGCCGGCAACGCCGAUGAGCAGCCUUACUACCCUUGAGAUAGAAAGGCCGGCCAGGGAAGUCAGAAAUGGCAGCGUUAUUGAAAUGGAAAGCUAGUUCAUGUGUACAAAGCUAGUUUGUGCGUUAUCUCUCAAGGCAGCUGGGUAACUGUUUUGUGUGAAGCAACAAUACGGCCGACUAACCUAGGUCCCGGUAACCUAGGUUGGAAAGCCAAACACCAGGGAUGUAUAGAGGGGUUUCAAAUACUUCUUAAAGGAAGGAUUGAUAAUAAAAAUUAAAAAUAUCGAAAUGCUCCUCUCUCCCACAUAGAUCACUUUAUUCUUUGCAUGACUGUAUUUUUUGGGGAUAUCUUGCCACUUCAGAGUUGGCGUUUGGUGGUGUGAUCUGUGCAUGUGUUCAAUUGCGCGUAGUGUGGUUAUUCCAAGUUAGUACGAUUGUGUCACUUCAGUUUGAUAGUAUGCAGGGACAGAACCUGCCGGCUGCAGCUAGUACGGUUUGAUAUGUGACGAUGCCUGUAGAUUGUGGUACUAAACUUUGAUGCUUGUUCAUAAACUAGUUUAGAUGGAGCCACCCAAAAGAUAUGUUAGUUUUUCUUUUUUUGGCUUAGAUACUCUGUUUUGUCUGUGUUCUGUUCAGGGCAACUUUGAAGCUUAUCUUAGGGUGGUGGACAGAAAAAUGUUUAGCACCUUCCACAACUCAUAAGGAAGAUAAUUAAAAAGAGUGUAGGAAGAAAUAGUUAUGAUCUUAUUAGGAAAGCUAAGAAGAAAGCCAACACUAGGUUUUUGUUUUUCUAACUCUAUGGCUACACUGUAAAAUUAUUUAUAGAUUAGCUCCAAUUGAUGCAAAUCUUUUUGGUGGGUCUGGGAUGCGACUGAGUCAGAUCAAUCCCAAGUUACUCCCUCCGUCCCAUAAUAUAGGAUGUUAUUACAUCUAAUAUGUGAGCAUAUUAGGUGUAAUAACGUCUUAUAUUAUGGGACAGAGGGAGUAGCUACUUGUCUCUCUCAAAUUUUACUGGAACACCGAGGCACUGGUCUCAAAAGUGGAAAUUCUUGCAGGUUUGUAAUGCAUCUGUUUUGGUCCUUGCGUUCACCUCUGAGAAAUAUACCAUACCAAUCACAAUUUUUGUUAGUAAUGGAGUGGUAGGCAGAUGCAAAACCAAGCAAUCAUUUUCCUUCUAAAGACACUUGUAAAAGCAUCAUGAGUGUCUAUUCUAAUGGAGUGGUAUACAGACAUAUAAUUGUUGCAGGGAUGCUGCAACUUCCUGGAGCAAGGCCAUAGUGGUACUAGGUUUGUCUAUUCUAGUGAUACUGGGUUUUCUUUUCUGAUUUCUUCUAAUUUAAUAGUUAUGCCAGCUACAUUAUGAGUGCCAGCUCUGCAGUAACUUUUUUUGCGAGGCAUAACAACUGGAUUAUUGUUCAUACAGGGAAAACAGAAACGAGUAUGAGUGCCUUUUUAUUUAAUUUAGUCAUAAUAGUUGACUUAAAAUAUUGUAUAUUAAAUGUGGGUAGGAGAUUCCUGUAUUUUUAUUGAAAACGGAACAGCAACAAUAGGAAGAGUUUUUUUUUUACAUGAUGGAGCGAUUAUUUUCCUAAGAAAAAUAUAUAAUGUAUAUAUAUAUAUUUCUCAUUCUGUUCAAUACCUGGUUUAGGAAGAGCUCUUUUUCCUAUGCAAAAUGUAUAACAUGUAUGUUUAUAGUUCUGAUUGCAGGCAUAUUCGUCGCGCUCGCCCUGUGUCUUGACGUUCCGCGAGGGACCAAGCGGGAUACGCCACGGGUUUUGCUGUUACUAAGAUACUUCGAUAUCAGUAGCACCUGUUCUAUUUAUCUGUCUUUUUUUGUGUUUUGACGCACAGCCUGCUCUGUUAUACAUAGUUACUGGCAUGACUGGUUUCAUCGCUGUUCGCUCUGUGUGUAAUGGAGAAGUAGAGCCGAUAAGUAAGCCUGCUUACCUAGUCCCUUUUGUUUAGUCCUGGGAUGAGAGAAAAUAACUGACAAUCUGGACCAGCCUGCCUUUGAAGUGCGAAACUUGUUUGUCACUGACUGUUUUCGCGAUUGGCAGUUGCUGGAGUUCACUGAGUCGAUAGUCGGAGAGGACGCAGAACAGGAGAGCAAAAAGGUGGAUUAGGGCUUUCCCUAAGGUGUGCUUUCAGGUAUUUUCAGUUUUCUUGUUAAGGAAUCAAGUUAUGAUUUUGUCUGUCAAGACCCUAUAUUCAUGGAGUGAGACGUUGUUCUGAAUUCCGACGCACUCAGAAAGUUUCGUCGCGGAAUUUCUUCUGGAAAAUAUGUGUAUGUAUUCCAGUUGUAUCAUUAGUAACCCAAGGCCAUAUAUAUAGCACGAAGAAUGUUUUCUUGAUUCGUUCGGUCUGACAAGACAUACAUAUAUUCUGCCGUGAAGCGAAUUAGGUUCGUUGCUGACCGGCAAAGUAAGGGCCGUUUCUGCAUCUAUAUAGGCUAGCUAGGCAAUCUGCCCUCAAGGUUGGGGGGAGUUGGAGAUUGGGGUCUCGAAUUGAGCUUAUAUUAGAAUCCUUUGAUUGGCUCAGAGACAUGGGAAUUAAGGAGCCAAGGGGAAGAGGAAUUAAGAGGCCCAGCUCCCUCAGAUUUCUUCCCUGGACGACCCCUGGUAAUUGAACUAGGGAUCGGGAAUCGACAGAAAAAGAUACUACUGACGUGCUGUUAGUUGGGCACGUUUGUAAGGGAAAGGCAUCAUUAAAAGUUGCUUAUUCCUCUGCCUAUGCCCACCAACCAAAUAGUGGUAGUUAACUCGCUUUUAAAUUCUCAAUUCUAAUUGCCUUCACAUACCAAACAGAGGAAUGGGACUUUAAAAUCAAUGUCCAUGUCUAAUGCCUUGGCAAACUCCCAUUCUCUCUCCCUCUAUUGCUGCCGAACACGCUGUAAAAUGAAGUCAUUUCUGCUAAUCCAGAUGCUCCAGGCUGCCAAGAUAAUCGAUUCCAGUUCCAUACCUGAUUUAGCAACAACUCUUUUUCCUAUGCAAAAAGUAAAAUCUAUACCAUGCUUCUAGUUCCGACUGCAGGCAUGUUCGUCGCGCUCGCACCAAGAGCUGUCGCUUCAACAACGCUUUUCUGGGAUACGCCACAGGCCUGCCAGUAAAAAGAUGGUGGCGACGAACUGGUUUCGAGCCACACAGGUCAGUUCUGCCAUUACUAAUACAUCAUGGCAUCUUGUUGCUCUCGGUCGAUGCCCUGUCAUCUCUGGAAAAAAUAUCAGCAGCACCUGUUUUGUUUCCGAAUUGUUGUUGGGUUUUGAUGCGCAGCCUGCUCUGUUGUAGCACAUCGUUCCUGGCGUGUGGCUGGUUUUGUUGCCGUUCACUCUCCGUUGAAUGGAGAAGUGAAAGCGGGCAAGUAAGCCUGUAUACCUUUUCCCUUUUAUGUAAUUCUGUAGUCCAUUGAUUCUUGAUCUGACUGUGUAGACAAGGGAGAAUGUCACCGUACUGUUCGCUGGUGACUCGCCCAUGGCAAGUCACCUGAUCUCAAUCUCCCCCAACCCCACCUCACCACCCACAAUGAUAAUUUUGUUUUCGAGACAUCUAUAAUACGUAAAUAGUUCAUCCCUACUAUGUUAUUUCUCUUGACAUGCAGUCUAUCCACCUCAGCACAGCUGCCACAUCCGCAUUUUAUUAGUGGCUUACAUGUGGGACCCACCACAGGUUGACCAGGGUACAGAACAACCACAUCAUCAUUCGGUUACCAGCUGUAGAGACCCACCACUGCCUCCACAGUGUAAACCAACGGGGUACAGAACCUCAAAGAAGAACAGCGUACAGACAACCGUCCCUCUCCCUCGAUUCAGCCGAAUCCACGAGCCCCUUUCCCACUGUUACACUUUACACACCGGCGCGGCGGCCGGGAUCCCAUCUCACGCCCCUCCGGCAGGACCACCACCCGGGCUUCCCUCUGCAAUUUAGCCGAACCCAUUCACCCCCUUUUCCCCUGUGUACAGCCCGGCGCGGCGGCCGGGAUCCCAUCUCACGGCCCUCCGGCGGUACCACCGGCUCGGCUCCCCUCUGCUGUUCCCCGGGGACCGCUAGGGCUAUGAUCCCCUUCUACGUGUGGUGCCAUGGUCUGGAGCUAUUUCCGUGGUGCCAAAUCCAGACCGCGCACCUAUUUUAGCCACCGCUGCCCCCACGGGUCAGCGUUCUCUCAUCAUGAUCUCCCCCGGGUGAACGCCUCUCUCUUUUCUGGUGUUCUUGGUGUUCUUGGUUUUAAGUCAAGCUGCGUGCACAGUUGUACAUUACGGGGUUGAUUCACAUAUAUGUGUAUCCUUUUACAAGUCUGGCGUUUGUUUGCAACUAGAUAUAUAAACACCGUGUGUCCAUAUGGUUGGGGUACGGAUUUAGAGAACACCAUUGUUGUUAGAGAUUUCAUCAGAAUACAAUGUAUUGGGUUGUUGACAGAUAUCUUUUCAACAACAUUGGCCUGCUUAGUACAUGAUAUCUUUAGCGUAGCUUUAUUUAUCUGAUUUUUUUUCCUGAUUGGCAAAUUUGAUAACUAAAAAUCUCUUUUUCAUCAGGUCACUGCGGAAGAUUAUAAUUGUUUCUAAUCCCGCUCUCUAUAUACUCCCAAGGUAUGACCUUUUGAACUAUUGUGUAGUUUCGUUUCAGCAGUAAAAGUUCAGAAACCCCAAUUUAGGGCCUGUUCGUAUUCACUCCACUCCGUCAGAUCCUUAGCUCCACUCCCAGCUCCUAGGUUGCUAGCUCCACAGGGCAAACGAGGAGCAGACAACUUGUUCGGCAACUAACUCCACUCUGCACUCUGGAUUACAGGCCCCCCACAACACAUCAAGCUGGUUUGAUACUGGUCAGUACGUGGAUCACUUGUUGUGCCAAUGAUGCAACACAGUGCAGAAAAAAUGCACAAAUAUGCUGAGUUUACUGAAAAUAAUGCUGAAGUUUCACACAUAAUUUUUUUGUGCAAAAAUUCACUUUAUCGCACAAGAACGAUUCAGCAUGAGUUUGCUGAAAUUACAUGAUUUUAGCAACAUAGACAAAUAGGAUUUUUCAUAAGAUAAACACAAACAAAGGCAGCAUAAACACAUGUACUUUGUAGACAUCACUCUAGUCCAGUGGAGGUCCUGCAGAAACAAUUUUCAACACAUGAAAACCUUUAUGCAAUGCUGGUGAUUGCUUGAAUAGAACCAAAAACAUAUAUACUCUGCUUCGGAUGGUUUCACCUACAAAAUUACGAAAUUUGUUAAUAGGUACAGAUACAUAUCAAUUGUGAAAGAAGCAAAUCAUGUUGUGAUUGAACUAGCUAAGAACAUCUUCUGGAUUCUAGACUUAUGCAUCUUGCUACAAGGAAAUAAAUGACAAGUAAUAUUGUGACUAAUAUUUCAGCUACUGACAAAGACAGUGAACAGUUUCGACAUGUUUGGAGACAACAUUCACUUGUUUAACUUUACGACCAGUCAUCUAUGAGAAAGCAUGAAUUUAUCAAGCAAGGUAAAAACUAAAGAAUUGUAGCAAAUAAAAACACAUGAAUGCUGUAGAAACUAGUAUACUCACAUUUAUAGCAGAACUGGAAGUCACCAACCAAGAGCAAUAUCAGUUGCUAGUCUAUUACGGAACCGGUCCAUGUCUUUAUCACUAGUCUCCGAGGUUGACGCAUCCGAUGCAUUCGGAGGGAUGGCAUACCGUUGAUACCUUGAAGGGAUAGUUGGGACAUAGUUGGGAUCUCUGUCGACUCGAAGAAAGUGAAGAUCCCCCUUAUCAUGAUAUCGAACGUAGUUGUGGAGGGCCAUAGUUGCAGCCACUAUCAUCUUUUGAGUUUCAACUGAAUAAUUGGGCAUCUUUAGUAGAAUCUGCCACUUCAUUUUCCACACACCAAACGCUCUCUCGAUCACAUUACGCUUGGAUGAGUGUAUCUCGUUAAAUUUCUCCUUAGGUGUUCUUGGCGCCACACCUCGUUGAAAAUCAGGCACGUGGUACCUUUCCCCCUUGUAAGGUGCGAGAUAUCCAGGUCUAUUAGGAUAGCCCGCGUCCACAAGAUAGUACUUACCUACAAACAACAAGCAGAUUGCAUGUAAGGCCUAUGAUUUGUUUACAGAAUUUAAAUAAAAGAAAUUAUUAUAGGAACUACUAACCCUUUGGAGGAUGAGGGAAGGUAUCUUUGUCAGCUUCAAUUGCAUGAUACAAGACACCGGUAUCAUGCAUAGAGCCGGGUUGACCAACUGAAGUGUACAUGAAAUGCAUGUCAAAAUCACAUAUUGCCAGAACAUUCUGUGUUGUUGAUCCUGACCUUCCAAUGUAUCUAACUUCAUCGCCAGCAGGAAUGGUAGCUCUGACGUGAGUACCAUCUAGUGCGCCGAUGCGGUCCUUAAGAUGUGGAUAAGCCCUUCUAUCCUUUUGAAUCCUUGGGUGCACACUACUAAAGUUUGGGUCCUUAGGUUUCAGGUAAUCUGCUGCCAUCUUAAUCACACAGAGUAAAACCUCAUGAAACUUCCGGUGGACUGUAUCUCCUGAGUGCUUGAAACGAUUUUGUGUUCUCCUAUUAGACUCGCAACCCCCUAAAGUCCACAAGAACAUUGCAAGCGCCUCAUAACUGCUCACGAAACAGGUUGAUUUGAAGCCAUACCUUUUGACCAACAAGUCAUGCAAUUGAAAGAAGAGGCGUGCGUUCAUCCUCAACAUGGUAUAUGUUUCUCCAGGUGUUGACACUGUCUCUUGCAGCCAUCCGAACCCACUAAGAAUAGAAUUCCUUGGGUCUGCCUUGAUCAAAUAGUUGUCACAGUACUUCCCUGCAAGUGUUGAUGCACUGGCAUAGAUGUUGGACAUUGAUUGGACAUGGUGGCAUACCCUCUUCUUCCUUUCUUCAUAACUAUCACUAUCAUUGUCACUAUCCGAUGACAUCUGAACAUACACAAGUAACAACAAUUAGUACUUAAUUAUCAACCAGAUUAGUCAUAGCAGAAAGAUAAGUAAGAAUCAUAUGUAACAUUAAAGACAAGUCAUAUGUAACAACAUUUAUCAUGUAACCAUCAGCAAGAUGAGUCAUAGCAGUAAUAUAAGUAAAAUUAUACAUUAAUUGCAAGCAUUACAAUUUAACACAUAUCGAUGAACAAUCAUCAACCAUGCUCCUAGUUACAUACCAGCAAAGACCAUGGUGAAAAAGAAUCAGCACAGCUACUGUAGUACAAACAAAUAAUAAUGUCUUAAGAAAAUCCUGAAACAAAUAAUAAUUUCUUAAGCAAUCUCAAUACUAACAUAUUUCAAAGACAAGUAAUAUUGACUCAACUGCACUAGCUAGAGUUUAUGAGCAUCGGAGCAGAUAUCAUAUCCUAUUCUCUCGCUAAAGGAAAAAUAAUAGUUACAGGUUAUAGGCAGAGAAGGGGUUCACUAGCUAGUUCACUCCAUCCAUGUCAAUCAAGGCAAAUAAAAGAAACAGAUGCAAUACGUAUAUGUUUGCAACAUCCAUGAUAAUCAUGUAGUGUGUAUUUGUUAUCUCUGAAGAAAAGGAAACUCUAUCUGUCUCUAUGCACUCUGUCGCUCAUCUCCUUUCUAUACCAACUCCCCUAAUUCAUCCCCUUCCUCUCAAUUUCCUCACAUAAUCCUUGCAGGAAUUAUAGACAUGUUGUACUACUACUUACUGGAAUCAAGAACCAAGAAUCAAGAACACCUGGAACUAUUCAGGAAUAUGAAUCAAGAACAGUAGAGGAACAAGGGUGAAGAGGAGAUAUGGAUCUCACCUUGAUGGAUGUGAUGUAGGCGUGGAUGCCGACCUUGCAAACGACGAAUCCGAGCUGCCGGGGACGAGGACGAGGCCCUGGUGAUCUCAGCCGCCAGAGGUCCACUCAAACCGUAUGCCCUCAAAGUGGUUGCCGAACAGAAAAGCCGCCUUGGAUGAGGAGGGGGGCGAGGAGAUGGCGAGGUCGCAGGGGCAUGGAUUUGGCCGAAGGGGAGCUGGGGAUCCGCGGCGGCGGGGUGGCGGCGGGCGGCGGCGCAGCGCUAGGGUUCCAUGGUCACGGGAGGACAGGGGAGUCGCUGCACGGGGGAGAGAGAAAAGGAUCGAGUGAAGCGGUAAGUUGUGCGGGGAGUGGCACGCGGAGCUCGGUUUCGCUGACUCCGCUGAAUUGAACUACGGUCUUGUCCGCUCCGCUCUUCCUACUUCGUGGAGUCGGACCGUUCGGCACUGCUCUGUCCGCUCCGGGAGCAGAGUCGGGGAGCGGAGUGAAUCCGAACACGCCCUUAGUUAAAAAAAAGUUCUAAACUCUCAAAUAGCCUGCGAGCAGAAUGUUGCAGGCUUUGUCCGGCGUUGCCAGAUACAUGUUGUGAGUGGUAUCUGUUUCCUUGACUACAAAUUCAGAGUUCAUUUGAAUUCUUGCCACCGGUCUUUGUGUUAGAGCCAACAUCACUGCAUCUGUGGGCGACAGCACACACCACUUGCAGUUGCUACCUUCUCUCUUUCAAGCUCGGCAUCAGUAGUGUGCCUUCCUGGUCCAACAACUGGUGUUUUCUCUCUGAUGACUCUCCAAUCUGCAUAUUGGAUUUUGUUCCCUGCUCGUGCUAAACAAAGAGUGGCCCUUGGACCAUUGCCUGCCUGACAUGGAUGUACCCCCGUUUUAAUCUGAAGAAUUCAGUAUUGGUGUUUAAUUCUGUAAAUUUUUAUUUUACAUUUUUUUGAUCCAAACUUGCUAGGUUUCCUGACGAUGUGUGGUAAGACGUCUUUUAUCAAGCCAUUUUGGAAUUCUUAAGAAGGUAAGGAUGUUUCUCUCUUUUGUAACAUUUAGAAUAUUUUUCAGCUAGUUGUAGCUAUUUUUACUUGCUUUACCCAGUUAUUUUUCUGCAAUGAUUGGCCAUAUUAAUUCCCUCUAUCUAAUUCCGUCAACUAGAUCAUGCGCGGGUUCGAACAGAUUUAUGAAAUUGCUAUUUUUUUCUGAUAGUAACUCGGGUAUAACACCUAUUGUAGUACGGUUAUGUUAUAGUAGAUAUAGGCCCUGUUUGGUUCAGCUUUUAUCGACGGAUUCCGCUGUCGCGCAGCAGAAUCUGAACCAAAGGGCGAACCCAGCAAAAUCCGAUUCCAGAAAUCCGCGGCCAAAAUCUGAACCAAAAGCGGAAGCAACCCAGGACGUGCUUUCCAAAAUCUGAUUCCGCUGCGGGCCAAAAUCUGAAAAAGCUGUAUCAGCUGGUUUGCCAAAUGACCCACAUCUUUUUCACAUCAGAUUUUCCACAACUAUUUUUCCACAGCAGAUUUUUCACAGCUGCUUUUAGAAAUCCACAACCGAACCAAACAGGGCCAUAAGGAGAAGUUGUUUGAUUUCAUGUGGUGACCCCCCUUUGCCCAAAAAUUACUGAUAGCAUUUUGUUUUUUGUUUGUUUCAUAUGGCAUCAUUCUAUUAUUUCCGGCAGUAUUUAGACUAAAUUGGAGAGGGAGAACAAACUUGAUACACUAAGCAAGCAAUGUCGGUCAUCUGAGGGCUUGGGCGCCUGUUGUUCCAAGUUCGCGAGGUACUAAGAGCAUCUCCAGCCGUUGGCCCCCCUAGGACGCGUAAAAAUCGCCCCCCGGGGGCGAGCCGGCGACACAAUCGGCGCUGGGGGCGGUUUUGCGCCCAGUCAUCGCCCCCAGGUGCCGAAAUUGGCCCACUUUUCAGCCCCAUUUCGGCGAAUAAAGGGCCCAUAUGGGCGAGAAUAGGCCCAUAUUCGGCGUGGUUCGCCGUGGCUCGGCGUUCAAUUAUCAAUGUAAUUUUUUUCUUAUAACAUAUUUCAUCACAGAAAAAUCAAAUACUUCAACAAAACAGUACAACAACAAAUAGUUCAAUACAAAUUAUAUAGUUCAACAAAUAAAAACUCAUAUUUCAUCACACGUCGCGCCCGGCGUCCCCCUUGAGCCUCCAUAGGUGCUCAAUCAGAUCUUUCUGCAGUUGAUGAUGCACCUGUGGGUCUCGGAUCUCCUGACGCAUACUGAGAUAGGGAGUCCAGGUUGCCGGUAGCUGGUGAUCAACUUCGGCUAGAGGACCCUGCCUGUAGUAUGGUUCAGUGUCUAACACUGGGUCUUCUUGCUCGCUCUCGAUGAUAAUGUUGUGCAAGAUGAUACAGCAAGUCAUAAUCUCCCACAUUUGAUCUUUCGACCAGGUUUGAGCGGGGUACCGGACAACAGCAAAUCGAGAUUGGAGCACACCAAAUGCCCGCUCGACAUCUUUCCUGCAAGCCUCCUGAAUCUUCGCAAACCAGGCGUUCUUGCCUCCUGGCACAGGGUUUGAGAUCGUCUUCACAAAUGUCGACCAUCUUGGAUAGAUGCCAUCAGCUAGAUAGUACCCCUUGUUGUAGUGCCGCCCAUUGGUCUCGAAGUUCACCGGAGGAGAAUGACCUUCAACAAGCUUGGCAAAGACAGGAGAGCACUGCAGCACGUUGAUGUCAUUGUGAGUUCCUGGCAUACCAAAGAAGGAGUGCCAAAUCCAGAGGUCCUGUGUGGCCACCGCCUCAAGUACCACACUGCAACCGCCUUUGGCGCCUUUGUACAUCCCCUGCCAAGCAAAUGGGCAAUUCUUCCAUUUCCAAUGCAUGCAGUCGAUGCUUCCAAGCAUCCCAGGAAAUCCUCUUGCUGCAUUUUGUGCUAGGAUCCGAGCAGUGUCUUCCGCAUUGGGUGUUCUCAAGUAUUGCGGUCCAAACACAGCCACCACUACCCGACAGAACUUGUAGAAGCAUUCUAUGCUGGUGGACUCGGCCAUGCACCCAUAGUCGUCGAGUGAAUCACCGGGAGCUCCGUAUGCAAGCAUCCUCAUCGCUGUCGUGCACUUCUGGAUCGAGGUGAAUCCAAGUUUGCCGGUGCAAUCCAUCUUGCACUUGAAGUAGUUGUCUAACUCCCGGAUGGAAUUCACAAUCCUGAGGAAGAGCUUUCGGCUCAUUCGAUAACGGCGCCGAAAUGUUUUGUCGCCGUGAAGUGGAGCAUCGGCGAAGUAGUCGGAGUAGAGCAUGCAGUAGCCUUCGAGACGAUGCCGGUUUUUUGCUUUCACCCGCCCCGGCGCCGAGCCACCUCGCCGCGGCUUUUCAUUGCUCACCAGCAGCUGGGCGAGGGCGGCGAGCACCAUCAGAUGCUCUUCUUCCUGGACGUCGGCCUCGGCUUCCUCCUCCAGCAACCCGGCGAGCGCUUCCUCGUCAUUCGAGUCCAUCGCCGAGGCAGACAAAUCGCCGAACACCUUGCGCUCAGUGGGCGUGCACCCGCCGCUAAACUGCCCCUCUGCGGCCGGAAACGCCCAGCUGCUGUUGGAGGGGCUGCCGCGACAAACCUCUGCUAUUUUUCCGGCGGGGAAUGGCUAUCUAGCGGUGAAGGGCGGCGGGCGGCGCCGGGAUAUAGCUAGUGGCGGCCGAGGGCGCGGGGGGUGGAAGGCGAGUUGGGGAAGAAAAUCUUGACUUUUCACCUGAGGGUGUGGGCCAGCAGCGCUUUUCCCUUGCGCCGGAGCCCCCGAUCGCCCCCCAGUGCGCCGGGUUCGGCCUGCGCGCGCCGGGCGGAAAAAAGGGCCGAACCGGCGCUUUUCGUCGUCCUGGGGGCGCGACCAGGGCGUUUUUUUGGCGCCGACGCCGAAAAAGUGGCCUGGGGGGCCUGUUGGGGGUGCAGCUGGAGAUGCUCUAACUGUACUUUGAGGAAUAUCAUUUAGUGUCUGCCAAAGUCUAUUGAUGCGUGUACAGAAUAUCAACAAACGUAACAUACUCAUUCAUUGUAAUGUAAUACAAGAAUAUUUGAAUCUAUUGUAUCAAAAUGUGAUCUAUACAGUAACAAGUUGUGCGAAAAUCUAAAUGGUCAAGAUAUUUUUUUUUUGCGAGUAAUCUGAAUGAUCGAGAUGAUUGCUAUAUCUCUCUUUUUCACGGGCUGAGACUGCUGUGUCAGCUGGACUUUCUCUCAUCCCAAUGCUUGAGCGGACGACCAUGAUUUAGGGUGCAGCUGAGUGUGGGCACCAAAAUGCCCGUCCCCUUAAAAUUAUGCUAUUUAUAUCACCUUCCGUGAUGUUGUCUGUGAUAUUGGGUUGUUCUCAUCUAACACAAUUUUUCAGCAUAUCAUCGUGGUUCAUUAAUUCUCGACAUUUCUAUGAAAAAUCGUUUCUAGAUGAUGCAAAAGUUCACAUGUCUUUAUAUUAAUCAUGUGUACUUGGAAACAGGGUUUAGUUGUUCGUAUUGUCAUGGACUUUCAACAAUUAUCUAUAGUUUUCCAACUGAGGUUUCGAGCAUUUUCUUAUAAUUUAACAUGUGUUCCCACAGCAACGCCCGGGGUGUCAUCUAGUUAACUUGAAUGGCUGGUAGCGUUUUCUAGUACAAUCCAUUCACGGUUUGUCGAUGCAGAGUAUUCAUGAAUGAUUAACCAGUGCUCGGAUUAAGUUCAUGUAACUUUUUAUUUGAAAUAGGCAGACAACUUUCUUGAUGAUAUUUUUACUUCACACGGAAGGGGGCAUGUGUCAGUGAGCAUUACUGUUGUGCAUCUCUCACAGAACAAACCUACAUUUUAAGUCAAAUUCUGAAGAAAAAAAUCUGCACACAAACAUAGAGACGUACUAGCUAAACCCGCGCGGCGACACGCCGCGCUUGUUGAUUAAUCACGACUGUAUAUGUCGACUACGGGCUAAGCAGUAGAUUAAUGAAUAAUCAUCUGUUGUUAAUUAAAGAGAUCCAGAACAAUACAUAAAAAGGCCGAAGAUGACAAAUAACUGAAUUUAUUAUCGCCAUGCAAAUGCAUGGAUACAAACAGAACGGUUAACAUUGACAUAUCUCUAAGGAAAACUAUUUAUUGAAACCAUAUAGAGCUCACUCUAUGCAGUAAACAGUAUACAGUGCUAUUAUUUUACAAAACAACAACUAAACUUUUUUUGUAAGUUCUUUAUUAUCUGACAUACAAACAUUAAUAAGACUUGCUUCAUUUACAUGAAACAACAAAGGGUCUCGAGGAAUAACAUAUGUAGCUUAGCUUGUGCAUGAUGAGCAGCAAUACACUCCAGCUGCAUGAAGUCAUGUAGUCUCUUGGGUAGCACUAAAGCUAACACAUUGCACUUGUGGAAAGGAGACCGUAGGCAGGUCAUGGCGUUUAUGCUGAGCUUGUGCAAGAUGUGCUCAAGGUACGUACGUGGGGUUGUUGCCAACGGGUAGCUGAAUACCCCAUUACCAUUCUCACAGAACCUGGACGAUCACACCUCCUAAUCGUACACCUACACGAAACACACGGGGAAUAAGAAUUAAGAAUCAAGAGAAAGAUGUCCAAGCAAGCAACCAUGCAGGCAACAGGUGGCCAUUUCAUGUAAAAUCCAUGCACACGUAGUCACAUCGCCUGCCAAUCCCAUGCACACAGCCACAUCAGCCCGAUGAUAGCCCACCUCUAAAAAAAAGCUGCAUCGGCCUGAGCCCCCCUCUAAAAAAAGAAAACGGCAUCGUCCCGACAACCAUGCCCCACCGCUGCAUGCGGCUACUGAUUCCGGACCAAACAAUAUAUGGUGUAAACAAUCAGGGGUGAACAUUUUUGAGAAUUUUAAAUAUUGUAAGGGAAAAUAUUUUAUUCAAGAUAUUUUUUCCUAAAAAAAAUUUAUGUUUUUGAUUAUAGUUUAUAGACGACUAUGCUUCUAUUUGGAGAAAAAAGGUUUGAAAAGGGGUUGUGCACGAUAAGAGUAAAAUUAUUUUUUGGAGAGAACGCCCGUACUUCCAACUAACCAUGCAAGCAAAAAACAAUACGUACGACAAGGUUAUGACAGUACCCCAGACCUCUAUGUAAAGCUAGAUGGAACCAUCUGUAAAAAUCAAUCACAGUUGACGGACAUUCAACAUUGAAUAUAAAUGAGUCCCAAGCCUGAGAGAUUGAAGUUCGAUAUCAAAAAUUAUUAUAUACCAGGAAAAAGAAAAAUAGAUAAACCAACAAAUUACCCAGAGCUUAGAAGAUAACCGCUACACUUCCACAAUUCAUGCAGCAUCAGCACGCUGAAGAUCUUUUUUUUUUAAGCUAGCACGCUGAAUAUCUGGCGUAAGAAGAAGUGAUUAACAAAGCCAAGCAGCCAGACCUCUCCGUUCGCCAAAACUGUGAGGAAACCAGAAAAUGAAACUACCUGCAGUGAAAAGAGCUGUGCUGCUGGCGACAACUGCAAAGGUGUAACGCGAACUUCAUGUGCACCCGCUCUAACCCAGGACCUAGAGGGGAUGGAAGUCUCGGGCUCUGGUGACCCUGGGGACGCGCCCCCGCCCCCGGCGGGCGCCGCGGCCGGCGUUUCCUCCCCGCCCGGCUCCUCGUCGGACCCUCGCCCGGCUUCCCCGCCUCCUGCGUCGCCUGCCUCCUCGCCGCUCCCGUCCUCCCUCGAGGUGUUGCCGCGGAUCCGUUGGGCGGACCUCGCCGAGGAGGACGAACCCCCCUGGCCGACUGCCCUGGCCCCUCCCGUCCCCCCCGCCCCCCUCCCCCCGUUCGUGCGUCGCCGACCAGCGUGGCCGCUGGCUCAGCCUCCCAUUGCGGAGGUUCUGCCUCCGGCUCGCGGCGGCGCGCGCAGAACCGGCCAAUGAGCUCUGCUCGUCCGCCUCGGGGCCAAGGCGCAGCCUUGCGGGGCUCGGGAGGCCGCCGACGCUGCUCCUGGGGAGUGGCGGGCCGGUCUGACUUGGUUUCGGCUCGGUCCUCCUGGUGGGCGUCCACGGCGUCCCCUCCUCGGCUGACGCCGGCGACUCCCUCGGCUCUUCCCACCUCCCCGCCCGCCGGCGUGAUAGUGCCCCGCUGCUCCCCGUUCCGACCCUUCAUCGCCGCGUUUGGCUCCUUCGCGCAUCAGUUCCGUCCUCUCUCCCUCCCUCGUCGCCCUUGGCCGGCGGCCUCACCCCCCUUGCCCCGGCAACGGUGGCGGCGGCGGCUCCUCCCUGCGAAGGGGAAACCCUUCCGCGCGGUGCCCCGCUCCCUGUCCUGGGCCGUGCCCCUUUGGGCUGCGAGGAGGUGGCCCGCUCGCGCCGGGUAGCUGGCCUGGCCCUCCGGGCUCAUAGGCCUCUUCCCCAGGCCGCGGCAGCUGGGCCUUCGAUCCUUGGGCCGGCUCCGUGCCCUAAGCCCAGUCAGCCCCCUCGAUCGAUCUGGCUACCCUACGGCCUGCCGCGCCCCUCGUCCCCCCCCACCCUGCCGCCAUGGUCUCCCCCUCUCCCGAAGAGAUCUCCAGUUCCUCCCCAUCCCCGCCCCGCUCCACCCGCCUCCUCGUCCUCCCUCGCCGGCGACCGCCGGCUCGGAUUCCUCCCUGUCCGCUGGCUCCGCCCAUGACGCGGGAGUGGGAUGACGGCGUGGAUCGCCGCAAGCGGCGCUACGACGACCGCCGCGACCCCCCUCGUCCCUCCCCGGACGCCGCCCGUCGCGAGGAUGAGCUGCGGCGCGAGCUCCGGGACCGGGAGAGCCGCCGCUCGCAGGGCUUCGACGACCGUCGCGACCACCGCCGCUCCCCGGGCCGCUCCGAUGGGCGUGCUCGGUCCUGCUCCCCUCCGCCGGCGGCGGGCAACUGGCGCUCCUCGCGGCGGCGCUCUCCUUCCCCGCCCCGAUGCCGGGAGCGCAGCCCAUCCCCUCCCCGCCCGGCCCGUCCUCUCUCCCCGCGUGCGCCUCCCCAACCCGCUGCUGCCCCGGCCAGGAAGUACGUCCCGCCGCACGCCGCAAACUCCUCUGGUCCCCCUGUCGCCGGUGGUGUUGGGGGUGGCCAGGCUCGCGGUCGCCCGGGUGCGGCCAAAAAGAAGAAGCGGCGCGGGCAGGCUCGGGCAAACCAACAGGCAGCCCCUGUGCCGGCCUCCGGCCGCUCGGCUGUGUCUGGCCCAGUCUCUGGCCGCCCCAGUCCGCCGUGCUUCAACUACGGCAUUGCGGGUCAUUCCCAGGUCAACUGUGUCAACCCCCCAUGUGCUACAUUUGCAAGGAUCCCUCCCACCCCGCGCUGUUGUGCCCGGACCAGCCUAUCGACGAGGAGUUGAUGAUGUACGGCCAUGGGAUCGAGGGGCCGGGGUUCUUCCACAUCGAGCUCCCGGACGUCCCCUCCCCCUCCCUCCAGGCGCUCGUCACGAUGAUUGAUGGUGUCGCCUCCCCCGAGAUGAUUGAGGUUGAGCUCAACCACCUCUAUCGUCGCCAAUGGGACUGGCAGGCCACCCUCACCACUAAUGGCGCUUUCUCGGUGGUCUUCCCCGACGCUCUCAGCCACGGCUACGCCACGCGCAGUGAUCAGAUCACUCUCGCCCUCAACAAGUUGGUCGUCGACAUCUCCGAGCCGAUCCUCGACCCCAAGGCCGUCGCGGUCCUUGACACUGCUUGGAUCCUGGUCGCCGGGCUUCCUGACAUUGCCCGGUCUGAGCGAGUGAUCCGCAAUAUGUCUCGGAUCCUUGGCAAGGUGGUGGUGGUCGACGAGCUAUCCCCCCGCAAGGAGGAGGUGCGCGUCAAAGUCAAGUGCCUCGACUCCUCUAAGCUGCGCGCCACCAUCCGAGUCUUCUUCAACGACCAAGGCUUUGAUCUCCGCAUCGCUCCCGAGCCGCCCAACCAUGUGGGUCGGCCCCGCUUCUUCGACGACGCCCCCCCGGCGCUCCUCCUGGGUCCCAGGAUGACUACCGCGGUCGUCAUCACCCUCGGUCGCACCACUCCGAUGAUGAGGAGGGAUCUGAGGACAGCCCUUCCCGCUCCCCUUCGCCACCUCGCCCGGUCCCGUCCUCGAGCCGUGGGGGGCAGCAAGCUGGGCUCGCUGCGCCUCCUCCUUCUCCGGUUGCAGCCGCCUCCGAGGGGAGUGAUGCCUCCGACAUCAGCCUCAUCGUCACCCCGGCCUCCUCUCCCCGCUCCCCCGACACGCUCCCUGCCGUGACGAUCCUGGACGUGUAGCCGACCGCCUCCGUCCUGGCCUCCCCUACGGCUGGGACCCCUGUCGCGGCGCGCGCCUCCCCGGCCACCUUCUCACCGACGCUCCAGGGUGCCGCGCCACUCCUCCCCAGCUCGCCUCCCCUAGUGAUGGCCCCCGAGGAGCCCCCACCCCCACGGCAGCCGCUCCCUCCCCGUCGCCGCUGCCGGCGGUAACUGGGGUUCCUCCCGCCCCUGAUCCCGCGUCGCCAGCUCCUGCUUCAUCCCCCCGACGCCUCGACUGCUCCCAGCCGCUUCUCCUCCUCGCGGGUACGGCGGACCCCGGCGGGGAGGGCGAGACUCGGGUGACCACCCCCGUGGCUUCCCAGCCACCUCCCUCACGGUCCGCGGCCUACUCCCGCCGUGGUCGGUCCUCCUCCACCCCGGUGACGGCCUCGCGAUGGAGUGUCAGGCUUGAGGCCGCCUGGCCGGACGGUAGCCCUGCUCUGCCCAUCCCCGAGCCGGCGGAGCUUCGGGCCGCUGCCCGGAACCUGGAGUCAGGUACGCCAGUCGCCCCCCCUUCAACUUCUACUUGCUCAUUCUUUGCGCUCGAAGCGGUUCCUCUAGGUCACCUUGCGAAGGUUGUGUCAGACUCCGUGAUUGUUUUCAGGGGGGAAUCCGCUCCCCCCUUAGUGCAGAUUGCGGCCAUCCAGGCUCGCGAGAUCCUUGAUGGGAAGUUGGCGGAGGCCCGCCAGACCCUCCUCGCUCCCUCCAUCCCCUCGGGCCCUCCUCCGGUGGCUACCCCGUCACAACCCCGUAGGGCGGCUGGCCGCCCACCAGUGGUGGAGGCUGAGCCUCGGGGCCGCACCCACUCUCGCACUGCCGCUCUCCGCGCCCGAAGCGCCUCCCGCGUCCUGGGGUCAAGCAGCCCCCCAAUGGUUUCCUAAUGUGUGCCUUAUUCUGGAACAUCCGCGGGUUCGGCCAUGACGGCCGGCGCCGCCAACUCAUCGAGUACGUGCGCGAUGAGCAUAUUGACAUAGUGUCGAUCCAGGAAACCAUGCGCUCUGACUUCUCAUUGCCAGAGCUUGACCGGCUGAGCACCCACCUCUUUGCGUGGCACUGGCUCCCUUCUAGUGGGAACGCCAGCCAUUCGGGUGGCAUCCUUCUAAGUGUGAAGGAUGCCACCUUCGAGAUGGGGAGUAUGGACCGGGGCCAGUUCUUUGUUAGUAUGGAGCUCUAUGAACGAGCCCUGAACUUCAAAUGGGAGGUUAUCAUCGUCUAUGGCCCGGCUGACCACAGUAGAUCCGCGUCCUUCCUCGAGGAGCUUAACCGGAAGGGUCUCUGCGGCCUCCCUGCCGGUGGUUGUCGGAGGCGAUUUUAACCUCCUCUGAUUCGCGGAAGACAAGAGCAAUGACCAUGUCAACUAUGCACGUAUGCAGAUAUUUAAUGACUGCAUUGCCGAUCUUAGUCUUCGCGAAAUAGAUAGGAUCGGUGCCAGGUUCACCUGGACCAAUCGGCAAGCCUCCCCGACCCAGUCCGUCCUGGACCGGGUCCUAGUCUCCCCAGAAUGGGACCUCUGCUGCCCUCUGGCCUCUCUUCGGGCUAUCACUCGGAUUGGCUCCGACCACGUCCCUCUUCUCUUGUCCUCCUCCGAUGAGCGUCCUCUGAUCCCUCCCCGAUUUCGGUUUGAGACAUUCUGGUUGUUCCAAACUGGAUUCGUGGAGGCUGUUGGGGCUCGCUGGGUGGAGACCAGGACUCUUCCUCACCUCCGCCCCCCUCUGCUAUUGUCUCUUGGCACCUCUGUGCCAAACGCGGCCGACAGUUCAUGAAGGGAUGGGGUGCCAACCUGGGUCGCGACCUCCGCGAGCGAAAAAAGGCCUUGCUGACCGCCAUUCAGGCACUUGACCUCCGUGCUGACACGGUCGGCCUCUCCCCUGAUGAGUGGCUCUCUCGGUAUGACCUUAAAGACCAACUCUCCAUCAUCUACACGGACAAGGAAGCUUACUGGCAUUUGCGGGGUUCCUAGAAAUGGGUCCUGAAGGGCGACGCGAACACGGCCUACUUUCAGGCCAUAGCAAACGGCCGCCGUAGACGCAACACUACCCCCCUCCUCUGGGACGGUCUGUCCCUUCUGCAGUCCCCGAGCGACAUAGGACCCAUGUCGACGGGUUCUACCGAUCCCUUUUCUCCGCCUCUCCUAGGAGCGGCCAUUCUCUAGCCCUCGAUUGCUGGUCCGGCCGCCAGCUUGUCUCCGCUGCGGAGAAUGCCGCUCUCACGGCCCCAUUCUCGGAGGAUGAGGUCUGGGCGGCCAUUAGAGGCAUGAAUCCCUCCUCGGGCCCGGGUCCGGACGGCCUUCCGGUGAAAUUCUUCCAGACCUUCUGGAAUGUGAUUAAGCCGGAAAUCAUGGCCAUCUUUGACGAGUUCUAUGUUGGGACCAUCGACCUCGGGCGCCUCAACUAUGGGAUCAUCUCGCUCAUUCCCAAAGUGCCGGGGGCCUCCGACAUUCGCCAGUUUCGCCCGAUCACGGUGAGCAAUGUGAUCUUCCGGAUUCUGGCAAAGGGGUACGCCAAUAGGGUAACCCUGCUAGCAGACCUCAUUACCCACCCCAACCAGUCCGCCUUCGUGAAAGGGCGGUAUAUCCUGGAUGGGGUAUUAGUUCUCCAUGAAGUCCUCCAUGAGGUGUGGUCUAAACACCUCAAGGCGGUCUUCCUGAAAAUUGAAUUUCACAAGGCCUACGACACUGUUAGUUGGUCCUUCCUUCGGGAAGUUUUGCUCCGGAAGGGCUUCGAUGAUUGUUGGAUCACCCGGGUGAUGCAGAUGGUGUCCUGCGGGCGCACUGCCGUGAACAUCAAUGGGGAGAUUGGUCCUUACUUCCCCACCCUCUGUGGGGUUAGACAAGGCGAUCCUUUCUCUCCGUUCCUGUUCAACAUGGUGGUGGACGCGCUUGCCGCCAUCCUAGCUAGAUAAGGCCAAAACCGCUGGCCAUAUUCGUGGGAUUACCCCUCAUCUGGCGGGCGGCUCCGGGAUCUCCAUGCUCCAGUACGCCGAUGACACCAUCAUCAUGGUCGAGGGCUCGGACACGGACAUCGCUAACCUCAAGUUCCUUCUUCUCUGCUUCCAACAAAUGUCUGGCCUCAAGAUCAACUUCGACAAGAGUGAUGUGAUGGUUAUGGGCUACUCUCCGGCUGAAGCCCUUGACAUCGCCAACCGCCUCAAUUGCCGCCUCGGCUCCUUUCCCACGACUUACUUGGGAACCCCCAUCAGUGACUCUUGGCUCACUGUCGCGGACUUGCGCCCCACGAUCGCCAAGUUACAAACGCGCAUGGAGCCUUGGCAAGGCCGAUGGCUGUCAAAGGCGGCUCGGACGAUCCUCAUUAAUUCCUCCCUCACUAGCCUCCUCCUGUUUCUUAUGAGCUUCUACAGCCUCCAUGAGACCCUUCACCAUGAGAUCGCCAAAAUUCAAUCUCGUUUCUUCUGGGCGGGUGACAACAAUAAGCAGAAAUACCACAUGGUUAGCUGGACGGACAUCUGCAAGCCCUGUGAACAGGGAGGCCUCGGUAUCAUGUGCUCUAAACGCAUGAACAUCACCCUCCUCACCCGCUGGCUCUGGCACAUUUCGCAAGGACACCGUGGUCUCUGGCUUGACAUUAUCCGGAACAAGUACCUGCGCGGACAGCCCCUCGCCUUCUGUCAGAGAUCCGGCGGCUCCCAGUUUUGGCAAUCGGUUGUCCAACUGCUUCCUGUCCUUCGCAUCGGAACCUCCAUCGCGGUUGGAUCGGGUACAGCGACGCUGUUCUGGUUCGACCGGUGGGCGGGAGACUCCCCCUUUGCGGCCCGUUUCCCCGACCUCUUCUCCAUUGCUGUCGCCCCCUUAAUCUCCGUUGAGAGGGCCCUUAUUGACUUAGGGCGCCUCGCCUUCCGGAGGCCAUUUGGGCCCCCGGAAGCCGCCGCGGGGCUUCAGCUGCUUGAUUGCGUCGCUCUCCACGAGCCGGCGGUGGAUGCGGGCCCGGACGAGGUUCGGUGGCGUCUUGAGCCUUCGGGCCAAUUCUCCACCAAGUCCCUCUACUUGGCCAUUGCCCCCUCCUCCGCUCCUCCCCCCUCCCUGCGGUUUGGUCCAUCCGCUUGCCAUUGAAAAUUCGGAUAUUCAUGUGGCAAUGGAUCCGCGGUAGGAUUCCGUCUGGGGUGGAGGUCCGCAAACGCUAUGGCCCUGGGUCCGGCAUCUGCCCCCUGUGUGGUACCCCCGAAGAUUUGAAUCACAUCUUCUUCUCCUGUGUCUCAGCUCAAUUCAUGUGGAUCUCCUUUAGGGAGGCAGUGGGAGGCGAUUGGUGUCACACCAACUUCCCCGACCUCUUCGCCGAACUCCAAAACUCCCCUUCCCCCUCUCGCCACAUUAGGUGGCUCGAGAUCGGGGUUCUAGCGUGGACUCUUUGAACGAUUCGCAAUAAGCUUGUGAUCCAGCGUAUUCCUCUUCGACGGGCUACUGACGCUCUCUUCAAACUGUCUGGUUACUUGCAGCUUUGGCGGCCGCUUAGCUGCCCUCAGGACCGCGACGCCAUCACCGCCUUCAUCGCCGACCUUCGCUCGAUGGCCGUCCGUCUGUCGCCGCCGCCCCCUCCGCCACCCCCGGAGCCGGAUUAGACGCCUUGCCUCGGCCGUGUCCUUUUUGUUUAUUUUUGGCUUGUUGAGCUGUGCCCUCAGCAGAACCUUUGCACUUCUCGUUUUGUGACUUGGGUGUGUGUGUUCUGAACUAGUCCGUGUAUGUGUGCUCUUGGCGGUUAGCUUUAUAUAUAAAGCGGGGCGAAAGCCUUUUUCGGUAAAGGUGUAACGCAGGGCACAAGGUGCAGCGACAUGCGCCGGCAAAACAGCAGUCCCGACUAGCCGGAGCAGUCCGCCCCCGCACGUGCUGAGCACCACGGAUCACAAAUACAGAGUUGCCAGCCCGACAGCGCAUGAAGACUGGCAUCGGCGAUGUACACAUACAUUGUCUGGCCCGAAGCCCGUGUCCCCCGUCCGCUGUAGUGGUCGCCGCCACCGCCUCGGGGAAUCACCGAAGAGAUCAGGACACUGCUCCAUCGGUGAUCUGGCCGCUGGCGAGGAGCAUCUCCUAGGCGUGCUGUGGGCCGCCACCGCAGCAGUAGGAGGCCCUGCACUACAAUACAGCUACAUCUACAGGCCGUCUCUCGCCAGGAGCUACCGGACGCGUGCGCCGGCGUCCACAGAUCCGGGCCGCACGCCACUACGUCCAGCUCGUCCGAGUGCUACCACUACUAGGGGGAAAACCCUAGUAGUAGCGCGGGUUUAAUGCCCACUAGUAGCGCGGACAGCCGCGCUACCAAUAAGGCGCUGCAGUUAUUACUUAGCAGUAGCGCGUGCAACAAGCACUACUGCUAAGACACAUAGCGGCAUCGCUUGUUCUGUCCCGCGCUGCUGCUAAUCUAGCUAGUUGUAGCGUGUUUACUAUCCAUCGCUACUAGUACUCUUUUUUUUCAUUUUUAGUGUAUUUAUACGCCGUUAUACAAAUUUUGUACAAUACCAAUUAUGAGGUUUAUAUCAUUAUGUCCAUAACCGUGUGUCAAAUGAAGGUGGAGUAGGUUCAAGUGGAGGCAAUAUGUGGUGCAUGUCAAAAGUAUACUACUAAUCCAAACUUGAUCUAGUUUGGACUAGUAGUACUUUCGAUGUGCACCACAUGUUGCCUCCACUUGAAUCUAAUCCGCCAGCACAAGCUAUUUAAUCAUCAUCAUAGUCAUUACCACCAACAGUAUUUAUUUAAUCACCAUAGUCAUAGUGUAGCACAUCAUCAUCUUCAAACUCAUUCUAGCUAGCUAAUCACCACCAACACUAGAUGCGGUAGCUAUCUAAUCACCACCAACACUAGCAAAUAAUAAUUAUCAUAGUCAUUACCACCAACACUAGCUAUUUAAUCAUCAUACUCAUAGUGUAGCACAUCAUCAUCUUCAAACUCAUUUCUAGCUAGCUAAUCACUCCUGCUGCUCUCUCUCAGGUAAAAUAACAUAAAACAUGUGUAGCUCUCCUCCUUCAUCAAGUUGGAGCAUGCAGAUGAACCUGUCUCCUAAUCGUGGUCUACGCUUCUCAUUGCUGCCCCCUAGUACUUCUCUGCGCUCCUCCAUCACAAAUUUGGUCCAGUCUUUCACUAUUAAGACUUCCUCGCUCUUAGAAAUCCUGAAUGCACUAAAGUGCAUUGUAGGAUAUCUUGGCCGUAAGCUAACAAUACUCAUGGUACCAUUAGUCUCGAUCCCAUGAGGCACAACAUUCAUCGGGAGUCCCAGUUGAAGAACAUCGUAUAGUAACAUACUUAGCAAUGAAGUUUAGCUUAAAAAUAAUGUAUGCAAAAGAUGCACUGAGGACAAAUAGUAAAACUCUUACCAUCUUUCCUAAAUAGAUAUGACCGUAGUUCAUUACGAACACUAUUGGUCGCACGUUUUCAGUACUAACAUUUCUAAGUGCAGGAAGAAAAUUUGUCUUGACAGUAUCAAGAUCCUCAAGCAAUGAAACAUAAUGACUUAGCUCCUCGCAGUUUAGUUCAGCCCCGGGACAGUAGUAGGUCCUGUCUACCAAGCGCUGGACAUGUUUGCUUGAACCGAAAUAAGCUGACAAUAGAAAUUAGUUGUCAACUAUUUUUGAAUAAACAAUAUUAAAGACAUAAAUAUGGUUGAGAAACUCACAUAAUGGUAUAACUGGAGGCGCCUGCACAUCGACCCAGAUGUCGGUAUUACCUUCAAUAUCAUCUUCUGGAUGAAUAUCAAAGGUGAUAACCAUAUCAGGCUCAAAUGCAUAAGUCUUGCAUAGUGUUCGCCAAGUUUUGCAUCCAAAAUAGGUGUAGUCGUCUGCAUUGUAUAAUUUUACGUGGAAAAUAUAACCAUGCUCGGUCUUCAAGUAAACUUUCUUUACCUCCAUAGUACGACUGAAACCUAUCUUAUCCAAGACAAAAACUCUUGCAUGGCAGGGGAUACGCUAGUAGAAUAGUAAAAAAAAUUUAAAUUAUAAGUUGAAGGAAAUGAAGCAGAUGUCAUGCUUAAUUACGAAAAAAAACUUGUCGUUGUGACUUACUGUAUCCACUUCGAAGUUCACGUCCAGCUUGAUGCUGAAGCGCCAAUCAUCAUCUAGGAAGAUUCCGUCGCACAGGCCGCGCUCGUCUUCGCAGUAUUUGCAAAUACCGAAAUCCUUUUCGUUGUCAGACAUUUCCUAUGUUCAUAGUUGAAACAUUAAUUGAAAAUCGAUCGAAGACAACUCCAGGAUAGUCAAAAUAUCUUAUAGGAUCAUAUUGACAUGAGCAUUCAAUAAGCAAAACCAAAUCGUAAAAUAAAUAAGUAUUCAAAUUAGCAUGCAUUCAAUAAGCAAAAGUAAAUCAUCUCAUGCGUCCGUACAUCGUCGAAUAUUAUCACUAAUACAUCCCAAAUAGUAUCAUACAUAUAACAUCACUAAUACAGCUAAAACCCUAGCGCACGACGGGUAUCAGCGCGGGCGGUGGACACCCAAAGAGAAGGAACCAUCACAGGAUCAUAGCUCCAAUGAGAUCCCUGGAGAACCUGCCAGGUAUUGGAGAACCUGUGCUCCAACGCAACAAGUAGCGAUGGACGUGCGCGUCCUCCUCACUGACACGGUCAUGCACCACCUCCGCGGGGUCCUCGAGCCUCUGGACCGUCACUGGCCCACGCGACCGCCACCAAAGAAGGUUCGGGUCAACGACAGGCUGGCUCCUCACCAACCUGCGCCCCCUGGUAGGUAGCGCCUCCCAGUACCACCCCGGCGGAGCCCAGUCCCGGACAUGGCCCAUCUGGUGACGCAGGUGUCCUCCACCGACUCGACGACGAGGAUGCGGGAUAGGCAUCGUCGACGUCGAUGCGCGAAAAAUUGCUUUAACUAAAAAAAUAACAACAAAUGUGACAUGUUCAACUAGUUCUAUAAAUUCAACUAGUUCUUACGAUUAAAUCUAGUCAAUUAAUUCUAUACCUAAUAAAAUGAAUAAUGACAUAAAAAAGGCCUAUGCUUUGCAGGAACAUUGACUCCUUCCCGGUGCGGCAAAUCCCGGGCACUCGAUAUGUCCUAGUUUGUAGCACAAGUCAUGUCGAAAUUCACGAAAAAUUUCGGCAUGACUUUUGCUAAAAAGUGGACAAAUCGAGAACCUGAAAUUUGCCGGAACGGAAAUGAAUCAACAUUCCGGCAAAACAUAGGCCACUCGGCUUCAUUUCCUGAAAACAAUAAAGCCACUUGGGCACAAUCGAACCACUUCAAUAAUGGAAUAUGCAAAUGAACAUCAAUGACAUAUAUCAUAUAACAACAAUAUGCAAAUGAAAUUACUGUUUAGGCCUUUUCAUAAAAAUUUGCCCUAGCUAAUUUCCUAAAAAAAUUGCUAAUCAUUUUUCCUAAAUGCUAAAAAAUGCCUACUGCCCUAAACAAAUCUAGGGUUCAUAUGAACACCUAGGGUUCAUAUGAACAUCAACACAGCAUCAACACAUAUAUAAAUUGCCCUAGCAGAGCGAGAGGGGGGUAGGGGAGAGGAGAGGCAGAGCCUUACGGUGAUUGCGGCGAGGGAGGGGCAGGCGGCGUCGAGGUCGGGGUCGGGGCUCGGGCGCGCGGCGGAGGGCGGCGUCGAGGUCGGGGUCGGGGGCGGCGUCGAGGUCGGGGUCGGGGGCGGCGUUGAGGCGGGAGAGCGCGUGGGAGAGCGCACGGCGGCCGACGGGCGACGGCGGCGGCGACAGUGGAGGAGUUGCGAUUUGGGGGAAGUGGCCGUUGGGGAAAACGAAUCGAGCGGUUUAGUCAGAAGUAGCAGUAGCGCGUUCCAGGAAGUGCGCUACUGCUAACAUAGCUACAGCGCGUUCGUGGAUACGCGCUACUGCUAUACCAUUCUCUUUUUUCCAAUUUUUCAUUUAUUUUUAUUUACAUUUUAUUUUUUUCUUUCACCUUUCUGUAUUUCUUUCAUUUUCAUUUACUUUUCUAUUUGCUUUUCAUUUAGUUUUAUUUACUUUAGAAGUAGCGCGUCUCAGCGUAAACGCGAUGCUACAAAGCAAAUAGCGGUAGCGCUGUUUGGCGAAGAUCGCUACUACUAUGUGCAGCCUAUCGGCUAAGCCGUGGGAAUUUUAGUAGUAGCGCUUUUGUACGCUGGCGCGCUAUUGCUAUAACGGUAUCUAUAGCCCGGUUUACAACACCGCGCUGCUGCUAAUUAGCACCAGCGCGUGUUUUUAACCCGCGCUACUGCUAAUGUCCUGUGUAUAAGAUUUUCCCUAGUAGUGUCGCGGGUUGCCGUUCAACCACAGCCACCUCCGCCCCAUCCGCACCACCGUGCAGGCGUUCACGGAGGGCCGCCCGUGCCCGCGCCUUAGAAGAAGACCAAGAAGCUAGCGGAAGCCUCCAUCCGCGCCAAGCUCAGGGACUUCCGUAAGCUGGCCUCCCCCGGCGGGCGGCUCGCGGGAUUCCUCAACAUCAUCUUCGCCGGCAAGCGCGCGGUACGUGUGCUCAUCGGCGUCGUGGUAUUCGUGGUCCUGCCUGAGGAAGACCAGCUGACACGCGGGCAGGAGCACCGUACCGUGCGGUUCAUGGAUAGUGACCGCGAGGCGCCGGCGGCGGUGCCUGGUGCAAAUCUUGGGACGGUACCGGCGCUGGAGGCGUCCUCCGGCUGGCGAUGGCAACACGAUCUCCAGCAGAGCUUCAAGGUUAGUGGAGCCAUGGCACCGGGCCGCUCAAGGUGUGUAUAUACUUGCCGUGUCCGGCGUACACUGCGUUGUCCGCUGGGAAGGAGGAGAGCCGGCCUCUUCUUAUAUAGGCUUAUAGGGCGGUGGCGUUGUGCUCAGAUUUUGCCCGGGCUUUCUAGAGAAGACAGGGCAUGGGGAGAGAACACAACGACCGAACCAACAGCGGCACACAGGCAACGACAGUGACAGGAACCAAUAUAGAACCCGAUGACGAAUAGGAAACAAGAAAGCGACUUCGGCCAACAGCACCAGAGACUGACAGCGACCUAUCACAAUAGCGAAGAAGGGCCAAAGACAGCGACUAAUCACAAAUGCGAAGAACGGCACCAGAGAAAAUACUAAACGAACCAAACCAAGCUGCACACACGUUCAAAAAAUUUCAAACGAAAACCUGAAUCCACAACUCAUUUGUACACAACCAGGUACCAAAAUAAUACGCGUGCCCCAUAGGAAUUUACCCAAAAGUCUUUUUCAUCCAAGUGGAUGAAUCUUGGAGCGAAAAAGCUCCCGGAUAUAGAGGUUUGGGUAUAUUACACGUGUGUGAAGUUUAAUGAUGAAAUACCUUAUGAUGUCGCUACAUAAAAAAAAUACAAAUUACUCAAAGUUGUGCAACGAAGAACAGAAAAGUGAACCAUCGCCAUAUUUUGGGAAGGAGCGAAAAAACUCUUUGGAGGACGAGCUCCAUGUAGGACUCGUUAUCUGGUGCGUGUGUCUUUCUUAGAACCACGCUCAAGACCUUAUUCAUCGCACGUAUCUCACCUGCCAACCAUUUUACACACCACCAUAUUCUUGUUUUUUUUACGGGACCGUAUUCUUGUUUUAUGAAUAGUACUACCCCUUUUCCAUUAAAAAAAAGAGUUGUGCCAUCACAUGUUAACAGGUUGGGCCUACCAGUGCAUGAAGUCUAUCACCCCGCCCCCAAGCCUAAUUUGGUACAAUUUUGACCCUGAAAUCUACAAAACCGGACAAAUUUACCCCUCGAGUGGUUUUGCUAUGAUUUGGGUGGUUUUGGAUUGUGUUGCGGGGUGGACAUGGCGAUGUAACUCAAGGUGACGGUCACCGCAACACGGGCGCAUGCGGGGCGCGUGAUUCCCGCUGGAGAGGGUGAAAGAAGGGGGAGGGAAGGGGAAGGAGGGGCUAGGGCAUCGGAGGCGAAGCUGUAGCACCUCGACGACGAGCAUCAGGCGUCCAUGGCAGUUGGAUGAAUGACAUAGAGGAGAGAGGUGGAGAGAGGAGGAAGAUGAUGUCAGAUCCAAAACCACGAAAAUCAUAAUCAAAACCGCUUUAGGGGCACAUUUAUCUAGUUUUGAAAUUUUUAGGGUGUAAAUUAUACCAAAAGCAGUCUUUAGGGGGGGGGUAUUUGUCCAUUGAACCACAUUUGAAGUUGAAAAUGAACUUCUUUCUAUCCAUUAUGUUGCAUUGUGGCCCGCGAGAACGGAACAUGGGCAUGAAUCUGGUUGGAUGUGCCUCUUUGAAGUCGUUGCCAUUUGGUCGAGCUGCUGGGAUUCCUGGCCUAGACGUUUGCUGGUUAGCAAUCUACUACUCCCUCCGUUCCUAAAUAUAAAUCUUUUUGAGAUUGUACAAUAAAGAAUACAUUCAGAUGUAUAUAGACGCCUUUUAAGUAUAGGUUCACUUAUUUUACUCCGUAUAUAGUCUAUUGUGGAAUCUCUUAAAAGACUUAUAUUUAGGAACGAAGGGAGUACUCCUCUUGUCCGUGGUACUCUUUCGCUUUCUUGGGCACAUGCUUUUGCACCAACGGUGAGUGGUGCCUGGCAUUACUUCUUCUAUGGCAACCUCCAUCCUGAGCCUGGUCUGUUUUUACACAAAAUAGAAAACACAAAACCAUAAAAGAUUUGUGGGUACCCCCAUGGGAAACAAACGAGGUUGAUCUCUCUCUCUCUCUCUCUCUCUCAAAUUCCUGAGCAUUUUUUAACUCAUAAAGAAUUUUUAAAAUUAAAAAAUAUGUUUUUAGUUCGUGAACAUUUUCUCAAUAGGCAAACAUUUUAGUAUGUUCAAGAACAUUACUCAAAUUCACCAACAUUUUCCAAAUGCGCAGAAAAUUUUCAAAUUUGUGAACAUUUUAUUAAAUACAUGAACAAUUUUUCAUAUUCAUGAACAUUCUUCCAACUUCAUGAACAUGUUUUCAAAUAUGCGUCCCUAUUCACGAACAUUUCUCAAAUUUGUGAAUGUUUUUCAAAUACGUGAACAUUUUUUUAAGCUUGGGAAAUUUCUCUCAAGUUUGCGAUCAAUUUUAUAAAUACAUAAACGUUUUUAUGUAUUGGGGAACAUUUUCAAAAUACGCUCCUCGAAGAUGAAUUCCAUCCAUCCUUGGCCAAUAUUUUUGUUUCUGAAACUGGGCCGAAAUCAGGCCAGUAAAUGCAAAGUGAUAAACUUUUUGUUGAUGGACUGAUCGAUUGUUCCACCGGCCUAACUACCUCCACACGGUGCAAAUUCAAAGUCCGUGAACGCUAUGUCUCGCAUUACGCGAGACGGUAGCAGCUCUCGCUGACGGUUUUUCCAUUUUUACAAAAAAAUUAAAUGCUUGAUUAACAUUUGCGUGCAUAUAGUUAGAGAAAGAGCUGAGGAAAGGGGGAACCAGAAUCGAUUCCUGGUCUCAAAGGUGACAGCGGGUGCUGCUACAAAGCCCGACCAAGUCCCGUUCGUGAUAAUUUGUAGGUGCGCGUCAUACUUUUGGCGAUUCAAGCCGGUUUUCUUUGAGUUUUUUUCCUUUUUCUCUUUUUUUCUUCUUCAUUUUUUUAUUCUUUUUUGCACUCGUUUCUUCAUUUUUUUCAUUUCUUUUUUCCUUUUGUUUAUUUUCUUUGUUCUUUUGGUUAUUAUUGUGCAUUUUUUGUAUACGUCAACAACAUUUUUUAAUACACGUCUAACAUUUUUCAAAUACAAACCAACAAUUUUUGCAAUACAUGGUCAAUAUUUUUGUAUACACAUUUUUUAAAUGCUUGAUUAUCAUUUUUCAAAUACAAGAUUAACAAAUUUUCAAUUCAUGGUCAACAUUUUUUUCCAUUUUUACAAAAAAAUUAAAUGCUUGAUUAACAUUUUCUUAAUACAUGGUCAACUUUUUUUCCAUACACAUUUAACAUUUUCCAAACGCUUGAUUAACAUUUUCAAACCCUUGUUCGACAUUUCUUUCAAAUGUUGGAUUAACAUUUCUAUAUACAUGAUCAAACAUUUUUAUCAUUUUUAAUACAUGGCCAACAUUAUUACCAUACACAUUUAACAAUUUCCCAAUUCUUGAUUAACAUUUUUUAAAUACUCGUUUAACAUUUCCCAAUUUUAGCUAGCUAUGGUGCAAACUAAGUGUUGUGCCUCGUCUUAAUCUAUCUAUAUAUCCUAUCUUCUAUUCGGCGAGGUGGCUGCGCCCGUGGCGAAUGCGGUCGCCGCCAUUGCCGGCGCCUGACUUGGUCGAUCUGCCUCUUCUCUUUAGAUGAGAUGGGGAGGAGAUGGUGAGAGAUGAGGUCAACGGCUUUGGGGAGAGGAUAAGGGUAGACGCCAACGGUGAGGCGGCGUGAGGAAGACGAGGUGGUUCGCGGCGGCGACGCGUGAGGGGAGGGGAAGGGAGGGGUAGUGGUGCGUGGAGGGGAGUGGGUAUGCGGCGUGCCCAAUUCGCGAGAGAGGAGAGAGGUCGGCAAGGGAGCGAUCCAUGGGAGUUUUUUUUCCUUCUGAGUGAGCCUAGUUGGGCUAUCUGCUGCGUCCAAGGCCCAGUGCACCACAUGUCUUCAAAUUGGCCACCAGUAGCAGCCCUUAGAACAGCAUGGCCAAUUUGCAAAUUUAAAGACAUAAGUUUUUUGCACGCAUGAAAAACAUAACAUGUAUCUUUCCACACAUAAUGAACUAUAGGUACUACCCCAAAAAAACAUAAUGAACUAUAGGUUGUCACAAGAACUCAUGCCAUCCCACAACCUCCCUCCGACCCUGCCAACAUUGUUGCAGCUGCACUCGCAAGUGUUACCGUAGAUGAUCAUGAAAUUACCAUAGAUGAUCAUUUCAUGAUUCGCGUAAAACGAAAUAAGAUCUACAAAUGAAUAGAAGCUACACAUACCUUGGCAUGCACACACAUUGCAAGCCAUACUAAGAAGAUAAGUGUUAAUAACUUGUACUCCCUCCAUCUCAGUUUACAAGUCUUCCACGUGUAUCUAGGUCGUCAAUUUAAUUAUACAAAAUAAAUUGUUUAACAUAAAAAUUAUAUCAUUAGAAAAUAGAAUAUCUACAGUUUCUAAUGAUAUAUUUUUUGUAAUGUAUGCCUCUUAUUAAGUUGGUCAAAUUAACGACCUAGGUACAUGUGCAAGACUUGUAAACCAAGAUGGAGGGAGUACAACAUAUACAACACUUAAGACAAGUAAAAGCAAUUUGGUGAGUCAUGGUCUAUGAAACCAAGCUACAUUACUAAUCUAAUCUAUCUUAACAGGUCACACAUGAUUACAAUCUUUUUUGUAUGCAAGUCAAGCUUAUCUAGUCUACACGUAACAACUUGUAGAACAUUACAAAAUUGAUGUUUGCUAACAAAUUCUAGAACACUACAACACUUGACAUGUAAAAAGAAUUUGAUGAGUCAUGACCUACUAAAGCAAGUUAUAUUACUAGUCUCAUCUAUCUUAACAUGCCAACAAGAUUAAAAACUAAGUUCUGUGCAAGCAAUGCUUAUCUAGUUUACACGUAACAACUUGCAUAACAUUACAAACUUAGUUUCACAAAAUUAGGCAAUCAAGAUUAGUGUUUAGCUGUAAAGUGAAUAAGAUGAGUCAUGUGUGUUAUCACACCUUUUUGUGGUGGAAUGAUAGUGCCACCAAACACAACAUACCAAAAUAUGAUUUUGGGAAGCAUCCAAGCACUUUGCAGACAAGCAAAUGCCAAUUGUGAAAGAGAUCAUGCCAUGGCAGCUAUAAAUAGGCAUGUAGCAUGAUGACCAUCCUUCCUCAUUCAUCAUUCUCAUAAGUAGAGUGCAUCAUUCAAGCCAAGCAAGAACUGGUCAAUACAAAUACACCAUGAAGACUUUUCUCAUCCUUGCCCUCCUUGCUAUUGUGGCGACCACUGCCACAACUGCAGUUAGAGUUCCAGUGCCACAAUUGCAGCCGCAAAAUCCAUCUCAGCAACAACCACAAGAGCAAGUUCCAUUGGUGCAACAACAACAAUUUCCAGGGCAGCAACAACCAUUUCCACCACAACAGCCAUAUCCGCAGCCGCAACCAUUUCCAUCACAACAACCAUAUCCGCAGCCGCAACCAUUUCCGUCACAACUACCAUAUCCGCAGCCGCAACCAUUUCCACCACAACAACCCUAUCCACAACCGCAACCACAAUAUCCGCAACCACAACAACCAAUUUCGCAGCAACAAGCACAACAACAACAACAACAACAACAACAACAAAUCCUUCAACAAAUUUGCAACAACAACUGAUUCCAUGCAGGGAUGUCGUCUUGCAACAACACAACAUAGUGCAUGCAAGCUCACAAGUAUUGCAACAAAGUAGUUACCAACUGUUGCAACAAUUAUGUUGUCAGCAGCUGUGGCAGAUCCCCGAGCAGUCGCGGUGCCAAGCCAUCCACAAUGUCGUUCAUGCUAUUAUUCUGCAUCAACAACAACAACAACAACAACAACAACAACAACAACCAUCGAGCCAGGUUUCCUACCAGCAGCCUCAGCAACAAUAUCUAUCAGGCCAGGGCUCCUUCGAGCCAUCUCAGCAAAACCCACAGGCCCAGGGCUCUGUCCAGCCUCAACAACUGCCCCAGUUCGAGGAAAUAAGGAACCUAGCGCUACAGACGCUACCAGCAACCUGCAAUGUCUACAUCCCUCCAUAUUGCUCGACCACCAUUGCGCCAUUUGGCAUCUUCGGUACUAACUGAGAAGAGAAGAACUCUAGUACUAGAUAUAUCAAACAUCGUGUUCUUAGUCCAUGGUUUGGUCGUUGUACUGGUGAAAAUAUAAAGUGACAUGCACUACCAUGUAAGAACCCGAACUAUACUAGUUCAAACUUGGGAAUAAAAGACAAAGCCAGGUCUUGUCUGCAUAUGAUUAUUUGUUUGAGUUCCAUUCAUGUGCCCGUUCACAAGUUCACCCCUAAUUAUAUAUAUUACGCAUUAAGUAGAUAUCUAUGUUGCAUUAAUUUGAAGAUAACAAAAUGAGUCUAAAACUUGAAUUAAAUUGAAUUGUUUUCUUGGACUUUCAAAUUGUGUAUUAUUAAAGUAGUAACGACUAUCCACAUCCUUGGCUUGCCCUUGAUCAAUUAUUUCCAGAGAAGCAUUCAAUUCAUCAAUCAAUUACAUUGAUUUUUGAGACUGGUACAUCUCCUCAUCAUGAGUAUCAUUGCGGCUACUCCAAAUCGCCCACAUAACCGAAGCAUUAAUAGCGCUCUUCUUGCAUCAGGAAAUAUGGAUUGAAGAUAUCAGGUGACCAUGUUUCCGGGUGCAACCUUGGGAGUUUUAUGUCAAAAUAUUCUCAAGAAGAAUCCAAGAAUAAACUUGCAUGCUCACGUGUGAUAAGGGCAUAUGAAGUAACAUUUCCUCCCCAUGGCCACAUAGGGCACACACAUAACCCCAUCACAUGCAUUUUUAGUUAUGCAUAUGAAAGGUAGGAUGUUUUUAAUUACUCUCCACCAAAAUACUCUUAACUUGGCUUGUACCCUAAGAGUUUGUUGCCUUUUCAUUUCUUCUUCCCCAUUAGACAAACUAGACAGUCCAUCCACCACACCAUUCCUUGUGUCCAUCAUGGCUCUGUACAACAAUUGGACAGAACAAAUGUCAUUUCUUUAUGAUACCCACGACCAAAUGUCCUCUGCUGGAUUGUUUGGUCGUGGCAUAUUAAGGAUGGCCACCUCAUCUGAUGGGAUAAACACCUAAUGAAUGAAAGGAUUGUUCCAGUCGCCCGUGUUUUUCAUCGAUAAGAUCAGCUACAAGUUGGACCGGAGUUUCUCACAUGCAUCGUAGUGGUUUCAUUAGCGGCAUGCCCUGCACCCAUUUAUCAUGCCAUAUCUCUGUAGUAUGUGCAUUCCCAAUUUGUCACAACAUACCCUCCUUCAAACCUUCUUGACCUUUCAGAAUUGCACGCCAAGUUAGCGAUGCACUAUGCAGGAACCCGCAUUUCAAAAAAAAAAGAAUCUCAUUUCAUGGUAUCUUCCAUAAAGGACCCUCAUACAUGAGCUAUCUAGAUAGAAACAGCCAUGUAUGUUUAGCAAACUUUGCAUAAGUGAAUAGAUCAAGGUUGUGGAACCCCAAGCCUCCAAUUACACCCGGCCUCUCUACCAACAAGAUGUCUAAAGACAUGAAGGAUACACACAGCCAAAAAAGAAAAUAAAAAGAACAAAAUAAAAAAUACCCCACCAUGGUGGUCAAUCACAAGCAUCAACAACACUCUAACCACCACCGAAGACAAUGCCCGGAUUACAAAAAGGUUAUUCAAAAGCAACACCCACAAGAAGGAAACAAUGCACAAGCGUUGUCGUUGCCCGAUAGAAGAUCGUGGGUUUUCACCCUGGAAAAAUUUUGAGUUCACCCAAAAACAAUGCCUUCAACAAGGCCAUUGCCAAGUACAGCCAAUAAGGGGUAGACCUUGGGUUUUCAACCUAGGAACUGAGACUCGAUAGUCGACAAGUACCACCGAAAAUGCAGUCCACCGGUGUUGCCGCCCCCGCUUGCCGAGGCCGCUGUUGCAAGUCACCAAACAUACAGUUGUCAUCGCAUCCAAUACAUCCUUCCGCCGAAGCUUCAAGACCUCAAAUGGCAGCCGCCGUGACUUUCUCCACAUCUAUCAAUGCCUUGAGGAUCUUGACUUAGACAUGUCCCGUGACAUAAAUAAGAAACCGAAGCUUCGCACCGCGUCCUCUUGAGGCCGUGUUGGCUGAUAAUAUUAGCGCGUAUGACGGGAGCCUUUCCAACCUAGAUAUCCAGGGGCGACAUACACCAAUCAAUAUAGAUCUCCGCUCGGAAAGACCGGAACUCAUCAACGGCCAGAUCCAAGUGGUCGACAUCCGGCAAAAAGACGACUUGGCGGAAGAAGAGCAUCAGGGCCAAACCACCAUUAUUAGUCCGAAGCUAAUAGCCCCCACGCCGCCCUCCUCUCGAUCCAGACCUGCAGAAAAAGAUCAACGACGCCGCAUCGUGCCACUUGCAUCCGUGGAGGCUUGAACUUGGCAAGAUGCCAACCAUGGCUGGAGACGGGGACCAGCCACUCCUGGCUGGAUCCGGUGACUCCUAGUCCUACCGCUGCCGCUACGGCGGCACCGCGUGUGGCCUACAAGCCCAUCCACGAUGAUGUCUGAUUAGAAGGAUACAUGGAUAUACAGAUGAAAAGGCCCUUGUUAUCCCUCCAACAAUAUAUAUAUAGCUUAUUGGGACGUGAGAAAGCUCGCACAAUUUUAUAGUGGCUAUGGAAAUGUGUUGCCAGACAGAGAUAUAAGAUUUUUGUUUGGCAUCCAGACCGUUUGUGUCAUGCUUAAUCGAUGGUCACUCUAAUUUUUCCGGCGGGCCUUCCCCGUGGUACUGCAGCCUUAUAUGUGUAUGGGUUUCAUACAGCUAUUCUGUCCUGUCUAGAAAAGGAGAAAACCAAAAUUACUUGGAGUUAAUAACUAAUACGUUUCCUUUAACUACCAUGUGCACGGCGAGGAUUUACGUGCAUGAUGUUUUUUCCUCUCCCCACGUCAUAUUGGGCCGGCCCAUUCACGCGCAUAUGGUUAGAAAAAGAGAUGAGGAAAGGGAGAACCAGGAUUGAUUCCUAGUCUCAAGGUGACCGUGGGUGCUGCUACCAGUCCGCCCAAGUCCCGUUCGUGAUAAGUUGUAGGUGCGCGUGGUACUUCAAGCGAUUCAAGCCGGUUUUAUUUGAGUUUUUUUUCUCUUUUUUUUCUUCUUCAUUUUUUUCAUUCUUUUUUACACUCCGUUUCUUCGAUUUGUCAUUCUUUUUUUCUUUUGUUUAUUUCCUUUUUUUCGGUUUUCUUUGUUCUAUUGGUUAUCAUUGUACAUUUUUUGUAUAUGUCAACAACAUUUUUCUCUAAUACACGUCUAACAUUUUUCAAAUACAAACCAACCAUUUUUGUAAUACAUUGUCAACAUUUUUUCUAUACACAUUUUUUAAAUGCUUGAUUAUCAUUUUUCAAAUACAAGAUUAACAUUUUCUCAAUACAUGGUCACCAUUCUUUUUCUAUUUUCACAAAAAACUUAAAUGCUUGAUUAACAUUUUCUUAAUACAUGGUCAACUUUUUCUCUAUACACAUUUAACAUUUUCCAAACGCUUGAUUAACAUUUUCGAACCCUUGUUCAACAUUUCUUUUAAAUGCCUGAUUAACAUUUCUGUAUACAUGAUCAAACAUUUUUAUCAUUUUAAUACAUGGUCAACAUUAUUACCAUACACAUUUAACAAUUUCCAAUUCUUGAUUAAUAAUUUUUAAAUACUUGUUCAACAUUUUUUUCAAAUGCAUAAUGAUGACAUUGUUCAAAAGUGGCAUCACAAGUUUCAGGGAGUAGAAAAUAGAUUAAUCAAUGAAACCGCGCGAACUUUGUGAUGCUAUUGUGUUAUAUCAACUACUUUCUCCGUCUCAUAAUAUAAGAGUGUUUUUCACAUUAGUAUAUAGUGGAAAAACGCUCUUAUAUUAUGGGACGAAGGGAGUAUGUGUUUGUUAUGUCAUACUGAGCACCAAAUUCACUAUAUAUAUAUCUAUACCAAUAUAAAAAGACCUAAAGGGGCAGAUCCAAAUAAUCUUGGCCAUUAAAUCAUGUCAAUCCAAUGACAUAGACUGCUUCACUGUCGAGCACUUAAUACGUUUAGCAUGCAGUUAAUUGCAUGCCAAAUAUAGUGCUAAUCACAUAAUAACAUGCAAAUAAUAUCCUACUUAAUAUCCGAAUGCACUUAAUAUACUUCCAAAUUAACGCGCAUUACACAUACACAUUAACUAAUCACAUAAUCAAAGAAAUUAACACACAAAUAAUAGCAUACCUAAUAUCCACGUGUAAAUAAUAAAACAAUAUAAUGCUUAAAUAUUAACCUGUGUUGCACGUGCACAUUUAGUAGAACAUGGGAAUACAGUAACAGUAAGCUCACUAGACGGAAGCCCGUCACGGCCAUGUGAAUAGGAUCCUCCUCGUACUGCUCCUCUCCUGCCCUGCCCUGAGCAGUAUCAUCCGUCGUCGUCGCCGGGCGGCGCAGCAGCCGGCGGCCGAGGGGAGACCGAGAUUUCCUCUUUGGAGGCGCCGAAUGCGGCUCGUAAGUCCAAAUCCCUCCCAGUCCCGCCUCUCGAAUCCCCACCGGUCUCCUACUUCCAUGCCGCCAAUGCCCGCCUUUUCUUUGGACUCCGAGCGAGGAAUCGGAGGGAAAGCUGUGUGCUUCUUGCAGCUUCAUGCCCCGGCAAUGGCGGCCCUGCUUGCUUUCUGUUGCCGCUGGGUCGCUCUACUCUCUGCGUGCCCGUCCGCAAGGUGUUCGAUGGAUUGUGCGCAGGGUGUCGGCCCGGCUGGUCCCCUGGUCUCGUUCCAGUUCUCCCAGGUUUCAGUCUGCUUACUGUCAGUUGCUGAAAAUGUGCACGAAACGGAUGAAAAUGCUGGGAUAUGCGCUCUUUGUUUACCGUUUACCGUCAUUUGUUUGGUUGCAGGAAGCACCCGGCCUUAAGCAUAGUACUACAUAUAAAGUUGUAUGUUCUGUUCUGUUUGUUUGUUUGCUGUCUGAUGAUUGAGACAAGGGCAUAAUCUAAAGUUUGGCACCUGCACUUGCACCUGCUCCUGCACAUUUAUGUGCUGGAAACUGGAAUCUGUUCAGAGUAGUAUGGCCACGCCACAGGUUUUAGCUUUCACUCAUGGACCACAUUGCUUCUUGACUAUCUUGGAUGCUUGUUGGCCCAUCCUUGUAAUUCUAUAUCUUUCUAGUAGUCUUAUAAAUCAGAAACAUAACAACUUUUUGUGUUGCUUACUAUAUUUUGUGUAUUUACUUAGCGUGUUUAGUCAAAUCAUCUGUCAUUGUUCUCUCAAGUUGUUUUUCCUUGCGAUAUUCAACCCAGCGGUUUAAAAUUCCUGCAAUUGAUUCAUUCAAAGUGAUUUUUCCUUCUUUGUUGUUGUUUUCUUUUAAAUGUUUGGGCUGAGGCUCCAAAUGUUGCUACUCUUUUACAUGGACUAUGUUACUUUGGAGAAUACAAGAAUUAUGCAUUGGUACCACGAUAACAUAUGCCUAAUGGUUUUUCUUACAGGAUGGGGUUUCCAACACAUAAAUAGUUUGCUAGCAUGCAGACAAGUGUCCAGUAGCCUUUGCGCCAUUUGAGGCGUAAUGGAGAUAGUUUUUCUCAUGUUGUUGGUUCUUUCUCUGCUCCUUUUCCCUAAUGGCAUCUGCAAGAGUUUAGCCACAGGGCCUCCUGUUGUGAAUAUUGGGUCUAUUCUUCAAUUUGACUCCACCACCGGAGGUGUUGCGGCAGUUGCCAUCCAUACAGCCUUGGAAGAUAUCAACUCCGAUCCAACAGUUCUAAAUGGAACUACACUAAAGGUUCAAAUGAAGGAUACAAAUUGCUUUGAUGGUUUCCUUGGCAUGGUUCAAGGUAGGCUAGCUUUAAUGUCACUCAUUCAUUUCGCAACCUUCAAAUAAUUUUUUACUUCUGUUGUGGAGUUGUGGCAAUGAUGCCGUGUUCCUUGUAUCAGCUUUGCAGUUCAUGGAGACUGAUGUUAUUGCACUCAUUGGCCCUCAGUGCUCUACUAUUUCUCAUAUGAUUUCAUAUGUAGCAAAUGAGCUUCAAGUCCCUUUAAUGUCCUUUGCUUCUGAUGCAACUCUUUCAUCGAUACAGUUCCCGUUCUUUGUCAGGACGGGUCCCAGUGAUCUCUAUCAAAUGGCGGCUGUGGCAGAAGUUGUUGACUACAACCACUGGAAGAUAGUGACUGCCAUAUACAUUGAUAAUGUUUAUGGUAGAAAUGGCAUUGCUGCUUUGGAUGAUGCACUCACUUUAAAGCGCUGCAAAAUAUCCUACAAGGUUGGGUUUCCUUCCAACGCUAAAAGGAGUGACCUCAUAAAUUUGUUGGUUAGUGUCAGUUAUAUGGAGCCUCGUGUUAUUGUUCUCCAUACUGGAGCUGAACCUGGACUCAAGCUUUUCUCUGUGGCAAACCAACUGAACAUGAUGGGCAACGGCUAUGUGUGGAUUGCAACUGACUGGCUGUCUGCAUAUCUUGAUGCUAAUUCAUCAGUUCCUGCUGAGACUAUAUCUGGCCUGCAAGGUGUUCUUACUUUACGGCCACAUAUUCCCAACUCAAAGAUGAAGAGUAAUUUGGUCUCCAAAUGGGGCACGCAAAGUAAAAAGUACAACUACAGUGAUCUUCGUGUAAAUACGUAUGGUUUUUAUGUUUAUGAUAGUGUCUGGGCAGUAGCUCGGGCUCUGGAUGCCUUCUUUGAUGAUGGUGGUAGGAUUUCCUUUUCAAAUGACUUGCAUGAUGGAAUUGGAGGAACUCUUCACCUUGAAGCAAUGAGCAUUUUUGACAUGGGAAGCAAAUUACUGGAGAAGAUUAGAAAGGUAAACUUCAGUGGGAUAUCUGGGCAAGUGCAAUUCGAUGCUGUAGGCAACCUCAUUCACCCUGCGUAUGACAUCAUAAAUGUCAUCGGAAAUGGCAUGCGGACCAUUGGUUUUUGGUCAAACUAUUCUGGCUUGUUGUCGACUGUCUCUCCAGAGGCUCUAUAUUCAAAGCCUCCUAAUAUUUCUCUCGCCGAUCAGCAUCUCUAUGAUGUUAUUUGGCCUGGGGAAACUGCACAGAGGCCUCGAGGAUGGGUCUUUCCUUCUAAUGCCAAGCAGUUGAAAAUUGGUGUUCCCAACAGAUUUAGCUUCAAAGAGAUCGUCACGGUAGACAAUGCUACUGGGUCAAUGAAGGGUUAUUGCAUCGAUGUCUUUACUCAGGCAUUGGCUUUGCUUCCUUAUCCUGUUAGUUACAAGUUUGUACCUUUUGGGAAUGGUACUGAAAAUCCUAAUUAUGACAAACUCGUACAGAUGAUUGAAUCAAAUGUAAGUAUGGAAUGCCUCUUUUCUUCCUCUAACCAUUUCAUCAUAUACCAUGCUGACCAGGGUCAUCUUAUCCUGCAGGAGUUUGAUGCAGCUAUAGGGGAUAUUGCAAUUACAAUGAGGCGGACAGUAACUUUUGAUUUCACCCAGCCAUUCAUUGAAACAGGCUUGGUUAUCUUGGCUCCGGUUAAAGAGCAUAUAACAUCGUCCUGGGCAUUCUUGCAGCCAUUUAGUUUGGAGAUGUGGUGUGUUACAGGGCUGUUCUUUCUUAUUGUGGGUGUGGUUAUUUGGGUUCUUGAACAUCGGAUCAAUGACGAUUUCCGUGGUUCAGUAUGUCAACAAAUAAUAACUAUUUUCUCGUAAGGAGCUGGCAUUUACCUUUUGUAUCGUCUUCUUGUAUAUCAUUCCUGUUUUCGAAGUGUUGAUGUUUUAACAAGUCUUGUGCAAUAUGUUGCAUACAGCGAGCACCUUAGAGCAUUGGCCAGUUAACAUACCUAAAUGAAGCAUCUAGUGAUUACCAAUGAACUACUCCCUCUGUCCCAUAAUAUAAGAGUGUUUUUGACGGCGGGAGUAUUAUCUUAAUAAUCUUGUGAGACAUAUAUACAUGCACAGUAUAUAUAUUCGCUUAAUGAUAUUUAUGUUCAUUGCUCUAUUUUUUCCUGUUUUCACGUACUUCUCCACAUGUAUUUGCCAAAUGCUCUUAUCAUGACGUGAUUCCUUACUGUGAGUAUAAUUUCAAAUUUUAUUGCCUGCAGGUUCAGCUUUUCAACUUUGUUCUUCGCACACAGUGAGUAAACCAACCUUUUCUCUUAUGUGUUUUUUUGGCUAUAACAUUUUGUUCUGAGGCAUGACUCGUGAUUUCAUCCAUGUCUGCUCGCAGGAGAAAAUACUAUGAGUGCCUUAGGGCGUGGUGUCCUGAUCAUAUGGCUGUUUGUUGUUUUGAUAAUUGUAUCCAGCUAUACCGCGAGUCUUACUUCCAUCCUGACCGUGCAACAACUUGAUACUUCUAUAAAAGGAAUUGAUGACCUGAAAAAUAGCAAUGAUCCUAUUGGUUUCCAAGUUGGUUCUUUUGCACAAGACUAUAUGGUCAAGGAGCUCAACAUCUCACGGUCAAGGCUAAGAGCUCUUGGUUCACCACAAGAAUACGCGGAAGCCCUCAAGAUAGGCCCUAAGGAAGGAGGUGUUAUGGCCAUUGUUGACGAGCGCCCCUAUGUUGAACUGUUUUUGUCAACCUACUGCAAGAUUGCGGUAGCUGGCACAGAUUUCACCAGCAGAGGAUGGGGCUUUGUAAGUACAGUUCAACCAUAUACUUUUAUAUAAACUACUCCCUCCGUUCCUAAAUAUAAGUCUUUGUAGAGAUUCCACUAUGGACCACAUACGGAUGUGCAUAGAUGCAUUUUAGAUUGGAGAUUCACUCAUUUUGCUCCGUAUGUAGUCCAUAGUGGAAUCUUCCCAAAGACUUAUAUUUAGGAACGUAGGGAGUAGAAUAUAAGAACAAAAUAUUAUGCUGUUAAUGUCCUGGAAUAGAGGUUUUAACUUUGAAUAGUUGUGUCUAGUCUCUAGUUUAUUAUGCAACUUUUCUUGCACUUAUCUGCGGCUACUUUGUUUCGCAAAUCGAAAUGUAGCACCUUACAAAUUAAUUCUGCCAGGCAUUUCCAAGGGACUCCCCUUUGCAAGUAGACCUCUCCACCGCAAUCCUGUCUCUGUCAGAGAAUGGGGAGCUGCAGCGGAUCCAUUCCAAAUGGCUCAAUACAGGGGAGUGCACAACUGACAACAGCGAGUUUGUCGACUCGAACCAGCUCCGCCUUGAGAGCUUCCUUGGUCUGUUCCUAAUCUGUGGUGUGGCAUGUGUUCUCGCGCUGCUACUCUACUUUGGUAUCAUGCUAUGCAAAUACCUGAGGCAUGAACCGCGGAAGAGCCUCAGAAGAUUCAUCUCGUUCGUCCAUGGGAAGGAGCCGCCGAAGAACAUGGAGAGGCGAUCCAUGAGCCUGCCUGGAAGCUCGACGCCAACAACGCCGAUGGGCAGCUUUAGUUCCCUUGACAUGGAAAGGCCGGCCAGGCCAGUCAGAAACGGCAGCGUUAUUGAUAUGGAAAGCUAGUUCAUGUGUAGAAAGCUACGCGGUCGACUAACAUAGGUUCUGGUAGUCGGACAGCAGGGGUGUAUAGGGGGAUUCAAAAUACUUCUUAAGUACUCCCUCCGAUCCAAAUUAUUCCAAAGUUUAGGAAAUAAGAGAAGGAAGGAUUAAUAAGAAAUAAAAAUAUUGAAAUGCUCCUCCUGUCCUACAUAUAUUGUUUUUACCUUUUCAUGACUGUAUUUUGGGGGGAGUGUGGAUUUUCUAUCAUGCACGGGACCUCCCGUGCAUGCAUCCAUCACAUUUUUUAUUGCUGUGUGGGGCCCCUAUUUUCUCUCACCUAACAUACAUUCACAUGUUAAUUUGUACUGACUAGGUUUCAUUCACUAGUGCAGAACAGGCCUUUAUCACUGGUUCAUAAGGGCCUUUAGUGCCGGUUCUGUAACCGGCACUAUGGAGUGGAGACUAAAGGCCCCCCUUUAGUACCGGUUCGGCACGAAUCGGCGCUAAAGUGCCACCACGUGGCACGAGCCAGUCCCGGGUGCUGGUAGACCAUUAGUACCGGUUGAUAACACCAACCGGUACUAAAUGUUUGGGGGGGUUUUGGUUUUAAUUUUUAAUUUUUCAUUAACUUUGGGUUUUCCAUUUAAUUCUUUUUUGUUUGCUGGUAUUUUACGAUACUACAUAUUGUACACGUUAUGCAUAUAUAUAUAAAUAGAUUUUCUCGUAGAACUGAUCAUAUAUAUAAUCGAAUGUCUCACAACCACCAUUAAUUAUUCACACAUACACNNNNNNNNNNNNNNNNNNNNNNNNNNNNNNNNNNNNNNNNNNNNNNNNNNNNNNNNNNNNNNNNNNNNNNUUUGCUGGUAUUUUACGAUACUACAUAUUGUACACGUUAUGUAUAUAUAUAUAAAUAGAUUUUCUCGUAGAACCAAUCAUAUAUAUAUAUAAUCGAAUGUCUCACAACCACCAUUAAUUAUUCACACAUACACAUGUAUAUAUAUAUAUAUAUAUAUAUAUAUAUAUAUAUAUAUAUAUAUAUAUAUAAUUUCUCCUCCAUGUUGCCUUGGUGCCUUCGGAGCACGAUGACAAGUGGUUCAUGGAGACGGUAGCGGGUAAUAGUAUUUUCCUUUGGGAUCUAUGACCUGCUCGAGCAAAAAUCUCGUUAUUUCCUCUUGAAGUGCUCGUAUGCGCUCUGUUGGUAGGAGCUGGUCCCGCAUGUCUUUGAACCGUUAAGAAGGAGAUCAAUAUGCAUGUGUAUUAGUUGUGUGACUAGAUAUCGAUAAUCAUGUAAGAUUUGUGAAUAGUGUUCUGGCAAACGUACCCAUUGUUGUCUAUCAUAUCUGCUCCUUUCGGACGCCAUUAUGCGAAUGUUCUUGAAAACGUAGUAUGCACACACUUCAGUCCCCGGCGCCUGCUUCAGGGCCUUUACGAGAAUAGAAUUUAAUCAGAUAAUAAUUAAUCAAGUGUGUUAAUUAAUUAAUGGUAUUGAAACAAGAAUUAAAGAGAUGGUAGCUAGCUAGCUAGUACUACUUAAUUACUUGCCUUGGGUCGAUACCAAAAUAGCUUUUGUCGCCAUUUUCCUGAAGUCACCUUGAUGUACUUUACCCAAGCCCUUCCCGUCGGCAAAGAAAAUUGAUAAAGGGGUUAUUAAAAAUAGUUCAUAUCAGGAAAUGAUAAACUAAAUAGGCCAAGAUAUAGUUAAUAAUGAUUGAAAUUACCUGUUGACUAUCCCUUCAUUAUGCUGUAGUCACUAUCUUUUUUAAGUAGUGAGUCCAGUACUUCAACUUUUCCUUCGUCAACUUUAAUGUCUAACAAGAUCCAGUGGUACCUGCAUACGCAUAAGUUUGCAUGUAUAAAUUAAGCGGGCAUGUGCAUAACACUAAUCAACUAUAACCCUAAACCCUUUACACUUAUUAACAUCUAGCUAGUAAGCAAAAACAGAAUUUGUAGUACAAGACAGUGUGACUCACUCGAAGUUGUAAGGAAGUAGUACAUCUUCAUUGCUAUUGAGGUGCUUCAAGAACUCUAGCAUGUUUUUCUCUACAUCUUGUCUACACCAUUCCAAUUUCCAUGUGUAUUCAUUAACAGUAUUUGGGUCAAUGAACCCAAUGCCAUAGCGUCUAGCUUUUUUCAUUUCAUACAUCUUCAUCCUGCAUAAUACCACAGAAAAGAAUAUAUAGUGAGGAUAUUUAAUUACAGGUAAUUAAUGAUCAAUCAAUGAGCACUAGAGCUAGCUUGAGACUUAAAUUACAGAAAGAAAUCACUUACAGACAAUAGCAACUGACGAUAGAUUUGUCGAGUGCAUCUUGAUUGAAUAACUGAAAUAGUUCUGAAUACUCAACAGUUAGAGCUUUCUUAUUGAAGUAAUGAUCUUCCUUGACUUGCACCAUGAGGGACUCUCAAUUGGAAAUCUUGAUAAUUUUCAUGUACCAAUCAUGCAAUUCAUACAUUCUCGUUGGGAGGUUCUUGACCUCCUCGGGCUCGACCAAAGGUUGGCCCCGGACAUAUUUCCGUUUUAUUUUCUCCUCUCUAAGCAGAGACAUGGGCUCGAUAUCGAGGAGUUGUCCAAUAGUGAUCUUGAGCAUUUCAGCCUGCAUUAUAUGAUCCUCGGUUAUUACCACACCACCCACCUCGGGAACGUAAAUGGUUGCGCCGCCUGUUCUCCCAGCUGGGGAACGGUUUUCCCGUAUUUUUUGACAGCUGCUUGUUGGCUCGAGCUCGAGCUCGCUUCUUUCCGUAGUCGUGCUCGAUGUGCCUUUCUGAUUUGGCGCUCAUAGUCUGAGUCAACAGGCUUGGGAGCUGGUGGCCUAGCCAUACGAAUGAAGUGGUCAAUAUUUUUCCUCAGGCACUUUCUCCCUCGGCGGCGUUGCCGGUUUCGGUCCAAAAUGGGCGUCCACUUGGGCCUUCACUAUGGCUGCAUUUUGCUCCUCGGUCAUGUUGUAAGGCCUCUGAGGAAGAGGAGCGAGGCUGCUUGGACCAUAUUUAUAUCGCUUGUCUCCGCCUGUACUUCCUGUACUACCUUGACUCGUACCACUACGCACCAUAGCUGCGGCGUGUCUCUUCUGCGAUUGCUGAGGCGGCGGAGACGGCUGACGUUGCUGAGUUGGAGCAGGAGGAGUGGCCUGACGCUGUGCCAGACUUGAAGCAGGAGGUGUGGCCACUAGUAGAAAAAGGGUCAAAUGUGAAGCACAUUAGUGCCGGUUUGUGAAAAAACCGGCACUAAUGUGAUCAAUAGUACCGGUUCGUGGCGGCGAUCAAUAGUAUCGGUUCGUGACGAACCUUUAGUACCGGUUCAUGCCACGAACGGUACUAAAGAGGAUGUGGCAGCCUGCAGUCAGGCUAUGGCCCCACCAUCACCAUUUAGUGCCGGUUCGUACCACGAACCAGUACUAAUGAGGUUAUGGCAAGCUGUUUUUAGUCCCACCUCGCUCCCCUAACAAGGCUUUUACCACCUUAAAUAUGUUACUUCUCAAACUAUCACAAGCACUUGGUCUUCAUUGAACUCUAUGUGUAGAAUUUGUGGCUGCAAUAUGAGUCUUCACCGGUUUAUAAAUCGUUGAGGACUCAUAUUGACAAUUCAGAUUGUACACAAAAAGAUCAUUGAUGAUCAAAGUAUUUUUAAUGUAUAAGAUCAUAGUGACAAUUCAGACUGUAAAGAAAUAUAAUAUCAUAAUCUAAAUGCUCUUAUAUUUUUUGCAUUCAGUAUGCACCAUUCAAAGCGACGCCAUCAACUUUCAACCAUUUAUGCCUUCAUUUGCUAUUUUUCAUGCAUUUAAUGAUUUGUUUUGAGAACUAAAUAACCUGGAAAUUGAAAAGCACUACAAAUGAACUCUGAAAAAGUUGAAACUUGGCAUGGUAUCAUCAUUUCACCCACAUAGCAUGUCCAAAAAAGUAGAGAGGGUUAUGGCAAAAACUGGAUGCACUUCGUUUACAAACUGGACAAUCUCUUUCGAAGUAUUUGGGUUUUGACGAAAUUAAACUCAUCUGUUACAAAGGCAUUUCAUUUUUUAAACUUAUUACAACCCCAGACUUUUUGUUCAUUAGUAUGCACUAUUCAACUACUAGGCGGGAGGAGCUCUUUAGUACCGGUUCCAACUGCUAAGCGGGAGGAGCUCUUUAGUACCGGUUCGUGGCGAACCUUUAGCACCGGUUCGUGCCACGAACUGGUACUAAUAAGGUUGUGUUAGGUAAGGCUGGGGCCCCACGAGCACCUUUAUUACGGGUUCAUGGCAUGAACCAGUACUACAGUUUCUUAGAAAGCUGUUUUUUAGUCCCACCUCGCGAAGAGAGAGGGACUAGGAGCGGUUUAUAAGCCCUGAGUGCAGAGACGAUGAAGAAGAGGCUCAAUGCUCACGUUGCUUAGCUUCAAGCCUUGAGGAAUAUGGUAGACUGCAUGGAGCUAUGUGCAAUGCAGUUUACACUAUUCCGAAAGGCUUGAAACUAAUUAACGAGCAUUGCAUCUCUUUUUUAUUUUUAAUAACUUAUUACAACUCCGGACUUCUUCUGUUAUGGCAAAAACUAGAUGCACUUCGUGUACAAACUGGACAAUCUCUUUUAAAGUAUCAGGGCCGGUUUCAGACGAAAACUCUGGUUAUAACUCCAGACUUUGACCAUCAAGUUUUAACCAUCAACUUGGCAUGGUAUAUGAAAAUAAAUGAAUAGAAGAAAAUAAAUAAAGCAGAAAAGAAAAAAACUAUAGCAGAAAAUAAAAAACUAUAUAAAAAACUACUCAGAAAUAAAUAGAAGAAAAUAAAUAUAGCAGAAAAGAAAAAAACUAUUCAGAAAUAAAUAGAAGAAAAAAUAAAGCAGAAAAGAAAAAAAACUAUAUUUGCUAUUUUUCAUUCGUUUACUGAUUUUUUUAGAGAGCCAAAUGACCGUGAAAUUAAAAAUCACUACAAAAUAAACUCUGAAAAUGUUGAAUUUUGGCAAACUAGAUAAAAAACUACUCACAAAUAAAUAGAAGAAAAUAAAUAUAACAGAAAAGAAAAAACUAUACAAAAAACUACGCAGAAAUAAAUAGAAGAAAAUAAAGCAGAAAAUAAAAAAACUAUACAAAAAAAUUGGGGCGCUGCCCAAUGGGCCUGCUAGGCCACGGGCGUGCAAUUACAGGCCCUAACGGCCCAACAGGCUCACAGGGCAGCGCACAGAAGUUAGGCCCAGAAGCCUGCUAUAUAUAGGAGUUCAAAGAGGCAGCCGCGGCUGGGUUUAUAAACCAGUGAGGCUGCCCUUCGCACGGGGAGAUGGGACUAAACGUCGUGCACCGCGGGUGGCAGCGCAAGGCCUUUAGUAUCGGUUGGUGGCUCCAACCGGUACUAAAGCUCGUGCCUUUAGUACCGGUUGGAGUCACCAACCGAUACUAAAGGCCAUCGGUUCCCGUCGUUUGGCCUGGCGAAAAUAGGCCUUUAGUACCAGUUGGAGGCACCAACCGGUACUAAAGGCCCAUCCUAUAUAUAUAGCACUUACGAAAUUUUCAGUUUCAUCCCCCACUUCGUCUCUCGAACCGCGUGCGCCGCUCGAUCCCCGUCGUGUCGCCGCACGUCGCCCGUCGUCCGUCGUCGUCGUCGCUGUCCCCCGCCGCCGCCCGUCGUCGUCGUCGUCUCACGCCGCUGCCCUGAACGCCGCCGCUGUCUGUCGUCGUCGCCGCGGCGCCGCCCGAUACGUCUCUCCCCGCCCCGUACGCCGACGCCCCUGCCCCCGCCCCGUACGCCGCCGCCCCCGCCCCCGCCCCGUACGCCGGCGCCCCCGCGGCGUACUGCACAUACACACACACGUAUACAUAUACACGCAGUACACACAUAUACACACACAUACACAUACACAUUUUUUUACUAGUUGAAUAAUUUAUAUAAUUAAUAUAACUAGUUUAUUUUAGUAAGAAAAUAAUCGAACUAGUUUAUUUAGGUAUAUGAGAUUUGAACUAGUUGAAUAAUUAAUAUAACUAGUUUAUUUUUAGUAAGAAAAUAGUCGAACUAGUUUAUUUAGGUAUAUGAGAUUUGAACUAGUUGAAUAAUUAAUAUAAAGAAAAUUUAGGUAUCUGAGAUUUGAUGAUCUAAUUAAAAUAUUAUUUGUUAAUGAGUUUUUCUGUUUAUUUAAUUUUUUUUAUAUAUUUUUAGUUUAUAUAAAUGUUAGAUUAAUGUCGAAUGUUAAAUGAAUUAGAUAGAAAAGUUAAAUAUAUAGUAAUGUCAAUUGUUAGAGAUGAAUAUAGUUAGAUAUAUUAAUGUCAAAUGUUAGAUGAAUAUAUAUAUUUGAAUUAGCUAGAUAUUAAUUAAUGUUAGAUAGUAAUAAGUGUUUAAUGUUUCACUUAUAUGAACAUAGGAAAUGUCAUCUGACAACGAAGAAGAUUUCAUUAUGUGCGAACACUNNNNNNNNNNUCUCCUACAUGUUGCCUUGGUGCCUUCGGAGCACGAUGACAAGUGGUUCAUGGGGGCGGUAGCGGGUGAUAGUAUUCUCCUUUGGGAUCUAUAACCUGGUCGAGCAAAAAUCCCGCUAUUUCCUCUUGAAGUGCUCGUAUGCGCUCCUCUGAUAGGAGCUUGUCCCGCACCUAUUUGAACUGUUAAGAAGGAGAUCAAUAUGCAUGUGUAUUAGUUGUGUGACUAGAUAUCGACAAUCAUGUAAGAUUUGUGAAUAUUGUUCUGGCAAACGUACCCAGUCCUGUCUAUCAGAUCUGCUCCUUUCGGACGCCAUCAUGCGAAUGUUCUCGCAAACGUAGUAUGCACACACUUCAGUCUCCGGCGCCUGCUUCAGGGCCUUUACGACAAUAGAAUUUAAUCAGAUAAUAAUUAAUCAAGUAUGUUAAUUAAUUAAUUGUAUUGAAACAAGAAUUAAAGAGAUGGUAGUUAGCUAGCUAGUACUACUUAAUUACUUACCUUGGGUCGAUAUCAACAUAGCUUUUGUCGCCAUUUUCCUGGAGUCACCUUGAUGUACUUUGCCCAAGCCCUGCCCGCCGGCAAAGAAAAUUAAUAAAGGGGUUAUUAAAAAUAGUUCAUAUCAGGAAAUGACGAACUAAAUAGGCUGAGAUAUAGUUAAUAAUGAUUGAAAUAACCUGUCGACUAUCCCCUUCACGAUGCUGUAGUCACUAUUUUUUUAAGUAGUGAGUCCAGUACUUCAACUUUUCCUUCGUCAACUUUAAUGUCUAAUAAGAUCCAGUGGAAGCUGCAUGCGCAUACGUUUGCAUGUAUAAAUUAAACGGGCAUGUGCAUAACACUAAUCAACUAUAACCCUAAACCCUAUACACUUAUUAACAUCUAGCUAGUAAGCAAAAACAGAAUUUGUAGUACAAGACAGUGUGACUCACUCGAAGUUGUAAGGAAGUAGUAUAUCUUCAUUGCUAUUGAGGCGCUUCAAGAACUCUAGCAUGCAUUUCUCUACAUCUUGUCUACACCUUUCCAAUUUUCAUGUGUAUUCAUUAACGGUAUUUGGGUCAAUGAACCCAAUGCCAUAGCGUCCAGCUUUUUUCAUUUCAUACAUCUUCAUCCUGCAUAAUACCACAGAAAAGAAUAUAUAGUGAGGAUAUAUAAUUACAGGUAAUUAAUGAUCAAUCAAUGAGCACUAGAGCUAGCUUGAGACUUAAAUUACAGAAAGAAAUCACUUACAGACAAUAGCAACUGACGAUAGAUUUGUCGAGUGCAUCUUGAUUGAAUAACUGAAAUAGUUUUGAAUACUCAAUGGCCAGAACUUUCUUAUGGAAGUAAUGAUCUUCCUCGACUUGCACCAUGAGGGACUCUCGAUUGGAAAUCUUGGUAAUUUUCAUGUACCAAUCAUGCAAUUCAUACAUUCUCGUUGGGAGGUUCUUGACCUCCUCGGGCUCGACCAAAGGUUGGCCCCGGACAUAUUUCCGUUUUAUUUCCUCCUCUCUAAGCGGAGGCAUGGGCUCGAUCUCGAGGAGUUGUCCAACAGUGAUCUUGAGCAUUUCAGCCUGCAUUAUAUGCUCCUCGGUUAUUACCACAUCGCCCAGCUCGGGAACGUAAACGGUUUGCCCACAAUAAUAUUGGGCGCGCGUACUCUCAUGUGUUGUUGGCACAACAAGCGAGGGGGGGGGGGUGGUCGAUUGCGCCGCCUGUUCUCCCAGCUGGGGAACGGUUUUCCCGCAUUUUUUGACAGCUGCUUGUUGGCUCGAGCUCGAGCUUGCUUCUUUCUGUAGUCGUGCUCGAUGUGCCUUCUUGAUUUGGCGCUCAUAGUCUGAGUCAACAGGCUUGGGAGCUGGUGGUCUAGCCAUACGAAUGAAGUGGUCAAUCUUUUCCUCAGGCACUUUCUCCCUCGGCGGCGUUGCCGGUUUCGGUCGAAAAUGAGCGUCCACUUGGGCCCACACUAUUGCAUCGUUUUGCUCCUCGGUCAUGUCGUAAGGCCUCUGAGGAAGAGGAGCGAGGCUGCUUGGACCAUAUUUAUAUCGCUUGUCUCCGCCUGUACUUUCUGUACUACCUCGACUCGUACCGCUACGCACCAUAGCUGCGGCGUGUCUCUUCUGCGAUUGCUUAGGCGGCGGAGACGGCUGACGUGGCUUAGUUGGAGCAGGAGGAGUGGCCCGACGCUGUGCCGGACUUGAAGCAGGAGGUGUGGCCUGACACGGUGUCGGACUUGAAGCAGGAGGUGUGGCCUGACGCCGUGCCGGACUUGAAGCAGGAGGUGUGGCCUGACACGGUGGCGGACUUGGAGGAGCGGGAGUCUGCUGACACGGUGGCGGACUUCGAGGAGGAGUCGGCAGACGCGGUGUCGGUGGACUUCGAAAGAUGAUGCAAUCCUUUUUCCAUAGGAUGAAACGAUGUAUGGCCUCUCCCAGUGUUUGCUCGUCGUCACCUCCAGGAAUGUCAAGCUCUAGCCCCGAAUAUGGGCCCACCACCUCAUCAACCAAGACACGAGCAUAGCCCUCUGGAAUCGGGGCACAAUGGAAGGUUGCUCCGGGGGUAAUUGUAAAAGCAACGGCGUUCGCCACCUUCAUGGAUAUGUUCUUCAUUUUGUAGUGUAGCUCACAGUUAGUGUUCUCUAUGAUGUCAUCCACAGGGUAUGUAUCCAGCAGUGCGUCGCCCGGGGCGGAACCAACGCUGCUUCUCGGCAUGGAUGGGACGGCGCUAUCCAAUGCUGGAUGAUCAUCCGCUUGCUGCUGCCGCUGCUGAGACCCCCUUUCCUGGCUAAGUGAGUCGAUCUGCUGCUGUUGCUGCUGCUGGAAUUUGAGUGCCAAGUCCGCGUGCCUUGCUUCUAGGCCUUGAAGGCGUUCCGCGUCCUGCUUCCUCUGCUCCUCCUCCAGCUUCCUCUUCUUCUCCUCCUCCAUCUUCUUUCUUGCACGGGUCCUGUAGUCGUCGUUCCAUUCCGAAAAGCCCUCAUACCAGGGAAUAACGCCCUUGCCUCGCGUUCUUCCCGGGUGUUCAGGAUUUCCCAGGGCACGCGUAAGCUCGUCGUUCUCUCUGUUGGGCGUGAACACCCCCUUUCGAGCAUCUUCUAUUGCGUCAAGUAACUUUUCUUCUGCUCCGUUUAGACUUGCCUUCUUCGAAACCAGGCCUGUCUUCGGGUCCAACGCCCCCCCAUGCGCAUAGAACCAAGUUCUGCACCUGGGGGGCCAGCUCCUAGUAACCGGAGUGACCCCUGCAUCCUCCAUCUCUUGCUCAGACUUAUCCCACUUAGGCAUUGCCACCGCGUAGCCACCUGGACCCAGCCUAUGGAACUGCGUCUUUUUUGCGGCAUUGGCCUUGUUUUUUCUCGACGUUCCUUAGAUAAUUCUGAUUCCUUGAAUUUCACGAAAGCGGGCCAGUGUUCUCUUUGCUUCUCCAGUGUUCCCUUGAAUUCUGGAGUCUUCCUUUCUGCAGUGAGGUAGUUGGCCCAUACAGUUUUCUUGUGGGUGUUGAAUGCAAUUGCCAUCUUCUUAAGAGCAGCGUCCUUGACUUUCUGCACAUCUGCAUCAGUGAAAUAAUCUGAUAGGGUGAAAUGUUCCAUCAGAGAUUUCCAAAGCUUUUGUUUUGCUCUGUCGUCGACCCAAGUAAUAUCUGGGCGUUUAGUUUUUGGCUCUUUCCAUUCUUGAAUGGAGAUCGGGAUUUGGUCCUUCACAAGAACUCCGCACUGACGAACGAACUUGCUCGCAAUGUUCUUAGGCGUGAGGGGUUCGCCACUAGCUUUGAUGGAAUCGAUGUUGUACUUUACACCCUCCUUCAACUUUUUGCUCGGGCCGCGCUUUGUCCUGCUGUCUGUAGAAGCAGAUUUGCUCGAUCCGGAGGGCUGAAAGAAGAAAGAUCGAUUCGUUAAUAUAUCUUCAAAUAAAAAAACAUGUGAUGAUCACUAGAUGACUGCUUAUAUAAAUAUACCUCGCCGGUAGUCUUUGUUAUUUCAAGAUCAACAUUGUAUUCGUCAUCAUAAUCAUUGUCUGCGUCAUCAUAAUCAUAAUCAUAGUUCAUGACUUCAUCAGCUCGGUCGUCGAGAUUGAAUAUCUUAUCAUCACCCUCCCCGGUAUUGUUCAGAUAUUGGGAGCCGUCAUUUGCUUCAUUUAGAUCAUCUGGCCUGCUAGGGCUGCGUAUGAUCUCGAACAGGGCCUCUUCUCCCUCUCUGCCGGUAUUGUCCGCCAUAGCUUUUAUUUAACUAAUACAAAAGAAAUAUAAAACAAUUAAGUAUUCAAAUUACAAUGCAUGGAUGCAAUCAAUAAGGAAAAACUGAAUCAUAUAGUACAUAAUAUGCAUCGUCUCGAAUAAUAUAUAAUCUCGAAUACAUCGUCUCGAAUAAUAUAUAAUCUCAAAUACAUCACUGGCUAGGUAGCUAAUAAAGAUCGAAUACUAUAGAAGAAUCUAGGCCACUCGCGGUUCCUGGGGCGCGGGCGGUGGACACCCAAAGACAAGGAACCAUCACAGAAUCAUAUCUCUGGUCAUCUGCCCAAAGAACCUGCCAGGUAUUGGAGAACCUGACGUCCAUAGCAGCCAUGUAGCGAUGGACGUGCUCGUCCUCCUCCCUGACACGACGACGCACCACCUCUGGCGGGGCCGGCUCCCUCUGCACCGAAUGUGGCCCACGCGAACGCCACUAAAGGAGAUCAGGGUCGACAACGGGACCCGAGGCUGGGUCCCUCACCAAGCGGCGCGCCCCUCCAGGUAGCACCUCCCAAUGCCAGCCCGGCGGAGCCCAAUCCCGGACAUGGGUCAGCCGGACGUCGUCGCGAACGGGUCGACGGCGAGGAUGCAGGCCGGGCAUCGUCGAGAACAAAUACUAUAUGCCCGCAAAAAGUAACAUUUUUUAAAAGAUUGGAUUGUGAUAACUAAAAUUCUAUAUGCAAAUUCUAACAAUUUGACAUUAAUCUAAUUCAUCUAACUAAAACUAAUUCUAAAAUUUCUAACAUUUCUAUAUAUAUAACUAACAUUUCUAUAACAUUUCUAAUAUUUCUAUAACUAAAAAACAGAAAAAUUGCUACGAUGACGCGGAUGGCGACGAGGGGGGCAGCGACGGGGGCGGCGACGACGGGGACGGGGACGGCCGGGGCGGCGACAACGGNNNNNNNNNNNNNNNNNNNNNNNNNNNNNNNNNNNNNNNNNNNNNNNNNNNNNNNNNNNNNNNNNNNNNNNNNNNNNNNNNNNNNNNNNNNNNNNNNNNNNNNNNNNNNNNNNNNNNNNNNNNNNNNNNNNNNNNNNNNNNNNNNNNNNNNNNNNNNNNNNNNNNNNNNNNNNNNNNNNNNNNNNNNNNNNNNNNNNNNNNNNNNNNNNNNNNNNNNNNNNNNNNNNNNNNNNNNNNNNNNNNNNNNNNNNNNNNNNNNNNNNNNNNNNNNNNNNNNNNNNNNNNNNNNNNNNNNNNNNNNNNNNNNNNNNNNNNNNNNNNNNNNNNNNNNNNNNNNNNNNNNNNNNNNNNNNNNNNNNNNNNNNNNNNNNNNNNNNNNNNNNNNNNNNNNNNNNNNNNNNNNNNNNNNNNNNNNNNNNNNNNNNNNNNNNNNNNNNNNNNNNNNNNNNNNNNNNNNNNNNNNNNNNNNNNNNNNNNNNNNNNNNNNNNNNNNNNNNNNNNNNNNNNNNNNNNNNNNNNNNNNNNNNNNNCGGGGGCGGCGGGCGACGGGGCAGAGGAGAAGAAGCAGAUGAAAACUGACGAAAUUUCUAAGUGCUGCUUAUAUAGGAUGGGCCUUUAGUACCGGUUGGAGCCACCAACCGGGACUAAAGGUCAAAUUUGGCCAGCCCAAGCGGCGGGAAGCGCACCCCUUUAGUACCGGGUGGUGGCACCAACCGGUACUAAAGACCCCCCUUUAGUACCGGUUGGAGCCACCACCCGGUACUAAAGGGUGUGCGCUGCUAGGCGAGGGGCGCAGAAGUUUAGUCCCACCUCGCUAGUUGAGGAGCGCCAGGACCAGUUUAUAAGCCCCGAUGCGGGCACUGCAUUGAGCUCCUCUCAAUAGUAGGCCUUCUGGGCCUACCUCUCCUACUCUGCCUGUGGGCCUACUGGGCUUGCGGGCCUGCAUCCUGGCCCAACUACAGGUUGGGUUUCUAGUCGUAUGCAGGCCGCUCUGGCCGAGUAGGUGGGCUUUUUUAUUUUCUUUUUUUUUUACUUUAUUUAUUUUUGAGUUGUUUUUUGCUGUAUUUAGAGUUUCUUUGGGAAUAUUUUUGCUUUAGGUACAAAAAAUUACAAAGUUUCUGUUAAUGCCGGUAGUUUACAAAUUUGAAUAGUUUAUAUUUUGAAUUAUUUGAAAUUUGUGUGAAUCACUAGUUUGUGAAUAACUUAACUUUGAAAAUAGAUUUUCAGUGAUUCUUUUAUCUUAUGUUUAAUAUUAGUGUGUUUUAUCAUUAUAUUCAAUUUGGUAAUGCUUAGGUUAUUUAAAAAAUGAAAUCCCUUUGUAACGGAUGAGUUUUUGUCCGAAACCCUGAUACUUCGAAAGAGAUUGUCCAUUUUAUACACGAAGUGCAUCCAGUUUUUGCGGUAACCCUCUCUAUUUUUUUGCACAUGCUAUAUGGGUGAAAUUAUGAUACCAUGCCAACUUUCAACCUUUUCUGAGUUCAUUUGAAAUGCUUUUCAAUUUCAGGGUCAUUUAGCUGAAAAAAUCAGUAAAUGCAUGAAAGAAUUUGUUUGCACAUAAAAUUUCUUCGCGUUUCAAAUGUCAAAACACAUAACUACCCUAACUAUUACAGAGAUUCCUUCCUGGGUGUGAAACACAGAAGAAAUUGAUGAUAGUGAAGCCGAUCACAUCCCAGAUCUUUGGGUGUGUAACUUUUUCUUCGCAUAUGUCCCUUUGCGCCGUAGCCAUGGAAAAUCUUCAUCAUUUAACUGGAUGCUCGGGUCAAUAUUCACUGUGAAUGGAGCAAUUUCAUCAAUCUUUUCAUAAUCUUCUGACAUGUCUGUCUUGUCAUCCACUCCCACGAUGUUUCUCUUCCCAGAAAGAACUAUGUGGCGCUUUGGCUCAUCGUAUGAUGUAGUCGCUUCCUUGUCUUUUCUUUUUCUCGGCUUGGUACACAUAUCCUUCACAUAGAAAACGUGUGCCACAUCAUUAGCUAGGACGAAUGGUUCAUCUGCAUACGCAAGAUUGUUGAGAUCUACUGUUGUCAUUCCAUACUGCGGGUCUUCCGUUACCCCAUAUCGUGUCAUAUUGACCCAUUUGCACCGAAACAAAGGGACCUUCAAAUCACGUCCAUAGUCAAGUUCCCAUAUCUCCUCUAUGUAACCAUAAUAUGUUUCCUUUCCCGUCUUGGUUGUUGCAUCAAAGCAGACACCACUGUUUUGGUUGGUGCUCUUCUUAUCUUGGGCGAUCGUGUAAAAUGUAUUACCAUUUAUCUCGUACCCUUUGAAAGUCAUUAUAUUCGUAGAUGGUAACUAGGACAGCGAGUACACAUCAUCUUCAAUAGAGGCGUCAUGCAUGGUACGUGUCUGCAACCAGCCGGCGAAACUCCUGGUUUGUUCACGUGUAAUCCAGUCAUCAGACCGCUCCGGGUGUUUGGAGCGUAGAAAAUUCUUGUGUUCGUCCAUAUACGGAGCCACCAAGGCGGAAUUCUGUAUAACUGUGUAGUGUGCUUCAGUGAGAGAAUGUCCGUCCAUACAUAUUUUUUGAUUCCCUCCUAGCGUGCCUUUUCCAUCUAGUCUGCCCUUAUGCCGCGAUUCAGGAACACCAAUCGGCUUAAGGUCAGGAAUAAAGUCAAUACAAAACUCAAUGACCUCCUAAUUUUCAUGGCCCUUGGAGAUGCUUCCUUCUGGCCUAGCACGGUUAUGAACAUAUUUCUUUAAGACUCCCAUGAACCUCUCAAAGGGGAACAUAUUGUGUAGAAAUACAGGACCCAAAACACUAAUCUCUUCGCAUAGGUGAACUAGGACGUGCGUCAUGAUGUUGAAGAAGGAUGGUGGGAACACCAACUCAAAACUGACAAGACUAAUCGAACGUUGAGGAAUGCACGCAUAGCUUCACAAUGGCUAAUCGAACGUUAUCCGGUAGAAGCCCCCUCAAUGCAACCGGAAGCAGUUGCGUCAUAAUCACGUGGCAGUCAUGAGACUUUAGGUUCUGGAACUUUUUCUCUGCCAUGUUUAUUAUUCCCUUUAUAUUCGACGAGAAGCCAGACGGUACCUUAAUACUGAGCAGACAUUCAAAGAAGAUUUCCUUCUCUUCUUUGGUAAGAGCGUAGCUGGCAUGACCCUGAUGUAUGCCGUCUUUUCCAUGCAUACGUUGCUAGUCCUCCCGUGCCUCAGGUGUAUCUUUUGUCUUCCCAUACACGCCCAAGAAGCCAAGCAGGGUCACGCAAAGAUUCUUCGUCACGUGCAUCACGUCGAUUGCAGAGCGGACCUCUAGAUCUUUCCAAUAGGGCAGGUCCCAAAAUAUAGAUUUCUUCUUCCACAUGGGUGCGCGUCCGUCAGCAUCAUUCGGAACAGGUUGUCCGCCAGGACCCUUUCCAAAGACUACCUUCAAAUCCUUGACCAUAUCAUGUACAUCAGCACCAGUACGGUGGCGAGGCUUCGUCCGGUGAUCCGCCUCACCUUUGAAAUGCUUGCCUUUCUUUCUUACGGGAUGCCUGCUCGGAAGAAAUCGACGAUGUCCUAGGUACACAUUCUUCCUACAAUUGUCCAAAUAUAUACUGUCGGUAUCAUCCAAACAGUGCGUGCAUGCGCGGUAUUCCUUGUUUGUCUGUCCUGAAAGGUUACUGAGAGCAGGCCAAUCAUUGAUGGUCACGAACAGCAAGGCCUUUAGGUCAAAUUCUUCCCCCAAGUGCUCAUUCCACGCACGUACACCUGUUCCAUUCCACAGCUGUAAGAGUUCUUCAACUAAUGGCCUUAGGUACACAUCAAUGUCGUUGCCGGGUUGCUUAGGGCCUUGGAUGAGGACUGGCAUCAUAAUGAACUUCCACUUCAUGCACAACCAAGGAGGAAGGUUAUACAAACAUAGAGUCACAGGCCAGGUGCUAUGGUUGCUGCUCUGCUCCCCAAAAGGAUUAAUGCCAUCUGCGCUUAGACCAAACCAUACGUUCCUUGCGUCAUCUGCAAACUCCUUCCCGUACUUUCUCUCAAUUUUUCUCCACUGCGACCCGUCAGCGGGUACUCUCAACUUUCCGUCUUUCUUACGGUCUUCUCUGUGCCAUCGCAUCGCCUUGGCAUGCUCUUUGUUUUGGAACAAACGUUUCAACCGUGGUAUUAUAGGAGCAUACCACAUCACCUUGGCAGGAAUCUUCUUCCUGGGGCACUCGCCCUCGACAUCACCAGGGUCAUCGCGCCUGAUCUUAUAGCGCAAUGCACCGCAUACCGGGCAAGCGUUCAAAUCCUCGUACUCACCGCGGUAGAGGAUGCAGUCAUUAGGGCAUGCAUGUAUCUUCUGCACCUCUAACCCUAGAGGGCAGACAGCCUUCUUUGCUUCGUACGUACUCUCGGGCAAUUCGUUGUCCUUUGGAAGCAUAUUCUUUAUCAUUACCAGCAACUUUCCAAAUCCCUUGUCAGAUACACCAUUCUCUGCCUUCCAUUGCAGCAAUUCCAGUGUGGUGCCCAACUUUUUCUUGUCAGCUUCGCAAUUCGGGUACAACAAUUUCUUGUGAUCCUCUAACAUGCGCUGCAACUUCUUCUCCAAAUCACUUGCGCAGUUUCUCUUUGCAUCGGCAAUGGCCCGACCUAGAUCAUCAGCGGGCUCAUCUGAUGCCUCUUCUUCAGCUUCUUCCCGCAUUGCCGGCUCAGCUUCUUCCCUCAUUGUUGUAUCAUCGUAUUCAGGGAACCCAUGGCCAGGAUAGUUGUCGUCGUCCUCUUCUUCUUCAUUGUCUUCCAUCAUAACCCCUCUUUCUCCGUGCUUGGUCCAAACAUUAUAGUGGGGCAUGAAACCAGGACUUAAACAGGUGGACGUGAAUGGUUCUUGACGUAGAGUAAUUGUGAUCAUUCUUACAGACUAAACAUGGACAAGGCAUAAAACCAUCCGCCCGCUUGUUUGCCUCAGCCGCAAGCAGAAAAGUUUGCACGCCAUUAAUGAACUCGGGAGAGCAUCGGUCAUCGUUCAUCCAUUGUCGGCUCAUCUUCAUUACACAACACCGAAUAGACCAAAUUAAUACAAGUUCAUACAUAAAGUUCAUACAAGCCUUAAAUGCAACAAACAAAUAACUCUCUAACUAAAAAAUUUAAAUGCAACAACAAAUGCGAUCAAGAUCGCAACUAAGGUGACAAUUGAUCCAACAACAUAAUGAUACCAAGCCUCACUAUCAAUGGCAUAUUUUCUAAUCUUUCUAAUCUUCAAACGCAUUUUCUCCAUCUUGAUCUUGUGAUCAUCGACGACAUCGGCAACAUGCAACUCCAAUUCCAUCUUCUCCCCCUCAAUUCUUUUCAAUUUUUCUUUCAAAUACUCGUUUUCUCUUUCAACUAAAUUUAACCUCUCGACAAUAGGGUCGGUUGGAAUUUCCGGUUCACAAACCUCCUAGACAAAAAUAUCUAUGUCAACUUGAUGGGCAUAAUUUGUCAUAAACACGAAAUGCAACAACUAGUUUUAAAAGAGAAUAUACCACAUCCGAAUCAUAAUAAGGAUGAGGGCCGACGGGGACGGAUAUCAAAACCAUGGCACUAUGUAUAACAAACAAUGUACGGGUAAGAUAAUUAUACGAGUAACUAUAUAUCCAAAUCACACAAACAUCAAUUUGGUAAUGUAAAACAUUCAUGAACAAGAGGCUCACCACAAGGUGGUGCCGGCGACGGAACGGUGUGGGCGAUCGACUGUGGUUACGAUAGAGAUUUAGAAGGCACUAAGUAAACCACACCUACAUAUGCAAACUAAGUGUUAGUUUUGACCACAAAUUGCAUAUAAGUCAAAUACUAGCACAUAUAUUUUCUACCAAAUUACUAAACUCAUAAAUUAAUCACUAUACAAAGCAUUGCAAGAGCUAAUCUAGCAAUGAGAGAUGAAAGGACAAAGUUGCUAACCUUUGUGGUCAUUUGAAUGGAUGGGGGCCUUCAAAUCUUGACAAAUUUUGGGCAAAAUGUGUGAUGAGCUCGAGAGGAAGAGGGGAAGAACAUAGAGGAGAGGGGAAAGGGGAAGAACAGAGCGAGCUCGGGUGGACGAAAGGCUUAUGUACGACGACCUUUAGCAUCGGUUCGUGCCACGAACCGGUACUAAAGGUGCUGGAGGGGCCCCGGACUGACAACAUCCUUCCACCUCUCACUUUAGUACCGGUCCGUAGCACGAACCGGUGCUAAAGGUCGGCCACGAACCAGUACUAAUGAAAGCAGCUGGCUAGCCGUUGGAACCGGCACUAAUGCACACAUUAGUGCCGGCUCAAAAGCAAACCGGCACUAAUGUGCUUGACAUUUGACCCUUUUCUACUAGUGAUUCAAGUAAAUAGAUGCCUAAUGCAUGUUGAAAUAAAAGUUUGCUUUACAUUCUGUUUGCACAAUUGUGUUUUUUACAAAGUCUUUAAAACAAGACCAAUAUUGAAUAUAUUUUUAGAAAUUAAUUUUUGACAACUAAAUCACCAUGCUUCGAACUUGUUCCAUACAUAUUUAUUAAUUCCAUGUGAAAAUUUUAAUAAUGUACAUUUCACAAAUUAUUAUCUUAUUGUUUCACUAUGGCUCCCCAUGUUCCGUUGCAUUUCAUAAUGAUACAUUGUGUGCCAAUGUGUAUCAAACUGAUUCUUAGUAAUCUAAAAGUUUGUAAAUAUUAAUAUAUUUUAUUGCAACAAAACUUUGGCCUUAUCUAGUGUUUAACAAAACAUGGCAUAGUUAUGUGUACUCUUAUAGUGUUUCACUAUGUUUCAGAAUUUAAAUUUUAAAAAUUAUUGAAAUAUAUUCAAAAGUGGUCUCUUUUCAAAGGUCUCGUUGUCAAAAACACAAAUAUGAAACCGGAUCAUAAAUUGUACUUUUGGUUCAUAAGACCAAUUAGAUUUGAACUUGGAAAUAAAAUGAAAAAGUAUGAAAUGGUGGAACGUAGGUGGAACAGUGUACUUGCAUGUGAUGAAAGAAAUAACUAACUAACUGCCAGCGGUAUAAAUGCAUGGCAUCGGAUCUCCAAACAAACCAACGGCGCAUGCAUGCACGGUACCUCCCGUGCAUGGGAGAUUAGCUUUUCUCUAUUUUGGGGGAUACUGUGCCAGUUCAGACUUGGCGUUUGGCAGCGUGGCCUGUUCAUGUGUUUGAUUGGGCGUAGUAGUGUGUGGGUACUUCAGUUAGAUGGUAUGCAGCGGAUCGAGUCUAUCGACCGUGUGGCGAUGCCUGUAGAUUGUAGCACUAAAAUAUGAUGCUCAUUCAUAAACUAAUUUAGAUAAAGCCGCAAAAAAAAUGUGCUAGUUUUUUUUUGUGCUCACAUACUCUGUUUUGUCUCAGUUUUAGUCCAGGGCAACUUUGAAGCUUAUCUUAGGGUGGUAGCCAGAAAAAUGUGUUAAAGACCUUAUUAAGAAGUGAAGAAGAAUAGGCGUCUCCAGUUUUUGUUUCUCCAACUCUAUGCCUACACUGUAAUAUUAUUGAUGGAUUAGCUCCAGUUGAUGCAACUGUACUCUUUCUGGUAGGUCUGAGAUGCGAGUGAGCCAGAUCGAUCCUGAGCUAGCUACUUGUCUCCCUUAAGUCUUACAGCAAGACAAAUGCACUGGACUACAAAGAGGAAAUUCCUGCAGGUUCGUAAUGCAUCUGUUUUGGUUCUGGCAUUUGUCAGAUGUGUAUAGUCCCUUUUCGGUUCUUUCCCGUUGUAUAAGGGGUUUCCUGCAUUUCACCACACAUGUAUAUGUAAUGGCCUUUGACCCUCAGUGAAUACUAGUUGCUGUUUAUCCAACAUGGUAUCAGAUGUUAGGUUCCUCUCUCUCCUGCACGCUGCAACUCCGUGCUAGCUCGCCUCCCCUGAUUCGCUUCGUCCCCUUGCCAUCCGGCUGAUGCUGCUCUCUGGCCGAUUCCGGCUGCCCCCGACCUGAGCUCCGCCCGGUCCUCCUCGUCGUGGAUCCGCCGGGGCCUGCUCGAUCCGGCCUCCCCGGCCUAUCCACGGCCAGGCUCGGCCACCCCUCGCCGCGGAUCCAACCGGGACCUGCUCGUCCCGUGCUCGGCCGUAGCCCUCCUUGCCGCUCGGCCACCCCGCGGAUCCGCCUAUGCCCGACCGGGGCCCUCCUCGCCGUGGAUCCGGUCUCUCCGGCCCGUCCAAUGCCAGGCUCGGCCCGGCCGCCGCCGCCUCCUGCCGGCCGGCCGCCGUCGCCCCUUUCUCCGCCUCGCCUUGGAUCCGGCCGGGGUCUGCUCGUCCCGUGCUCGUCGGGUCCUUGCUUGGCCGCUCGUCUGCCUGGCCGCUCGUCCCGUGCUCCUGCACUCGGGUUCGGCCCUCUGUGGUCAAUGUGUGUUGCCUAUAGUUGACCCUGUGUAAAAAAACCCAAUGAGCUCGUCAUGUCUCCGUCAGGCUAUGUGGCUGUUCCUCGGUGCUCGGUGAUCUUCGAUGGCACCAACUAUGCUGAGUUUGUGGGUUUCAUGCGCAUUCACAUGCGUGGUCUUCUCCUGUGGGGCGUUCUCUCUGGCGAGGUUCCAUGUCCGCCUUGCCCUGUUGCUCCUGUGGCUCCUAUCCCGCCGGUGCCGCCUGUUCUUGCUGUUGAUGCUUCUCAGGCUGAUCGGGAUACAGCCAAGGCCCUUGACGAUGCCGCGGUUGAUGCUUAUGAUCAGCAGGUAUCCGCCUACUCAGAUGCUCUUUCUGCUUACCGAAACGAUUUGUCUGCUUACACUCAGUGGUGCAACGAUGAUGCUCGAGCUACUGCUGUUCUCACUUCGAGUGUCUUACCUCAGUUUGCAUCUGAGUUCAUGGGUCUCAGUAUUGUUGCUGCGAUGUGGUCCUAUCUUUGUCAGUGAUAUCAGCCCUCUGGUGAUGCUCUCUACUUAUCUGUGGUGCAUCAGGAGCACGCUCUUCACCAGGGUGACCCUUCUGUUGAUGAGUUCUACUCACAGAGCUCUGCCAUCUGGCGCCAGAUUGACUCUCUCAGGAUAGUUGUUUGUGGUUCUUGCCGUUGUUGCCAGACUGUACGGUCAGACUUGGAGUUUCAUCGUCUCCAUGAGUUCUUAUCUCACCUUCAUCCAGAGUUUGAGCCUCGGCGUGCUCACCUGCUUGCUCGUGGUCGUGUUCCUAUUUUGGAGGUGCUUGUAGAGCUUCCUGCCGAGGAGACACGCCUCCGUUCUGCUGGUCUGCUUGUGGUUCCCACUGUGCUUGCUGCCCGAGCUCCUGUGUCGUCUGCUCGCCUCACCACUCGACCACUCCUGCCCACACCUCCAGGGGGUGGUUCACCCUCCUUCAGGCGAGGGUCGAUCGCGCUCGCACACCUUCCGUGGCUACUGCAACAGGCCAGGUCACCCAAAGUCUGAUUGUCACAAGAAGCGGAAAGACCUGAAGCGCUCUUCUUCUAGUGGGACUCGUGCGUCUUCCUCGACUUCGUCGCUCAUUGACCAGGAUAUUGUGCGGCUCAAGCGCAUGUUGGCUUCCUCUGGUUCUUCCUCGACGGGUUCUGUUGCCGCUGUGACUACCACUACCACUCCGCCGCCGUCGGAGCCUACUCAGUGAGGUACAUCCUCGUGGGUUCUGGAUUCUGGAGCUUCUUUCCAUAUGUCUUUUGACUCUUCUGCUUUAUCUUCUCUUCGACCUCUUGAUUUUCCUCUUAAUGUUCUCACUGCCGAUGGCACACCCCUUCCUGUUACUAGUCGUGGCAUUCUUUCCACUCCGUCUUUUUCGGUUCCUAGUGUUUCUCAUGUUCCUCGUCUUACCAUGAAUCUUUUUUCCGCUGCCCAACUUACUGAUUCUGGUUGUCGUGUCAUUCUUGAUGCCGACUCUUGUUCUGUUCAGGAUCGUCGCACUCAGGCUCUGGUUGGCGCUGGCCCUCGGCGCGGUGAGUCUAAGGGACUUUGGGAGGUUGACUGGCUUCGUGUUCCUUCCGCUGCUACCACAUACACCAGCUCUCAUGCUCUUGUUGCCUCCUCUUCUGCGUCCUUCCAGCAGUGGCAUCAUCGACUUGGUCACAUCUGUGGCUCUCGCUUGUCCUCCUUAGUUCACCAAGGCGUCUUAGGGUCUGUCUCUGGUGAUGUUUCGUUGCAUUGUGAUGGUUGUAGGCUUGGAAAACAGACUCAGUCACCUUAUCCUACCAGUGAGUCUAUAUCUCAGCGUCCUUUUGACUUAGUUCAUUUUGAUGUAUGGGGUCCUGCUCCUUUUGACUCGAAAGGGGGUCAUCGCUAUUAUGUUUUGUUUAUUGAUGAUUUCUCUCUCUACACUUGGCUUUAUUGUAUGAAAUCUCGCAGCGAGGUUCUCCCCAUAUACAAGCGUUUUGCUGCCAUGGUUCGCACUCAAUUUUCCACGCCUGUCCGUAUCUUCCGUGCUGACUCAGCUGGAGAGUAUAUCUCUCACAUGUUGCGUGGUUUUCUUGCGGAGCAGAGUACUCUUGCCCAAUUCUCUUGCACUGGUGCACAUCCUCAGAAUGGCGUUGCUGAACACAAACAUCGCCAUUUGCUUGAGACGGCUCGGGCGAUGAUGAUCGCCGCCUCUCUUCCACCCCAUUUUUGGGCUGAGGCCGUUUCAGUAUCCACCAGCUCGUCAACAUUCAGCCAUCGGCUGCCUUGAAGGGUGGUAUUCCUAUGGAGCGUCUCUUUGGUCCUGACUACUCUGCUCUUCGCAUGUUUGGAUGCAUGUGCUAUGUUCUCCUUGCUCCGCGAGAACGAACCAAGUUGACUGCUCAGUCAGUUGAGUGUGUUUUCCUUAGCUAGAGUGAUGAGCACAAGGGCUAUCGCUGUUGGGAUCCUGUUGGUCACCGACUGCGCAUUUCGCGUGAUGUGACUUUUGAUGAGUCUCGUUCUUACUAUCCGCAUCCCUCCUCCUCGAGCUUUUCCGUGGAAGAUAUUUCCUUUCUUCUCCUUCCCGACACAUCUCCCUCUGUGUCUCCUGUUAUUCCCUCUCCCCCGAUGAGUCUCCCUACACCAUCGGUACCAUCAUCCCCUCCCUCCUCCUCCUGUCCCUCGUCAUCUCCCUCCCCACCCUCCUCCCCAGUCUUUCGCCCUCACUCCCCUUCUCCUCUCCACUACACUCGUCAUCCUCAUGCUGUGGAUGAUCCUACUGAUGUGCCCUCUACUUCCGGUGCACCUCCUCUCACGCCUACACCGGUCCAUAACCUUUGCGUUAGGCCUUGUCCCCCACCUGAUCGCUAUUCUCCUGACCAGUAUGGUCUUUCUGCCAUUGCUGAGCCCACCACCUAUCGAGCUGCCAUGACUCGGCCUGAAUGGCAGCUUGCCAUGGCCGAGGAGCUUGCGGCGCUUGAGCGCAAUGGCGCGUGGGAUCUGGUUUCUCCUCCUUCUGGUGUUUGUCCCAUCACGUGCAAGUGGGUCUAUAAGAUUAAGACUCGCUCUGAUGGUUCUCUUGAGCGUUACAAAGCUCGUCUUGUGGCUCGUGGCUUUCAGCAGGAACAGGGGCGUGAUUAUGACGAGACUUUUGCUCAUGUGGCCCAUAUGACCACUGUCCGCACUCUACUUGCUGUGGCUUCUGUUCGUCAUUGGCCUGUGUCUCAGCUUGACGUUCAGAACACCUUUCUCAAUGGCGAGUUGCGUGAGGAGGUUUAUAUGCAGCUACCACCGGGGUACUAUGCUCCUGAUGGUAUGGUCUGUAGACUUCGCCGCUCCCUCUAUGUGUAGGAUCGGAAGUAUGUCUAGAGGGGGGGGGGGUGAUUAGACUACUUGACCAAAUAAAAAUCUAGCCUUUUCCCAAUUUUAGUUCUUGGCAGAUUUUAGCAACUUAGCACAAGUCAAACAAUCAACCUACACAUGCAAUUCUAAGAGUAUAGCAGCGGAAAGGUAAAGCAAUUGCAUAUGAAGGUAAAGGGAUGAGUUUGAGGGAGCAAACGCAAUGUUGACAUAGAGAUUUUUUAUCCGUGGUUCCGAUAGGUGGUGCUAUCGUACAUCCACGUUGAUGGAGACUUCAACCCACGAAGGGUAACGGUUGCGCGAGUCCACGGAGGGCUUCACCCACGAAGGGUCCACGAAGAAGCAACCUUGUCUAUCCCACCAUGGCCGUCGCCCAUGAAGGACUUGCCUCACUAGGGUAGAUCUUCACGAAGUAGGCGAUCUCCUUGCCCUUACAAACUCCUUGGUUCAACUCCACAAUCUUGUCGGAGGCUCCCAAGUGACACCUAGCUAAUCUAGGAGACACCACUCUCCAAGAAGUAACAAAUGGUGUGUUGAUGAUGAACUCCUUGCUCUUGUGCUUAAAAUGAUAGUCUCCCCAACACUCAACUCUCUCUCAUAGGAUUGGAUUUGGUAGAAAGAAGAUUUGAGUAGAAAGCAACUUGGGAAGGCUAGAGAUCAAGAUUUAUGUGGUUGGAAUGGAAUAUCUUGAACUCAACACAAGUGUAGGUGGUUCUCUCUCAGAAAAUAUGUAUUGGAAGUGUAGGCAUGUUCUGAUGGCUCUCUCCACGAAUGAAGAGUGGGUGGAGGGGUUUAUAUAGCCUCCACACAAAAUCUAACUGUUACACACAAAUCACCAAACUCGGUGGGAGCGAUUCAAAGAACUCGGUCAGACCGAUUUGGUUCAUAAUGUGAACGUUAGGAUUCUCGGUGGGACCGACAUGUCAACUCUGUGGGACUGAUGUCAUUAGGGUUAGGGCAUAACGUAAUCUCGGUGAGACCGAUUACACAAACUCGGUGAGUCCGAUUUUGGUAAUAGCCAAACAGAGUGUUGGUCUGGCAAACUCGGUGGGACCGAUUCGCUCAUCUCGGUUGGACCGAAAUGUUACGAAAGGGAAACAGAGAUUUUGCAUUGUAAUCUCGGUGGGACCGAUCGCUCAUCUCGGUUUGACCGAAACGUUACGAAGGGAAACAGAGAGUUUGCAACCCCAUCUCGGUGAGACCGAGAUCCCUAUCGGUGAGACCGAAUAGAUUAGGGUUUCUGGCAGUGGCUAUGUCAACUGAACUCGGUGGCUCUGGAUGGAAAGAAUCGGUGGGGCCGAGUUGGACUUUUUGGUUUAGGACAUAUGUGGAUAUGAGAAAGUAGUGGAGGGUUUUGGAGCAUAUCACUAAGCAUUUUGAGCAAGAAUCUCAUUAAGCAACACCUCAUCCCUUCUUAAUAGUAUUGGCUUUUCCUAUAGACUCAAUGUGAUCUUGGAUCACUAAAAUGAAAAAUGUAGAGUCUUGUGCUUUGAGCUUGAGCCAAUGUUUUGUCCUUAGCAUUUUGAAGGGUCCACUUCCUAAUCCAUGCCAUGCCAAACAUUGAGCUUUCCUAAAAUAUUUAUCUUGGAAUAGCAUUAGCUCAGUGAGCUAUAUGUUGUUAGGAAUUACCAAAACCACCCAGGGAUAGUUGCACUUUCAAUCUCCCCCUUUUUGGUAAUUGAUGACAACAUAUAGAUCAAAGCUUCGACAAAUGAUAAAUAAGAUUGAAAAACAUCGUCGCUUUGAGAAGUAUGUGAUAAGCAAGAGCUCCCCCUAAAUUUGUGCAUUAUUUAAGAUUUGCUUUUGAAUGCAAAUGCACAAUCGAUUAGGAUCAUGGGUUACUCUUCCAUGUCACAUACAUCUUGGUGGAGCACUCAAAUGAUAGAGAUUAAAAGCAUGCACUCAUCACCAAGCAAAGUGAAUGAUCAUAAUAGGAUAUGAAAGAUAGCAUUAUCCAACAAGCAUUAAGGGUAGCAUAUGAUCAAACACUUGACCAAAUAAGUAUCUCACAAGGACACAAAGUAGUAUCACACAAGCACGCAGUAAAGUUUCAAACCAACCAAAAAAGAGUGCAAAGAGAGAUAAAAACCAACACUCUCUCUCUCGAAGCCUAUGAUCUAUACAUUUUUCUCCCCCUUUGGCAACAAGUUACCAAAAAGUUUGAAAAUGCAUAGUUCUAAACGACUCUCAGGCUUGAUCUUCGGGAGGUGGUGUUGAGAGAACGCCAAGGACGAAGGCUUCUGAUGAAGUGGCUGGAGCUGGUGGAGUAGCUACUGGCGUUGGAACUGGAGCUGUGGCUGCUGGUGCUGAUGUUGUAGCUCUAGUGUCUGUCACUGGCACUGCAGUAGAUCUCUGUCCUCUGGGCACUCUAGCAAAUGCAUCUGUGGUAGACUUGCCCUUCUUCUCCUCUGCUUCCUCCUGAGGUUGCUCAACUGCUCUUUGGAUCUCAGUUACCUUGACAUCAAGGUCAUAGAAUUUUGUCUCAACAAUCCUUUCCAAGCUCUCCUGGUUCUUGGUCAGGGUGGCCAAGCCCUGCUCAAUCCUCAGAGUGGAUUGGAUCAGAUAUGCAAGCUGGUCGUGCUUGCUCUUCAAGAAUACAUGAGAUGCCUCUUCCAUAGUUGGCAUCUUUGCAACUUUCGCAGCUUUAGCCUUCUCUCUCUUUUCUUGUGCUUGCACAAAUGAUGGUUCAUUCUCAGUCAUGACAACAGUGUUGUCCUCAAAUUCAGGAUAGAUGGGUAGAUGCUCCUUGUCCAAGAUGUACUUGCCUUUGCCCAUCUUUGAGUUGAUGAGCUCCUGGAUGUGUGGGGCAUAUCCACAACUUCGCUUCUGAUCGGCUGCAGUCCUCUUGAUUGUUUCCACAAUCAGGCUCAUAACCUUGAAUUUUUGUGGGACAUCAAAUAUGUGCAGCAAGUUGAUAGCAUGUCCUCUGAUCAUCUUGUGAUCACCUGACUUGGGUAGAAGUGUGUGCCUCAGAAUCCAAUUGAUUGUUGGCAGACCAGACAACAAAUAGUGUACAGAUCCAAACUUAUGUGUGUCCAAAGCAUCAUCAGGGAUCUCUUCGUACAUAUUUGCCAUAGAGUUGUGGUCUUUCUUCUUCUUGUCAUAGACAUCCAAGUCAUCCUCAUGUUCCUCAGGAGCAUUUAUUAGUUUUGCCCAUUCUUCAACUGUAAACUGGUACCUAGUACCCUCAGACAUCCACACAAUCCUUCCAUCUGGAUAGAAGUGUGCAGUGGAGUAAAAUUGCAUAAUGAGCUCAUCAUUCCACUUGGUGAACUUCCGAGCCACAAACUCAUCAACUCCACAUGCCUUGAAGUUUUCAUAUACACCAGGGAAGUGAUCCUCAUUUUCCUUAAUGAAUUUCCAAUCAACCCAUCUCAUGUCACACACUAUGGGCUUCUUGUCAAGUAAGGCAGCCUCAUAGAAGUCCUGUUGUUCCUUAGUGUGGAAUGUGUAGUCCAUAGUAGUCCUUCUCCUGGUGGCAUAUGGAUCAGACUCUCUCCAUAGCCUCAAUCCUGAAUCCUUCCUGAUUUUCAUGUUCUCUGCAACUGGGUGUGCAUCAUUGUGAUCAGGGAUCUUGGGCUUCAGCUUUCUCAAAAUGACAGAAUCAUCUUCUUCUUCUUCAGCAGCUUGAGGCACUGGGGCCUUGUUCUUCUCCUCAGCAGGGAUGUUCCUAGUGCUCCUCUUGGGUUUUGGUUUUGGAGCUGGAGCAGCAGCCUUGGGAGCAGCUUUGGGCUUAGAUGGAGCAGCCCCUGAUCUGAUUGCAUCUCCCAUGAGCUUUUGAGCUUUGGGUGCUGGUGCAGCAUCCUCUUCCUCUUCCUCUUCAGAAUCUUUCCUCAUUGAGGGCUUCCCAAGAACUCUAGAAGUAGUGGUUCUGGCCCUCUUCUUCUUCUUAUCCUCACCAGCUGCUUCUUCUUCAGAUUCAAUGGUGAACUUCAUAGUUUCACCUGUGGCAACUUUUCUUGGCUUAGACAUGGGCUGUCUUCCUGCUGGCCUCUUUGUUUUCAGACCUGGCUUAGUUGCAGCAGCUGAGCCAUACUCUUUCUUCAGCACUUUCUUCUUUGAAGUGGCUUCAUCUUCAACAGCCACAUAGUCUUCAUCCUCAGAGUCAGAAGUUCUCUUCUUCCUUGACCUGGUGGCAGCUUUUGGCAAGUUGCUUGGAGUGCUCCUGCUGCCUUCAUCAUAGCUGCUAGAGGGACUAGUGCCCUCACUCAACUGAACCUGUUCCUCUGACUUGUUCUGGCUGUCACUUUGGUCAGACAUCUUGCAGGCAAACUGUCAGCAGACCCUGUGAACAGGUUAUAGAUGAGGUAGAGUAGAUGAGCAUCACAAAGCACAGGAGUUUUUGCAAAAUAGAUGACUUAAAAACUUAGUUUUAGUUCUUCAUAGAAAGCAUUUCGGAUCUACCGUUUUGUAAACUCGGUGAUACCGAAGCAGCUUUUGGAACCUGAACUAGUGAACUCGGUCAGACCGAGUCACAGUUCGGUGGCACCGAGACUGCUAGGGUUUCACAGAGAAUUGAACUCGGUCACACCGAUUUGCAAUUUUCGGUCGGACCGAAAAUGCGUGUGCUCUGGCCUAAGCCAAAAUCGGUGAGACCGAUUUCUACAACUCGGUCGGUCCGAGAUGAAUUCGGCGGAGACCUAACCCUAAAUUUUCAAAUCAAAACUAAUCUACGGGACGUUUUCGCUGGACAGGAUGAUUUCAGUUGUGGCAAGAAACAUGGCAAAGCAAUGUGCUAAGAAUUGGAGUUAAAGAUUAGCACAAUGAUAAAGUCCGUACCCUAGUGCGGCGACGAACUUGCUACGUCGGCAACGGCGGAGAUGAUUUCCGUUGACGGCGGCGGAGACCAGCGGCGGGAGGACGCUGGCGACGAGAGGACGAUCCGGAGACCAGAGGAGGCAGAGUAGGUUACGCGCGGGCGAAGGGGUUCGGAGAAAUUUCCAAAUUUUGACCCAGCGGUAUAUAUAACCUGACCCUGUCGGUGUGACCGAGUGGAACGACUCGGUGGCACCGAGAUGCAAAACUGCAAGCAGUUACUGCAACUCGGUGUGACCGAAAUGUUCUAAUCGGUUGCACCGAGAUUGAAAACUCUAGAUCAACUUGGUGACUCGGUAGGACCGAAAAGGAUGAAUCGGUCAGACCGAGGUGCACAAAGAGGUUUGGAGGUUUAAGUCUAUGACGAAUCGGGAUCUCCGAGUGCUCCUCACACAGAGUGGUUCGAAUCUGACUUGAUCAAACUUUGUGAUGUAGCAUGAAUAGAGUUUGAGACGAGAAAAGCAUAGAUAGCUAGAGGGUGUUCUUAGGCAUUCUUGUCCAUCCAUUUGGCAAAAGAGAAAGAGCCAAACAAUCAAAACAACAAAUGGAUGUCCUCGAAUGAGUAAAAUAUGCAACCAACAUGCUCACACAAUAAAAUGGCAAAUGAAAUAUGUGAAAAAGCAUGCACAAACAUUCUAGCAUCUAUCAAGCAAUUGGCGAUGACUAGGUCAUCUAUAUAUGAGUAUAUUGACUUAGGAGUCAAAUGAGAACAUUUGAUCAUAGGUCAUACUCAUCGUUUAAGCACAAGUGGGGUUACCACUUUUACAUAAAGAAUUGUUGUGUUCACACCAUUAGAGUUGCUUUAGCUCAUUGAUUUGAGUAAAGCUCCCCCUAGAUGUGAUAUUCCCCCUAAAGGGAAUGAACUAACCUUGGGUUUUGUCGAUGAUGACUUCAUGUAGGUGUUGAAGAUGUAGAUGCUCAAUGUUGAUGUAGAUCAUUUGGAGCAAUCCUUUGGAGUGAGUUGCGCUUUCAAUACCUUGUCCCUUGUCUUACCAACAAGAGGGUUUGUGACUCCUUGAACUAGUGCAAGAUAUGGAAGUUGUUUGCACUUGUCCUUGCCAAAAUGAUAGGAGUGAAGUAUGUUGGCGGAGUCACCCUCAAGAACUCUCUAGUUCUUCUUCUUCUGGAUCCACACCAUCUUGAUGGGAACCCUUGGAGUCGUAGUUGUACUUGAUGAAGUGGAACUUGAUGUAGUCUUGGGAACCCACUUGACAAAGGCCUUAGGUGCUUCUUCAAAUGCAUCAAUUUCCUCUUGAAGCUUAUCCUUGCAUUUUUGCUUGUGGUCUUGUGGUGGAAGAUCAUCUUGAGCUUGUGUUCCUUUGAGAGAAGUAGGAUCAUACUUCUCUUGUUGAGGAACAAACUUCGUCUUGGGGUAUUGAUCUUCUUCCCACUCAACUCCAUUGGCAUCGAACUUCCGUUCAAAACCAACACCUUGAUUCUUCCGGUGUCUUCCUUGCUUGCGCACAAUUUCCUCAAAAUGCUUACUUCCGGCAAGACUCUUGUAAACACCUUUCUCUAUGAUUCCCUUCAAUAAGCUAUUUUCUUGCUCAAGUGUAACUAGGCUAAGAGAAUCAUUAGUGGAAUCAAGAGAACUACUAGAAGCAUCAACAUUGGAUUUAGCAUGAUUGUUGUUACUACUAGAUGAAGAAUCUUUCUUGUUCUUGUUGCUAGAUUUAACUUGUGGCAUGUAAGUAGACAAGAGUAAACGCUUGGCAAUGUAAGAAGAACUUUUCUUGCGAAGAUCAUCAUUGAUUGCCUUUAAAAACUCAUGCUCUUGCUCAAGGUUGAGCUUUUCAAAGCGUAGCUUAUCAUGAGUCUUUAAAAGUUCUCGAUGAUUUUCCAAGGUAGUUUCAUGAGCUAACUUAAGAGUGUUUAGUUCUUGAGUUAGACGCUCAAUCUCCUUCUUAUCUUCAUCAUUCGUUUUAUCUUGAUUAGCAUGUUUAAUUGACGUUUCAUCAUAGUUUUCUCACUAGAGUUGUCAACAAGUAAAUCAUCAUCACCUAGCAAAUCAUCUUCAUCACUAUUGAAAUCAGAAUACUCGGGAUGUGUUACCUUUGGACCUUUGGCCAUGAAGCAUCUUCCAAUUCCUUCAUUUGGUGAGUCAAAUAUAUCAUAGGAGUUGGUUGUCACAACUGUUAGACCGGGAACACCUUCAUCUUGAGUAUAUUCGGAGUCGGAGUGAUAACUUCUUUCGGAGUGAUUGUCGGAGUCGGAGCCGGAUACCCAUUCACCAACAUGAGCUUGAUGUCUUCUUUUUGUGUAGCUCCUUGAUGACUUUUCCUUUCUUUCCAAAUCCUUGCUUCUCCGAGAGGGUCUUUGUCCAUAACGAUCAUCUCUACUCCUCCUUUCUCUCGGUGGUGAUUAUUCUCUUCUACUUCUUCUUUUGGGAGAAUCUUCUCUUCUUUUGUAGGGGGCCGUACACUCAUUGGAGUAGUGUCCGGGUCUUCCACAAUUGUAGCACUUACGCUCACGACUAGAAGAUCUUUUGUCAUUGUAGGACCUUGACUUGGAACCUAUUUCUUUGCUUCUACUUUUGUAGAACUUGUUGAAGUUCUUCACCAUUAAGCUCAAUUCUUCAUUGAAGGUUUGUUUCUCACUUGAAGAUGUGGGAGUAUCACAUGAGGCUUUGUAAGCACCACUUGACUUGUUGUGAAGCUCUUCCUUAUCCUUGAGUGACAUCUCAUGAGCAACAAUUCUUCCAUUGACUUCCGUUGGCUUGAGAUCUUUGUAACUGGGCAUCAUUUGGAUCAAUGUGCACACGGUAUCAUAUUUUCCAUCCAAGGCUCUUAGGAUCUUCUUGAUGAUGAAUUUGUCGGUCAUCUCUUCACUUCCUAAGCUGGCAAUCUCAUUUGUGAUGAGAGCAAGCCUAGAGUACAUUUCAGCGAUACCUUCACCAUCCUUCAUUUUGAACUUGUCAAGUUGACUUUGAAGCACAUCCAAUUUGGAUUCCUUGACGGAGUCGGUACCUUCGUGCAUAUCAAUCAAAGUAUCCCAAAUUUCCUUUGCAUUCUCAAGACGGCUGAUUUUGUUGAAUUCUUCGGGGCACAAUCCGUUGAAGAGAAUAUCACAAGCUUGAGCAUUGUAUUGUAGCAUCUUCAACUCUUCCGCGGUAGCUUCAUGGUUCGGUUCUCUCCCAUCAAAGAAUUCACCUUGCAAGCCAAUACACACAAUAGCCCAAACGGCGGGGUUAUGUCCAAGAAUAUGCAUUUUUAUCUUAUGCUUCCAACUAGCAAAAUUAGUGCCAUCAAAGUAAGGACCUCUACGGUGGUAAUUUCCCUCGCUAGACGCCAUACUCUCCUAGGUUGUGAAACCAAGGCUAUGACCACCAAAAGCUAUGGAAAUCAAAGCAAAUGGAGACCAAAGCUCUGAUACCACUUGUAGGAUCGGAAGUAUGUCUAGAGGGGGUGAUUAGACUACUUGACCAAAUAAAAAUCUAGCAUUUUCCCAAUUUUAGUUCUUGGCAGAUUUUAGCAACUUAGCACAAGUCAAGCAAUCAACCUACACAUGCAAUUCUAAGAGUAUAGCAGCGGAAAGGUAAAGCAAUUGCAUAUGAAGGUAAAGGGAUGAGUUUGAGGGAGCAAACGCAAUGUUGACACGGAGAUUUUUUAUCCGUGGUUCCGAUAGGUGGUGCUAUCGUACAUCCACGUUGAUGGAGACUUCAACCCACGAAGGGUAACGGUUGCGCGAGUCCACGGAGGGCUCCACCCACGAAGGGUCCACGAAGAAGCAACCUUGUCUAUCCCACCAUGGCCGUCGCCUACGAAGGACUUCCCUCACUAGGGUAGAUCUUCACGAAGUAGGCGAUCUCCUUGCCCUUACAAACUCCUUGGUUCAACUCCACAAUCUUGUCGAAGGCUCCCAAGUGACACCUAGCCAAUCUAGGAGACACCACUCUCCAAGAAGUAACAAAUGGUGUGUUGAUGAUGAACUCCUUGCUCUUGUGCUUCAAAUGAUAGUCUCCCCAACACUCAACUCUCUCUCAUAGGAUUGGAUUUGGUAGAAAGAAGAUUUGAGUGGAAAGCAACUUGGGGAAGGCUAGAGAUCAAGAUUUAUAUGGUUGGAAUGGAAUAUCUUGAACUCAACACAAGUGUAGGUGGUUCUCUCUCAGAAAAUAUGUAUUGGAAGUGUAGGCAUGUUCUGAUGGCUCUCUCCACGAAUGAAGAGUGGGUGGAGGGGUAUAUAUAGCCUCCACACAAAAUCUAACCAUUACACACAAAUCACCAAACUCGGUGGGAGCGAUUCAAAGAACUCGGUCAGACCGAUUUGGUUCAUAAUGUGAACGUUAGGAUUCUCGGUGGGACCGACAUGUCAACUCGGUGGGACCGAUGUCAUUAGAGUUAGGGCAUAACGUAAUCUCGGUGAGACCGAUUACACAAACUCGGCGAGUCCGAUUUUGGUAAUAGCCAAACAGAGAGUUGGUCAGGCAAACUCGGUGGGACUGAUUCGCUCAUCUCGGUUGGACCGAAACGUUACGAAAGGGAAAAGAGAGUUUGCAUUGCAAUCUCGGUGGGACCGAUCGCUCAUCUCGGUUUGACCGAAACGUUACGAAGGGAAACAGAGAGUUUGCAACCCCAUCUCGGUGAGACCGAGAUCCCUAUCGGUGAGACCGAAUUGAUUAGGGUUUCUGGCAGUGGCUAUGUCAACUGAACUCGGUGGCUCCGGAUGGACAGAAUCGGUAGGGCCGAGUUGGACUUUUUGGUCUAGGACAUAUGUGGAUAUGAGAAAGUAGUGGAGGGUUUUGGAGCAUAUCACUAAGCAUUUUGAGCGAGAAUCUCAUUAAGCAACACCUCAUCCCUUCUUAAAAGUAUUGGCUUUUCCUAUAGACUCAAUGUGAUCUUGGAUCACUAAAAUGAAAAAUGUAGACUCUUGUGCUUUGAGCUUGAGCCAAUGUUUUGACCUUAGCAUUUUGAAGGGUCCACUUCCUAAUCGAUGCCAUGCCAAACAUUGAGCUUUCCUGAAAUAUUUAUCUUGGAAUAGCAUUAGCUCAAUGAGCUAUAUGUUGUUAGGAAUUACCAAAACCACCCAGGGAUAGUUGCACUUUCACUAUGGUCUUAAACAGGCCCCUCGCGCCUGGUUCGAGCGCUUCGCCUCUGUGGUGACUACCGCUGGUUUCUUGCCAGUGAUCAUGAUCCCGCGUUGUUUGUUCACACGUCUCCUCGUGGUCGGACUCUUCUCCUUCUCUAUGUUGAUGACAUGAUCAUCACUGGUGACGACUCUGACUACAGUGCCUUUGUUAAGGCCCGCCUUCGCGACCAGUUCCUCAUGACUGAUCUUGGUCCACUUCAAUAUUUUCUUUGGAUUGAGAUCUCCUCGACCUCUGAUGGCUUCUACAUCUCCCAGGAAAAAUACAUUCAGGAUCUUCUUGCUCGUGCUACUCUUGGUGAUGAGCGCACUGUUGUGACUCCUAUGGAGCUCAACGUUCAGCUUCGUGCCUCUGACGGUGACCCUCUUCCUAAUCCUACUCGCUAUCGCCACCUCGUUGGCAGCCUUGUCUACCUUGUUGUUACGCGUUCCGACAUCUCCUAUCAUGUUCAUAUACUGAGUCAGUUUGUUUCAGCACCCACCUCUGUCCACUAUAGUCAUCUCCUCCGUGUUCUCCGAUAUCUUCGUGGCACUUUCUCUCAUCGCCUUUUCUUUCCCCGCUCAAGCUCUCUUGAGCUCCAGGCCUACUCUGAUGCUACAUGGGCUAGUGAUCCCUCUGAUCGACGCUCGCCGUCUGCAUACUGUGUCUUUCUUGGUGGCUCUCUCAUUGCCUGGAAGACAAAGAAAUAGACUAACGUUUCUCGCUUGAGUACAGAGGCUGAGUUGCGAGCCAUGGCUAUGUUGACGGCUGAGGUGAUUUGGUUACGGUGGUUAUUUGAGGAUUUUGGAGUGCCUGCUACUACCUCGACUCCCUUACUGUCAGAACCGGUGCUAUCAGUAUUGCGCGUGACCCGGUGAAGCAUGAGCUCACCAAGCACAUCGGUGUGGAUGCCCACUUUGUGCGUGCUGCUGUGCAUGAUCAGACUCUUGCUCUUCACUAUGUUCCCUCUGAGUUAUAGUUGGCGGACUUCUUCACGAAGGCACAGACUCGAGUGCGGCAUGGUUUUCUUCUCUCCAAACUCAGUGUUGUUGAUCCACCAUGAGUUUGAGGGGGGUGUUAGAUGUGUAUAGUCCCUUUUUGGUUCUUCCCCAUUGUAUAAGGGGUUUCCUGCACUUCACCACACAUGUAUAUGUAAUGGCAUUUGGCCUUCAGUGAAUAUUAAUUGUUGUUUAUCCAACAACAUUCACGCCAAUCAUAAAACAGUGUUUGUUAGUAGUGGAGUGGUAGGCGGACGCAAAUCAAACCAUCAUUUUUCUUCUAAUUACACUUGUAAAAGCAUCGAUGCAUCUCCGUCGCUUAAUUUUAUUUGUCAUUCUGUUCAGUACCUGGUUUGGUUCAGGAAGAGCUCUUUUUCCUAUGCAAAAUGUAUAACGUAUAUGCUCCUAAUUCUGAUUGCAGACAUAUUCAUCGCGCUAGUGUUUUGACAUGACGCGGGGAACCAAGAGCCGUUCAACAGCGCGUUUCUGGGAUACGCCACCGGUCUGGCACUAAAGGUAGCGGUGAUGAUCUGGUUUCAAGCCGCGCUGCUAAUAUAUCAUGGCAUCUUGCAGCCUGCUCUGUUGCACAUCGUUCCUGGCGCAUGACUGGUUUGGUCGCCGUUCACUCUCCGUGGAAUGGAGAGGUGAAAGCGGGCAAGUAAGCCUGUCUACUUUGUCCCUUUUGUGUAGUGCUGGGAUCAGAGAAAAUAACUGGCAAUCUGGAUCAGCCUGGUUUUGAGACGCGACUUGUUUGCCACUGACUGUUUUGCGUUGGCAGUUACUGCAGUUGGAGUGGGAAGCUGGAGAGGAGGAAGAAGACGAAGGUCCCAACCGGCAGAGCAAAAAGGUGAACCAGCCCUCGCCUUUUUAAUUACUAGGAGAAAGAAACAUUGAGGCAGUAAUUUCUUCAGGCAAGAUCGAUUGGCAGCUAAUUAAGUAGGCUGGAUGGCAUUGAGAAACCCAAAAACGAUUUACAUACACAUGGUAGAUCGUCUCUCUCUCUCCUUCCACCCCUUCCUUUCAUGGCCAUCGUAGACUGCACCAUGUGGCAUUCAAACUUUUCUCAAGGGGAGAGUUUCCUCACACACACACACAUGCACAUACGCAAGCACACGCACACACGUGUAGUACAAACUUAGAAUUUUUGGAAAUAAUGGGAGGCCGAGCAACGGCCAUGUGAAAAUAUGAGGUAUAUAGCUUGUGGAUUUCCAUUCAGUGUACAAGGCCUGCAUGAGGAAUGGAUAAAGAAAUAUAUCUUUGAUUCCCUUAGUUAAAUCUUAUCCUUCAUCGUCAAUUAUGACUAAGCAUACAUAGUAAUCGCUAGUUUCUCUUAUAUGCUUCCGAGAAGAUAAGACUGGAUAUUUUAGUUGCUAUUAAUUAUUUCCCUUCUUUCGCUAAAUAGUAGUCAAACAUGUUAUUAAUGUAUUUUGUAAGGAUAAGGUCGAGCAUCAUGGCCACUAUGUUCUAUAUAUACUGAAUUUGGUGUUCAGUAUGACAUAACAAACACAUAUUGUGAGAAGGAGUAGUGUACAUUGUUCUCUAGUGCACUUUGUUCAGCAAGUUGGGUGAAAAUGUUGAAUAAACCAUCAAGUUUUCAUACAUUUUUUCAUGGCACAGGUUUGCCUUCUCAUGAUGAUGGCUGCACCGUUUGCACAAGCUGCUGGGAGGCCUGUGGCAUCCUUACCAUGGGUAGCGGGGUGUUGCCUGAGGAACUAUUUGUGUUGUGGUGUUGGUGCUGUUGCCCCGACAUCCCAUGCAUCGCAGGCCACCUCUGUACCUUGAAUUAUGGUUUCGCCUGAUCUCCUCUCAUAACAUAGUUGAUAUAACAUAGUAGCAUCACAAAGGUUGCAUGGUUUCAUUGAUUCAUCUCUUUUCUACUCCGUGAAACUUGUGAUGCCACUUUUGAACAAUGUCAUUGCUAUGUCUUCUUAUAACUAAUAAAAUGGGAGGAUAUUUUCAUAUUAUUUGAAUUGUGUUGUAACAUUACCUACUAAUGUGGAUGAUCUGAGUGGACUACAUAGAUCGGAUCUUCUAAAGAUAUAAUCUAGGACUUUGCGAGAUGAUGAAAUUGUCCUUUAUCUUGGUCGACACCUUUUCGUAGAAGUGUUGGUCGGCCGUCUGUGUCUUUUUGCGGUGCAUGCCGUAGAGUCCUCCAUGUUUUGUAGUUGUACAAUAACCUUUGAGGCAACCGGGGGUGGUACGUCUGAGGAAGUCGGUGGCCCAGGAAUAUUCAUAAUGAGAUCUCGACCAUGGAUGCCAAGUAAUUUGCCCCGUGCUGAUGUCGUCGGGCGACCCGGUCACUUAUGUUUUGACUCAAGGAGUCGCUAUGUUCAUCGAGUCGCGAGACAGCGGGAGGAAGGAGACGAAGGUCCCAAACGUCAGACCAAAAAGGUGGACUAGGGCUCGCCCUAGUUGUGCUCUCGGGUAUUUUCAGUUACUAGUAGGAGUAAGAAGCAUUGCAAAUUGCUCCCUCUGUUCAAUCCGUAUAUAUGUAGUCCGUAUUCAUAUAUUCAAAAUAUUUUAUAUUUGUGAACGAAGGGAGUAAUUAAUAGUAAUGCAACAAUUUCAGGGGAGGCCAGUCAACAGCUAACUAAAUGUGCUGGAUGAGACUGGAGACAUGUAUAAACGAUUUACACAUGAUAGAACUACUCUUUUCUUGUCAAGGAAUGGAAGAAUGGAUGAUUUUAUCCGUUCGGAACAAAACCCAAUAUUCAUCCAGUUAGACGUUGUUCUGAAUUCUGAAGCUUUUGAAAGUUUUCUCGCAGAAAUAUGUGUGUGUAUUCCAGUUGUAUCAUUAGCAAACCAAGGUUGUAUAUAUUAUAGCACAAAGAAUGUUUGGUUGAUUCGUUCAGGCGAAUCAGGUUUGUGGCUGACUGCCAAAGUCAGGCCAACUCCAGCGCACGACCCCAAACAGACAUCUGUUUUGUCUGGAUUCUGCCCGUUUGGAUAUAGCAAUGGGGUCGUGUCCAGGCCUGUCCUGUGAUGCGGUCGCCGUGCGCACAACGCGCGGACGCAUCCUUUGGCCUCAUCAUGUCCGCCACGGCCAAAAAUGCCCAUAUAUUCAUAUUUCAAUAUUCAAAACUAGUUUGCACGUCCAAAUAUUAAUUGUCUGAAAAUAAAAAUAGUUUUACAACCCAAUCAAAAUUGUCUCUAAUAAAAUAGUUUUACAACCAAAUCGAAAUUGUCUUGAAUGAACAUAAUGAAACCAAUACAUCUAUUGGUUGCCAAUGUGAUUCCACAUGUGCUCAACCAAGUCAUUUUGAAGAUCCAAAUGAGUGUGCCAAUCAUGCAUUUCACGAUGACAUUGGGCAAACUGCUCAAACGUGGCCGGUUCUUGGUGCAGGGGCUGAACAUUUUCACCUUGAAAAUCAAAUCCUUGGUCGAAGAUGCUGUUAUCACGCUCGUCCUCGACGAUUAUGUUGUGCAUGAUCACACAAGCAGUCAUCACCUCCCGAAGCUUCCCUUCAUCCCAUGUCAAUGCAGGGUUUCGAACGAUACCCCAUCGGGAUUGAAGCAAACCAAAAGCACGUUCCACAUCCUUUCUAGCACUCUCUUGCAUUUGGGUAAAUCUCUUUCUCUUCUCACCUUGGGGGUUCGAGAUUGUCUUCACAAAAAGUUGACCACUGAGGAUAUAUACCAUCAGCUAGGUAGUAUCCCUUGUUGUACUGGUGGCCGUUGAUCUCAAAGUUGCCAGGUGGGGAGUGGCCUUCUGCAAGCCUUGCGAAGACUGGAGAACGCGGCAGCACGUUGAUAUCAUUGUGAGAACCUGCCAUGUCGAAGAAAGAAUGCCACAUCCAAAGAUCUUGCGAAGCCACCGCUUCUAAUAUGAUAGUGCAUGCUUUAACAUGCCCCUUGUACUGGCCCUGCCAAGAAAAUGGACAGUUCUUCCACUCCCAGUGCAUACAAUCUAUGCUACCAAGCAUGCCUGGAAAGCCUCUAGCCGCGUUGGUCGCCAACAAGCUUUCUAUAUCAGUGGCAUUUGGCUGCUGAGGGAGUCCUGGAUUAAGGGGUCCUCGGGCGUUUGGGCUGCGUAACAUGGGCCGGACUAAUGGGCCGUGAAGNNNNNNNNNNNNNNNNNNNNNNNNNNNNNNNNNNNNNNNNNNNNNNNNNNNNNNNNNNNNNNNNNNNNNNNNNNNNNNNNNNNNNNNNNNNNNNNNNNNNNNNNNNNNNNNNNNNNNNNNNNNNNNNNNNNNNNNNNNNNNNNNNNNNNNNNNNNNNNNNNNNNNNNNNNNNNNNNNNNNNNNNNNNNNNNNNNNNNNNNNNNNNNNNNNNNNNNNNNNNNNNNNNNNNNNNNNNNNNNNNNNNNNNNNNNNNNNNNNNNNNNNNNNNNNNNNNNNNNNNNNNNNNNNNNNNNNNNNNNNNNGAUUCCUUUCCCUGUAAACCGACUCUGUACAACCCUAGCCUUCUCCGAUGUCUAUAUAAACCGGAGGGUUUAGUCCGUAGAGGCAAGGAUAAUCAUACAGGCUAGACAUAUAGGGUUUAGCCAUUACGAUCUCGAGGUAGAUCAACUCUUGUAAUCCCUAUACUCAUCAAAGUCAAUCAAGCAGGAAGUAGGGUAUUACCUCCAUUAAGAGGGCCCGAACCUGGGUAAACAUCGUGUCCCCUGCCUCCUAUUACCCUCUAUCCUUAGACGCACAGUUCGGGCCCCCCUAUCCGAGAUCCGCCGGUUUUGACACCGACAGCUGCCUCAAGUACUCAGGGCCAAACACUGCCACCACAGCCUUGUAGAACUUGUAAAGUGACAACAGACAUGCCGACUCACUCAUGCGCACGUACUCAUCCACCAGAUCGCCUGGAAUUCCAUAUGCAAGCAUGCCGAUGGCCGCGGUGCACUUCUGGUAAGAGGAGAAUCCAAGCUUGCCAAGGGCAUCCGUCUUGCACUCGAAGUAUGGGUCAUGAGCAACCACUCCCUCUCGGAUACGAUUGAACAGAUGUCUUGCCAUACGAAAACGGCGACGGAAUUUAUCCGGCUUGAAGAGCGAGGUAUUCGCAAAGUAAUCGGCAUAGAGCAAGGCGUGGCCUCUCUCUCUAUUGCGUUUCAGGUUGGGAGCACGGCCAGGGACUGACCCCAUGUACCGAGGAAGCUGCCCAAUGUGAUCGUGAACGACCAGUGCAACCACCACCAGAUCUUCGUCAUCCGAGGACGAAUCAUCCAAUGAAUAAAUGAAGUGGUGGAAGAAAAAUUCAUCUCCACUGUCCAUACAUUUGUGGGCAAAGUGUUCAACACCUUGCGGUCGUGGUGGCAAAGAGGCCGCGAUGAUCAUCUCGAUGCAGCAGGGGUGGUUGGCGGCCGGCUACUGGCCGCUCUAGAGCACCCGGCGGAAGCUGCCGUGGUCCAUAUCCGUCGCCGGUGGUCGUAUCCCCUCUAGCACCGGCUACAAUGGCGACGGCCAAAUCUCCUCCAAGCGAUGGCCAGAACUCCUACGAAAGCGCGGGCGUUGUGGCGGCCAUGUCGAGACGUGGUUUGGUAUGGAUGGGCAGGGGGAGGGAGCAGUGAGGAGGCGGUCGGAGAAUACUGGCGGCGCCGGUGGCGGGAUGCGGCGGAGGAGAGCGGGUGAAGGCGUUGGAGGCAAAUGGAGUGCUAGUGUCCCCGACAGGCGGGCCACGGGGAGGACAAGGGCGUGUGUCCAGCCCGUCCGCGUGAUGUCCAUUUCACCCCAAACUCGGCACAAGUUUGGGCCGGGAAUGGGUAAAAAACGGACGAAAUCCGGACAUUUGUCUAUUUGAAGCCGCGCCUUGAGUCAUGCUAUUCGUCUGUUCUACCCUAAACGGACGCACCAGAACGGAAUGGGGUCGCGUGCUGGAGUUGGCCUCACGGCCGUUUCUGCCUUUGGCGCAGACAAGAGAUUCUACACUGUAAAGGAAAAAGCUGAAAGCUCUCUUGUCUCGUGUGUUUCUCUUCUCUUGCACCUUGUCGGAAAACAGUGUGCACCAGGGACGCUCGAUUCCAUGGCAGGCAUCAGUUCAAUCGAUCAUGCUACAGGGAACCGGCACUAUCUUCUUUUUCUUUUUCUUUUUCUUUUAGGUCGUGAACGCAAGUCAUUUGAGAUAUUCACGUAGGACUUACAUAAUUGGUACGUUGUGACAAAACUGGACGCACACGAUGAAAUAUAUAAAUAUUCCUAUGGUAGAUUUAUCAGCAUCAGUGUGGAGCUAAAGUGUUUGAUGUUUUGUAUGAAUGGUUUGGUCUGAACAAUAAAGCCGACCACUCAGGACCUACUUUUGGGCUUUUUUUUUUGUAUUAUUCUAUACUAGCAAAAGGGCCCGUGCGCGGAGAAAAAAAUUAUAAUCUUGAAUGACCAUGAUCACAUUUUUUUUCAUCACCGAGAUACACUAUCACUUUCAACUUCGGGAAAUCAUCUACAUUUUUUAAACUUGUGCACAUUUUUCACAUUCAUGAACACUUUUACAAAUUUGCAAACAUAUUCUAAAAUCAAGAACAUAUUUUGAAUUCAUGAACAUUUUAUAGUAUUUACAAACAUUUUUAGAAAUUACGUUUUUUUAACAAUUUUCUUGAAUAGGCAAACAAUUCUAAAAUGGACGAACAUUGUUUUAGAAAUCGGUGGAAUAAUUUUUGAAAUUCCCGAACAUUUUCUUGAUUUUACAAACAUUUUUUGAAAUGCAUGAUCAUUUUUGUAUAAACUAUUUUGUAUGUCACGAACAGUUUUCCAAAUAUUUGGUUAUUUCCCCAUUCAUGAACAUUUUUUGAAUGGUGAUAUUUUCUUAAAUUUCAUUAACAUUUUUUGUACACGAAUUUUUAAAAAGUCAUGGACGUAUUUUGGUUUCAUGAACAUUUGUUUUCAAAAUUUCAAACAUUUUUCGAGCCAGAUUCUUUAAUAAAAUUGCAAAUAUUUUUUGAAUACAUAAACAUUUUAUGAUUUAUUAAAACUUUAUUUGGAAAUUAUUUUAAUUUUGAAAUAUUUUUUGUAUUCUGAAUUUAAUUAAAGUAGAAAAACGGAAAAAGAUAAAAAAGGAAAUGUUAAAAACAGGCUGCCCGGACAUGGGCCGGCCCAAAUGGGCGGGCCGCGCCUUAUCCCUUCGCGCAGAGCCCAGUAUGGCAGGUCGCUACUACAUGGGCCAGUCCAGACGGGGAUUCCCCUGUGUGAAACAUUUAUAUCACUUAUACGUGACAUUUGGAUCCCCUCUAGUUAGGGUUUUCUCUCCUCCCGGCGGCGCCUGGCACCGACGUGGAGACCGCGAUCCCCUGCGUCUCCUAGACCACUGAUCGCCGGCGGCUUCGGACGUCGGGCUCGUGUGCGCGCUGGGCGAUCUGUCUAGGGUUCUCCCGCCCGCGGAAACCGACUUCUCGGGCAAGAGAUCUGAUGGAAGGCUCAACGUCGGCGUCAGCCGCAGCGAUGAGCGACAUGGAAGCUAUGAUGAAGGAAUUGGGCCUGAAAGAAGAUGAUCUGGAGGAUGUUGUGGUUCAGGAUGGCGACAUACCAGAGGAAGCGGCGCGGUGGAUGGUGAUCCUGCGGGUGCACAUGGAUAAGCCGUACAGUCAGUAUUGGUUUUUUCGUAACAUGCGGGUUGCAUGGGAUCUAGCACAAGAAGUCAAGUUCCGCCCUCUAGAAGACAACCUCUAUACUCUGCAAUUCUCCUACCUGGGUGAUUGGGAGAGAGUCAUGGAGGACGGCCCCUGGACAUACAAAGGAAAAGCUGUCGUAAUCGAGCCCUAUGAUGGUUUCACCAGAUCAUCGUCUAUUGUUCUUAACAAGAUUGAGAUGUGGAUCCAGAUCCAUGAUCUCCCUGAACUGUUCUUCCAGUUGAUUAAAUCGCUAGCAUCUACUGUUGGUGACUUCAUAUUUGCUGAGCCCAAAUCCCAGGACUUUGAGGGGAACUUUUUUAGGGUUCGAGUGAAAGUGGAUGUCACAAAGCCGCUCAAGAACGCUGUAUCGCUGGUGAUCAAGAAGAGGAGAGAGAUAUUCAGGGUGAAAUAUGAGAGGCUUCCAGAUUGGUGUGCUGUCUGUGGUAUGCUAGGUCAUCAGUUCAAAGAGUGUGGCGAUGGGAUCCAUCCCCAAUCUGCGCUUGUGUUCAAAAAUCUGAAAGCUGACUGGUUCAGGAGCCCAGGCCGUGGACCAGGUGCUGCAAGAGGCUUUGAAGGUGGUCGAGGGAGAGGUAAUGGUCGUGCAGGUCAUGGAGGCCGGGGCUCGGGUUGAACACAACAAGAUAACUUUGACCAGGCUGUUGAUCUGGAUACAGACAUGGAAGAAGGAGACGGGAACCGCAAGAGAGGAGCUCAUGCAAACACACUCUUGCUUACUUCUUCAGGGACCAACCCAUCAUCUUCGAUGGAACCCCAAGCCCUCGCUACAGCCACCGUUCCACAGAGUCCCUCGUCGAAGCAAGACCUCAAAAGAACAAAGACCAACCCCCGUCAGUUGGAGAAGAACCCAGGGAAGAACAAGUCCUCAAACACCCAAAACAAUGCGCAAAUGGCGAGCCCUAUCAACUGGUCGCGCCUGGCGCAAUGAGUUGCCUAGUUUGGAACUGUCGCGGGGCUGGCAGACCUGCGACAGUUCGUGAGCUUCGAGAUCUAUCGAAGCUACUUGCCCCCUCUAUUGUAUGCAUUCUUGAAACCCAGAUAGAGGGCUCGCGUGUCGAGAAUCUGGUAGGAACUUUAGGUUAUAAUAAAAGCUUUGCUGUAAGCAGCUCCGGCAGGAGCAGUGGACUAGGCAUUUUUUGGAAUGAGGAAAUAAAACUCGAAGUUAUCGGUUAUUCUGAGUACCACAUAGAUGUUCUUGUUGAGCAGAUGGUAGAAACUAAAACCAGAAUCACCUUUGUGUAUGGUGAGGCCCAAACAAGUGCAAGGUACAAAACUUGGGACAUGUUGCGCGGAAUUGCUGGAACUAGCAACGACCCAUGGGUAGUGAUUGGAGACUUUAACGAAGUACUUCAUGCCCAUGAGCAUGAUGGAACCGGCCAACGAAGCCAGGCGCAGAUGGACGCCUUCUGAGAUGCUAUUGACAAAUGCGGCUUAUCAGAUAUUGGUUAUAAGGGGCAAAGCUGGACUUUUGAAAAGAAGGUGAUGGGCGGUACGUACACCAGGGUGCGCUUGGACCGGAGCGUGGCUAAUCCUGCAUGGGCUUUGGCCUUCCCAGAUGCAUCCCUUGAGCAUCUCACCGCAGCUACUUCUGAUCAUGUCCCGUUGUUGCUUCGGCUUCAAGCAAUGCAUGCAUGCAGAAGGGGACCACGGCCGUUUAAAUACGAGUUGUGUUGGGAGCGCGACCCAACACUGGAGACAAUGGUGCAUGCGGGGUGGAAUCAGCAUCCUGGGGAUUCGGUGGACCAGGUGAAGGCUAAACUCCAAACACUGUCGGGCGACCUGUCGACGUGGGAUCGGCAACAUUUUGGAAGCGUGUGCAGAGAGAUAGCCGAAUUAAAAAAAGGAACUACAGGUGUUGCGAGAAUUUCCAGGAAGAUCUGGCCCCUCUCGACGGGAGACAAAAAUCUGCGACCGCCUGGUUGAAUUGUUUCAUCGCGAGGAGAUCUUGUGGAGGCAGCGAGCUAGGAUUGAUUGGCUCAUGCAUGGCGACAAAAAUACUUAUUUCUUCCACAUGAGAGUGAGUAGGCGUCGACGGAAAAACCAAAUUAAAUCCUUGCAAUGAGCUGACGGGCAGGUAACGGAGAAUGAACUGGAGAUGGAAAACAUGACGAUCUCCUUUUACAAGGACUUGUACACGACAGAAGGGGUUGGUGAUAUGGCACAGGUGCUAGAAACAGUACCAUGCAAGGUUACGCAUGCAAUGAACGCCUCGUUGAAUGCCCCAUAUAGCCCGGAAGAAGUCAAGACUGCCCUUUUUCAAAUGUUUCCCACCAAGGCACCGGGACCAGAUGGCUUUCCCGCUCACUUCUUUCAGAGGCACUGGGAGACGUGCGGAGACGAAAUCACCAAAGUCGUUCUUAAAAUUGUUGAGGGCACAGAAUCUGCAGCAUGUAUCAAUGAGACAGUCUUGGUGCUAAUCCCUAAGGUAAAAAACCCAACCCUCUUGAGCCAGUUCCGACCCAUCAGCUUAUGUAAUGUUCUUUACAAAAUAGCGUCCAAAGUGAUCUCUAACAGGCUGAAGGUGAUACUACCUGACAUUAUAUCUGAGGAACAAUCUGCCUUUGUCCCUGGUAGACUUAUAACUGACAACAUCAUCACUGCCUACGAGUUCCUACACUUUAUGAAAAGAAAUAAAGCUAAAAAGCACCAGUCGUUUGCUCUGAAGCUAGACAUGAUGAAGGCUUAUGACAGGGUGGAGUGGCUAUACCUGAAAGCAAUCAUGGUGAAACUAGGGUUCACUGAGAGAUGGGUGGACAUAGUUAUGGGACUGGUUACCACUGUUAAGUUUUCUGUCAUGUUUAAUGGGAAAAGAUUGGAGGAAUUCGAACCUUCACGAGGAAUUAGACAAGGGGACUCAAUAUCUCCGUACUUGUUCUUAAUAGCAGCAGAGGCCCUGUCGUGCCUGUUAAAAUCAAAGAGUGAGUCAUCCAAUCUGGGUGGUGUGCAAUGGCUCCUACGGCGCCGCCAGUUAGCCAUCUAUUAUUCGCUGAUGACAGCCUACUGUUCUGUAAGGCAAAUUGUGCGGGAGCUAAUGAGGUGAACCUAGUACUGAAUACAUACUGCCAAGCAUCCGGUCAGCGAGUAGCAAGGGAGUGCCGGAAGCUACGAGGACAGAAAUAAAAGGUUUACUCAAUAUUCCCAAUGAAACUUUAAAUGAGAAGUAUCUAGGGAUGCCGUCAGAUAUUGGGAGUUCGAAGAACGGGGCCUUCAAAUACGUCAAGGAUCAUUUAUGGAGUAAGGUACAGGGCUGGGUGGAAAACACCAUGUCAUCCGCAGGCAAGGAGGUUUUGGUGAAAUCAGUUGCCCAGUCCAUACCUAUAUUCUCAAUGUCAUGCUUUAAACAUCCAAGGGGAUUAUGUGAACACCUUAAUAUGCUUAUUAGGAAGUUCUGGUGGGGGAGCAAAGAUGGCAAAAGGAAACCUCACUGGGUAUCUUGGAAAAGUAUGACACAGCCGAAGGGAAUGGGAGGACUAGGGUUCAAAGAUUUUGAACUCUUUAAUAUGGCGAUGCUGGCAAGACAGGCUUGGAGAUUAAUCCAAACACCAGAGUCCCACGCUUGUUGAAGAGCAUAUACUUCCCUGAUUCUACCGUCUUGGAGGCGACCUUGUGCAACCAUCCCAAUCAGAUAUGGCGAGCCAUCAUCGAAGGCAGAGAUACACUCAAACAAGGUCUCAUUCGUAGAAUUGCCAAUGGUCAAUCUACUCGUAUUUGGGAGGAUCCGUGGCUGCCAAGAGAUGAGAUGUUACGGCCAUAUGGGAGCAUUCACCCCAAUCCGCCAACCUUGGUUUCGGAACUGAUCGAUCACACUAGCGCUUCAUGGAACAGUCAGCUAAUCAACCAAGUGUUUAUGCCCAUGGAUGCUUGUACCAUUAUGGGGAUCCCGGUGUGCACUCGCAAUCUCCAUGACUUCUGGAGCUGGAUCUUUGAAACGAGUGGCAACUUCACGGUCAAAUCUGCUUACCGCAUGCUUGUAGCGACAAGACAGCGCCGGGAGGCAUGGCUUGAGGGCACUGCUGGAACAUCAAACAGCACGUCGAAGGAGGGGGCUUAGAAAACGUUGUGGAAGACCCAGGUUCCUGCAAUUCUAUGGCGUUUAUCAAAGCACUCUCUCCCAACGGAGGACGUCAGGGCUCAUCGGCAUAUGGCAGAUAACGCUACUUGCGGUUUAUGUGGCUCGGCUGAUUCGUGGAGACACUCUCUGGUUAACUGCACUAGCUCGAGAUGGUGUGUGGGCUUUAGUUGAUGAGGAGCUAGCACAAAACCUAGUCUCAACCACGGAACCCAACGCCAAGCAGUGGCUCUUCACCUUCAUGCACUCACUAUCACACGAUCAAUUUGUAUUGCUUGCGGUCACUCUCUGGGCGAUCUGGACAGCGCGGCGCAAGGCUAUUCAUGAAGGAAUAGUCCAAUCGCCUCAGGCAACUAACAACUUUCUCAGACGCUUCAUAGCUGAACUAAACAUGAUUAAAGUGGAAAGGCCUAUGAGGGGAGGAGCUCAAUCUAUGGGCCUGUCACGAGCUGCACGCCCCAAAGCUCCCCCGAUCGGCUACGCCAAGAUUCAUGUGGACGCGGGAGUAAGAGCAAGGAAAGGUGGAUCAGCAGCCGCUGUAUGCCGGGACAGGCAAGGCAAUUUCCUAGGCAGCUCCGCGUUGGUGAUCGCCGGUCUAGAGGACCCAGCCAUACUAGAGACUAUCACUUGUAGAGAGGCAUUGGCGCUGGCGGAAGACCUUAAUCUGCAUAAUUUUGUCGUUGCAUCUGAUUCCAAGCAAACAGUGGCUGACAUCUUAAGUGGAGGCAGAGGCAAGAGUGGUACUAUUAUCCAGGAGAUAAACACUAGAGCAACUCUAUUUCAUUGUAAUUUUUCUUUUGAAGGCCGUGCUGUUAAUGUCGAAGCACAUAGACUAGACAAAUAUUCGCUUAAUAUCGGUCCGGGGCGCCACCUCUGGUUAGGUCAGCCCCAUGACCCGAGUUGUAUCCCACCCAUUGUGGUCUUUGAUGAAUAAAAUUUGGCUUUCCCCUCAAAAAAAAAACUUAUACGUGACAUUUGUGGGUAAUUUGUACGACGUGCCAUAAGAAGAAAUAGCCCCUUUAUUAUUAUUAGCAAAAGUGUCCGUGCGUUGUAACGGGAGAAAUAAAAUCAAAAUCUCCAAUGACCAUGACCAUAUUUUGUUGCAUCACCAAGACACCCCUAUCACUCUCAAUUUCGUGUAAUCAUGAAUAAUUUUUGAAAUCACGAACAUGUUUUAAAAUUAUUACACAUAUUUGAAAUCGUGAACAUUUUUCAAAUUCAUGAACACUUAUACAAAUUUCCGAACAUUUCUAAAAUCAAGAACAUUUUUGGAAUUGAUGAACAUUUUAUACUAUUUGCAAACACUUUUUAAAGAUUCCGAACAUCUUUAUAAACAAUUUUCUUUAAUCGAGGAACAUUUUUAUGGAAAUUGAUGGAACAAUUUUCGAAAUUCACAAACAUUUUUUGAUUUAACUAACAGUUUUUGAAAUACAUGAUCAUUUUUUGAAUCAGUGGACAUUUUCUGAAUGACUAAACUAUGUUGUAAGUCACGAAAUAGUUUUUGAAUUUUAGGAUAUUUCUCCAUUCAUGAACACUUUUUGAAUUGGCUAUUUUUUUCAAUUUCAUUAACAAUUUUUGAUAGAAAAACUUUUUAAAAAAUCAUGAAUUUUAUUUGAUUUCCCAAAAAAUUGUUUUUAAAAUUUUGAACAUUUAUUGUGUAAGCAAUUGUUUUUUACAAAACAGCGACCAUAUUUUAAAUCCACUAACAUUUUAUGAUUUAUGAAAAUUUUAUGUCAAAAUACUCAUUUUUUUAAUUUUCGAAACUUUUUUGAAAUCCCAAACUAUUUAUUGUAGAAAAGAACGAAAACAGGAAAGAAAAAUGAAAAUAGAAAACAAAAUCAAAGAAACAGGCCAGCCUGAAAUGGGCCGGCCCAAACAUACGUGUAGCUUCUUCUCCCAGCGUGCAGAGAGCAUUAUAGGAGGUCCCAACUGCAGGGCCGGCCCAGAUGGGGGAAUUCCCCUGUGUGAAUUUUUUGUAUCACUUAUAUGUGGCAUUGAACUCAUGAAGCAUGCGCUAUCCCUUCCAGCUCGCCGCCAUGUAUGGCUCGGACAACCAGAUGGACUUUCUUUCGUCCAUGUAAACGUUAUGACGAUAUAAUAAAAAGCUUCGGAAUUUGUCUAAAAAGACUUAUAAGUGGCAUUGGUGGGUAAUAUUUUGCAACUUUAGAGGUAAUUCCAUGACGUACCACCAGAAGCACAAUAGCCCCUUUACUAUUAUUAGGUACUCUUUUUUCCUUGUGGAGCUUUGGAAAUGAGAGAAUUUGAAUAUAGUAACUCUCGGAAACUCUUAUUGGAUGAGAGAGAUUUAAUAUGAUAUUGGCAUGGGUUCUACCAACUAACGAAGAAGUAUUUGACUGGAUAAACAGACAAUUUCCUUUAAUGGACGAACAUUUUUAUGAAAAUUGGUGGAAUAACUUGGGAAAUUCAUAAAUAUUUUUUUAGUUAACGAACAUUUUUUUAACUUAACGAACAUUUUUUGAAAUACAUGACCAUUUUUUUGAAUCUGUGAACGUUGUAUGAAUGAAUAAACUAGUUUGUAAGUCAUGAGCAGUUUUUCAAUUUUUAGGAUAUUUUUCCCUUCAUGAACAUUUUUUCAAUUGGUGAAAUUUUGUUCAAUUUCGUUAACAAUUUUUAGUGCACAAACCUUUUUAAAAAAUCAUGAACAUGAUUAUUUACCAAAGAAGCAAAUUGUUUUUUACAAAAUCGUGGACAUUUUUUUAACCCAGAAACAUUUUAUGAUUUAUGAAACAUUUUUUUCAAUACACAAUAUUUUUAAUUUUCGAAUUUUUGUGAAAUCCUAAAUUAUUUAAAGUAGAAAAAUCAAAAACAGAAAAGAGAAAGGAAUAAUAGAAAACAAAGUUAAAGAAUAGGCCGACCGAACAUGGGCCGGCCCAAACGGGCGCACUGUAUCUUCUGCCAGCGCCUAGAGCGCAGUAUAGGAGGUCCCUACUGCAUGGGCCNNNNNNNNNNNNNNNNNNNNNNNNNNNNNNNNNNNNNNNNNNNNNNNNNNNNNNNNNNNNNNNNNNAAGAAAAUAAUGCCUAUGCAUAUGCUUUUAUAUUAUUAUUAUUGUUUCAAAUUUAUUCAUAUAUUAUUUUCAAUUGUACAACCAUAAUUUUUCUUAUCUCUCUCGUUCCACUACAUGCUCCUAGUCAAAGAUUUUUUUAAUAAUGGGUGUUUUUAUUAACUCAAAAUAUAGCAUCAAGCGGAUACAAAACAUAAUGAGCCACACCCGGUCUAUGCAUAACUAAGAUGCACACAGCCAAAAGCAGAAGUCUGACAAAAAUAAGAUAAGAAAAUCGACAUAUCGACAACAGUGAGUCAUAUAGUACCGACACUAUGCCUCUGUCGAAGGAGGUGGUGGAGCGAUCUGGAGAUUAUGCUGCCAUCCAUGUUGAGUAAAUAUCUCCCUGGCCACUUGCUCCAACCGCAUAGACGCCGCCAUGAACAACGGUUGGUACUCCAUUCGGUGUAGCAUACACCAUACUAGAGGCUGGGGCGCCACCUGAGGCGGGCCUAUGCACACUUAUUUUGUCUGGGCAGUUCGGUUGUCAUGUUUGGUCAUCAGUAUCACUUAUGUACAUCAAUAUGGGCGUAUGUUGUAUUGUUUGAGUUCAUUAGGAUCUAUCAGUAUCACAUCAAUCAAACUACAUAUACUAUGUUAUUUGAGUUCAGAACCAUCAUAGGCAAUGAUACGUCUAACAAGGAUAUAUAACAUUUAAUUCAAAAGGAAAGACAAAGUAGAAUUAAGUGCUUCAGAUUGGCCGAAGAAAGGAACCUCAUGAUGCCAUGACUAAGGAACCAAAUAUAAAAGAGCACCUUUCAGAGUACUCCAGAGGUAUGACAUCAUCCAUUUCCACAUCAGAAUCAUCGGAAUUCUCCUGAUCCUCAUUUCGAUGUACCCAACACAAAUGCUACAUGGAUUUUAGUCAGCUGCAAUCCCCACUACUUCUACACUUCCCCUUUUUCACACCGAGGAGCAGAGACUGAUGCAAGUUGAUCGAACACAGAACAACAUAUAAUUGCCUAGAGAUGCGCUGGGCCUGAACAACAACAACAACAACAACCGUUGAGCCAGGUCUCCUUCCAGCAGCCUCAGCAACAAUAUCCAUCAGGCCAGGGCUCCUUCCAGCCAUCUCAGCAAAACCCACAGGCCCAGGGCUCUUUCCAGCCUCAACAACUGCCCCAGUUUGAGGAAAUAAGGAACCUAGCGCUACAGACGCUACUUGCAAUGUGCGAUGUCUAUAUCCCUCCAUAUUGCACCAUUGCUCCAUUUGGCAUCUUUGGUACUAACUGAGAAGAGAAGAACUCUAGUAGUAGAUAUAUGAUACACCGUUUUCUUAGUCCAUGGUUUGGUCGUUGUAGCGGUGAAAAAAUAAAGUGACAUGCACUAUCAUGUAAGAACCCGAACUAUACUAGUUCAAACUUGGGAAUAAAAGACAAACACAGGUCUUGUCUACAUAUGAUUGUUUGUUUGAGUUCCACUCAUGUGCCCAUUCACAAGUUCACCCCUAAUUAUAUAUAUUAUGCAUUA